rnacentral:lncRNA from 1 species
UCACUUUUUAUCAGAAUUAAUACUUCUGAUAUUCAAAUUUAGGAUUUUCUAGUCCCUAUUCAUGACAAUAUCUAUAGCACACACAAUAGACAAUAUGAUACCCAGGUAUAUCCCAGGCACUGCAACCAACAGCAAAACUGAGCAACUGACCAUAAUGUAACUCUGUCCUGACAUAACCCACACUACAUCCGCGCAAUAACCUCUAACAUAAUAUUGUCCUGUCUGACACUACAGUUCAUCCACUUAAACAUAAGGUAAACAUAUGGUCUUAAGAGUAUCACAUCCAUGAUAACACAAAAGGCAGCUGAAACUAGCUGGACUUAAGCUCUAUUAUGAACUCUGAGCUCUUUGCUUCAGUGCUCCACUCUUCUGGCCUUACCCAAAACUCCUUUUACUACUUCUGUUUACUGAAUCAUGUGGCCAGCUUUCCUUCAGAUGCGCAUUUCCUGGAGAGAGAGUAUAGUGAGAUAGAAAGAUGAUGCAAUGGACUGCAACCCAAACAUAAUUAGAUUUGAGCUCAUAACUCCUAAAUUAUUACAGGGAAUUUCUGAUAGCCAGAAUCUUUUGGCAAACAAUUCUUGGGUUAAAACAAUGCUUGAUGCAGUAAUUCACCAAGCCAAAAGUUGGUGCCAAUGGUAGGAAAUAUGUUAUACUUCACCUCUUGUAAAGGGAUUUGUGAAUGAUAUGGACAUUCAUCACAUACUUCUUCUUGUUUCUUAGUAGCUCAAAGAGGCAGGCAUCUCCGAGCGUCAAGUUGUUGCCACGCGCAAAAUGCUUCCAUCCUCUCAUGAGCCUUUUGUUUUUGUUCUUCUUAACACGACAACGCACUUCCCACUUCUUGCCAUGGCGCUGAAGGGUCAGCAUUUGUUCCUUAAAUGGAAGGUAUACUUCAGCAUAUUUUCUUGAUAUAUCCUGGUAAAGGGAGAAAGGGUCUUCUUUAGUAAUGCUAAUUCGAAACAAACAGCAUGGUGUAGUGGACUAUCUGCACGUCCAUGCUACUAUCAUUAUGUAGUCUAGUAGCAAAGUUCUUUCAGUUUCAAUCUGCUCCACCUAGAAUUUUCUAUCCCAAUGACUCAAAAACAACUUCAAUCAAUAUGCAGAAUAAGCCAACAACACUUGGGUAAGACAUACAUUGUUUCUGUAAGUAAAAUGCAAAGAUAAACAGCCAGCUUGACCGGUCAUUAACAAUACAGUAUCCAUUCAAGAACAGAGAUUUUAACUCACAAGGCUACGGGUUGCUCCGUAAAUACUGCUCUUCCUUAUGACACACCCAUAAAUGGGGAUUUCGGAAUUAAUAGCUCUGAGUUUUUCUUUAAGUUGCUUCUUCUGCACCUCAUUUAGAUUCAAGAGGGUGCCAUUUGCGAGGAUACAACCUGGCAGGGAAUGAUCAUCUUCUGAAGAUGAAAUACCUCCUAAACAAAGAAAAUAAAAGUCAUAUAUGAAGUUCUAUGGGGCAUAAUAUAUGGCAGGUUUGACAUUGUGAAUCAUAACCUGCUGAAUCUGAAGCAGAGCUCGACGAGCUGACAUUGAUGAUAUCAUUCCCCUGCCUUGAGGUAUCCUUGCUUGGCCUAAUUUGUCUUCCACUAUGUGGAAAUUUCAUGGGAAGAUCAUGACAAGUGUUUACAAAGCCAGCAGUGUUUCCCCACCAUUCUUUACCAGGAGCAGCAUUUUUCUUGAGAUUGCAUGCCUGAAUUUUCUCGCAACCGCUCGGCCCAAAGAUCAAAACCUUCAGUUGAGAGUGGCCAUCAUACUUGAACACAAGAAAGUCCCCCGUUCUCAAGUCAUGGGCACGAGCAAACGCCUUCCAUCCCGAAUCAAGGACUAGUUUCUCCAAAUUCUUGGUAAUCUGAACAUCAAAAGUGUAACCAUGGCGUGAUGCUAGCUUAAUAGUUCGUCCUGUUUGCCACCUGAAAUGUUGGACAAACCUAUCUGGUAUGACCUGUAGGAAACAAGGUAAAACACACUGUGUCAGGAGACACUUAAAUUUUCUGCUAUAUUUCAGAUGUGAAACAGAGUAACAUGAGAGAACAGAGAGUUGCCCAGAUCUGACCGAAUUAAGUAAUGCAGUUUCGCUCCUAGAAGUUCCCUUUUUGUUUCCGUAGAAAGGUACUCCCUCGGUCCCAUAAUAUAAGAACAUUUUUGACACUAGUGUAGUGUCAAAAACGUUCUUAUAUUAUGGGACAGAGGGAGUAGAACAUAAUCCAGCUGAAAAUAAAUUACCCUAGGAGGCUAGAACAGAGCUGAACUGAAAAUAGCUUACCAUUUUCUCAUGGAAGUCGCCAAUCAUAACCUUGAAGAAAUGCUUAUCUUGCUCGUCUGGGUGGUUCCAGUAGCGAUGUUCAUCCAGCUCCUUGCGUUUCUUCCAUGGCUUGCUCAUCUCCUAACCACGGAAUGGAUCUACAACAAAAACGAAUCGUGCCUAAAUAUUUUAGCUAAAAAUGUACCAACUCAAAGUUGAAGAAAACAUGUCGGAAAAAAGAGGAAAUUGGAGCUAACAGGGAGAAGGUAAAACAAAGAGCUCCUCUAUUUUAUAGGGCUUGCAGUAUUUCAGAGGGAGGGAGAGAAGAGUUGAAUCAUACCAGUGAUUAUCGGAGAUUCAGAGAGAGAGAGAGAGAGAGAGAGAGAGAGGGAGGGAGGGAGACUGGAGAACGCUCCAAAGAGUGGAGAAAGCCAAACGUCAGAGACUAGGCAAGUAGACGAUCCAGCGCCUCUCUGACUUCUAGAUGUCCACUAGUAGGUGUGCCUGUCGUUUCAAAAAAAAAAGUAGGUGUGCCUGUAAGAGGCGACAAGACUUGACAAGGGAUGCGUUGGGGAGAGUGCAUGAGGGGGUGACCGGAUGAGGUUGCGUGUGAGUAUCCUUUUACAAUUCAGAAAUUUUGUGAUAAAUAUUUGAAUAUUUUAAAAUAAUAAAUGAACAUGUUUUUAGGUUGCGUAGCAAGUUAUUUCAUUUGUAAGUACUCCCUCUGUUUUUAUUUACUCUGCAUAUUAGAGUUACUGAAGUCAAACUUUGUAAAGUUUGAUCAAAUAUAUAUAAAAUAAUAUAAAUAUUUACCAUAAAAAGUUUAUAUGAUGUGAAAGUACAUUCAACAAUGAAUCUAAUGGUAUUGUAUAUGUUAAUAUUUUUGUCUAUAAAUUUUGUCAAAGUUUGAAGAGCUUGACUUUGACCAAAGUUAAUAUGCGGAGUAAAUAAAAACUGAGGGAGUACAAUAUACAUUUAUAACACGCGAAUAUUUAAAAGUUAUUUUUAUUUCUGGGAUUAUAAUUUAAAUACUCUCUACAAAUUUAUAUAAAAAGCCAACGAGUGCAAAAUGCGCCGCACAGACUGCAUGUUCAUUUCAGCUCGCGCCUUUGUUCUAAUAUAUUAAGAGGUAAUUAUUCAUUUUAGACAUCAACGUGUGUAGGUGGCCGUGGAUUUUGAAAGAGGAAUGCUAUACAGACUAUAGUGUACGGAUGAUUUAUGGACGGCGUGUCGCUGGAGUCUUUCAUCAUGUCCGCUAUGUACAUAUGUACAGGAUGACCAUUGGAUUGGCUGUCGUUCAAGAAUUGUCCCGUGAAUUGUCGUCCACGAAGGAGUUCCGGGUUUGAAACCUGGUGCCCACACUAUUUCGUCCUAAUUUUCGGUUUGUAUUGACAUGCGGAACACACCAAGAGUUGGCAUUUCUCCGCAAAUAAAACAAAGUAGUUUUUUUUUGUAAAAACGCGUUGGGCCGAGCACCAACUAUCACUCACAUUGGAGCGGUCCAGUUCAUUGGAUUGACCUUGUUUGAUAGCCGAUUUUUGGUUGGAUGCCUCUUUGGGUCUUUUUAUGUUGGUAUAGAUAUGUAUAGAGUUGAUCGCUAAAAAAAUUGUGGGACAAAAGUAAACCAGUUAGAAAUCAAUUUGUCAUGUGUUAUUGGGCCGUGAAUCUUGUUGGGACAUACACACGAUAAGACAAACUGAGGCACAACCAUAACUAGUAGAAUGCCCGUGGGUUGUUACGAGCUACAAUGCAUACAAAUGAUUAAGGCUGUCUCCAAUGUCGAAGCUCACUUCUCCCUCACGCGUUCGGCCGUAUUCAAACNNNNNNNNNNNNNNNNNNNNNNNNNNNNNNNNNNNNNNNNNNNNNNNNNNNNNNNNNNNNNNNNNNNNNNNNNNNNNNNNNNNNNNNNNNNNNNNNNNNNNNNNNNNNNNNNNNNNNNNNNNNNNNNNNNNNNNNNNNNNNNNNNNNNNNNNNNNNNNNNNNNNNNNNNNNNNNNNNNNNNNNNNNNNNNNNNNNNNNNNNNNNNNNNNNNNNNNNNNNNNNNNNNNNNNNNNNNNNNNNNNNNNNNNNNNNNNNNNNNNNNNNNNNNNNNNNNNNNNNNNNNNNNNNNNNNNNNNNNNNNNNNNNNNNNNNNNNNNNNNNNNNNNNNNNNNNNNNNNNNNNNNNNNNNNNNNNNNNNNNNNNNNNNNNNNNNNNNNNNNCGGGGGCAUGGUGAGGCCGCUGGUGGUGCCGACGUGGAGGGUCGCAUGAGUCGCCUGCCUGGCCGAGUGGCAGAGGCGUUUCUCCUCCAUCCGCAGGUAGGUGACCGCCUUGGCGAAGGUGGGCAUGAGGAGAGAGAGGUUGGACAUGGACUAGCUGAGGUCGGGGUGGAUGCUGCGGAGUAGGUUGGUGAGGAGGACGGAGUCGUCGAUAACCAUGCUGACGUCACGAAGCUCAUCGGAGCCAUUGCCACAUGGGCCGGAUGACCAUCAUCCAAGAGCCAGCAAUGAACGGAAGGGAAGAGGUAUCUCUUCACCAGAUUCAUCGAACACACACUUUCACACACCCUGAAUUCUUGCCAUGAAUUGGAUGGAGUCUGAUACAUUUUCCGUCGUUUUGUUCAUCGAAAAAAAGAACCACUUUCUCCUGCUAAGCAUCUCCUUUGAAUAGUUACAAGUGAAAUGCUAUGACCUUCUAGAAAUUUUAUACUGCCAUAAAUUCAGCCAGAUUACUGCCUACUAUACUAUGCUUACACUGCACAAAAAGUGAACUCGAUUAAUGACCACGAUAUAUAGCCCAACUUUCCAUAUAAGAAAACAAAUGAUUAUUUUUUUAACGAAAAUAACAUUAACAGCUAUCAAGGGUUCAACACUGAACUAUUGUUCUUUUGCAUCAGGUUACUGUUACAUUGGAAUGCUUUGAUUUUUCUUUUCUGGUGGUAAAACAAGGAAUCAUUGCGGAUGUAACAUUUGCAAUAAGUGAAAUACACGCCAUUGUGAUGGUAAAACAAUACAAUUCCUUCGUCACCACAAAAAGGUGAAGAAAAACAAAUACAGCGUAUAGAUUUGAAAUUCACAUGGCCCACAAUAUCUACGAGCUCAAUAGAUUGGGUCUUAUUGGUCAUGAAUUCCUCCAAUAGAGCAGAUCCAUAACCAUUGUCUGUUAGACCAUUAUCUGAAUUCUGUGAUCCAUAGUUCCCCUAGUGAUGCCCCGACGUUCUGGAGUCUAAUUUUGCGUUGGCCCCCACGCACUGCUAUCACCGUUGUCCCCCUUUCAUGAGUAGAGAUACAAUGCCAGGGAGGAGUCAUGUCGCUCAUUAAUUUGCAGAGCUCUCUUUCAGCUAAAAUGCGAACUUAUUCUAUUUUUCGUGGGAAAGAAGUGUGAAUUAAUUAAUGCAUAAGAUUAUUCUUGUGUAUUUAUCAAUCAAAUACAUACCUUAGCAGUACAUCAAUUGAUAAGAGAGCAUACAACUAAAGCAGUCGCUGACCCAAGGUGGCAUUAUUCAAGCACCCAACUAACUUAGGUAACAAUUUUUUGCAAGAAUUCUAGAGACAAUUCUAUAGGAGCAGUACUGCAGGAAUUUUUUUUUAUCAACAGAGCACCUGAUGCCUGAUCCAUUGGAACAUAUAUAAUCUAGCUAGACUAAUGCAAGAAAGCAAUUCAAUAUCAUCACUUAUGUCUUUGCAUUUCAUGCCUGUAAAGGCACAAUUCAAACCCCAUUUUCUUUAAUACUUGAAAGUGAAAAUUGAAUGGUGUGUCCCAAGAAUGCUAUGUUCUAGAAAAACUACGAUUGAUCCUUUAGAAAUGUACUUUUACACUCAUAACCUACGGACCAGGGGGAAAUAGUGCAUAAGCUAGAACACCACUCACUAUUACCUAUACCAUAUCCUCCAUUAAGGAAGAACUCACUAAAUGAAGGGGGAAGCACCACACCAUACCGGAAAGCACGAAACUCUUGUUAGUGUAAAAAGGAAAACUGAUAAUAUGUAUGCAUUUUCUGUCAAAGUCGACGACCUGUUCAUACCAAUGUACUUGUCCAUUAUCUUCCUUGAAUCGGAUGCAACUCAAUGUGGAAGACUAUCAACAGUGAGCACCUCCACGGUGCCAUCCACCGACCACCGGUUCCCGCUCCCGGCACCCAUCGCCCCGUUAUCUUUUUCGCUGCAGCUGCACGAGUACUGCACACAGGGCCGACCACGAACAUCAGCAGAUGUACGGGCUGGCCACGAGCAGCAGCAUGCACCGGCAAGAAGCAGCAGCAGGGGUAUGACAACGCGACCAUUCUGACACCCGUAAUUUUCCUAAGGAGUAACUAUUAGAAUCUAAGUCAAUUGUCUUGGAAGAAUAUCCCAAUCAAGUAGCCCUUGUUGGUUAUGCAACCACCUUAUUGGCCUUUUUCCAACUCAUAAAAGUUUUUUAGAUUGAUUUUUAGUCAAUUGUUGUCUUGACAAUCAUACAAUUUUUUGUAGUCAUAAUUGUUAAAGAUAUAUGUUUUCAAUAUCCAUCUCCUUCAAUCUACAUGCGCUCAGUGUGGCAGCUCUCAUCCAAGAAAAAUCCCCGGAUGAAAGAAAUCAGAAUCCAAAUUUGUCUUUGAUAGAUAGUAAUGACAAUACAAUCAAGGACAUUCCUUGAACACCUAUGAGGAUUCUCCUUGAAAUAAACAUGGCAGGAAUAACUGUAUACACAUGUUGAUGAUUUAAGGAGUCAGUCAGAAGACAAGGGGGAAGUAAACGAGGAUAUGUCGAAUUUGCCUGUGAACGUAAGUACUAUUACCUUUUUUUUCUCAGAUCCCAUACUCCAUUUACAUAAUCAUAAACUCUGUAAUUGAACGGAUUAAAGAAUAGGCUGCCAUACAAACAUUACAACAAUGUUAGUAAUGUAACUCCUGUGACAUUUCACAAAAAUGACAUUUUUCUACACUUUGAGUACAAGAUUUCCUAUAGAAGAUUUGUGCUAAAGCUUGAAACCCGUAAGAACAAAAGACAAGACAAGCAAAUAAGGGUUAGAAACCAAAGCUCUAAGAACCAAAAUUCAAGAUGUGAUAAUCCUAUGAUGUUGAGCUGCGCAUCUUAGCACAUUGGAAAGUGUCUCUCACUUGAUGAAUAUAAUUUCAAAACACGAUUUUAGUCUGCAAACAAUCAGAAUCAGGUCAAUGGAACAAUGGCAACUGAGAUUUUUUUCGAGAACACGCAACGGCGCGAGACGGCAUCUCAGUUCGGCCUAGGAAGCAUGCGAGGCGGUCAACCUUGGUGAGGCACAAAUGCGUAAGCAUCCCAUCUAGGGCGUUCUCCCUCUCUAUGUCAGUCGAGGCCGGCAGGCGGCCAAUGAUUCCACCAUUUAGUACACAGUAUAUAUAGCGUAUUUAAAAGUAUUUUUAUCCACCAUAAUAUAUACUCCCUCCAUUUCUAAAUAUAAGUCUUUCUAUGGAUUUCAAUACAAACUACAUACGAAUGUAUAUAGACAUAUUUUAGAGCAUAGUUUCAUCCAUUUUACUUUGUAUGUAGUCCAUAGUGGAAUAUCUAAAAAAUACUUAUAUUUAGAAACAGAGGGAGUAGUACUAACUAUAUUACCAGAAAUUCAGUGAACAAAUGUUAACACAUCUACACAUAUUUAUAUUGAGCUUUUUGACAGAAUUUGAAACAUCCUAGAUGUGUCCUUACUAAUCAACUCCCCUUUUUUGCUUUGAUUAUUCACGCCUCUAUUCAAAUCAAUUUGGUUUACUGUCCUUAACAGUAUAAAGUUCAAAUCACUUUCCUCCCAAAUUAUUUACUUUUCGCAAUAAUGGUAUCUUCAGACCCAAAUAACAAAAUCCUAUUACUAAGUAAAUUCAAGAGAGGUAAUGCAUGUAGAAAUACUAAGAAAUUAAGUGCACCUUCAUGUGUGGACUGGUAGUAGGUUUUUACAAAAUAGAAAUUGCACUAUAUACAUAGAUAUCAGAGAAUUUAAAUCUGACAUGCAUCCUAACAAGAGAAAAAAUAUCCCCAAACUCACAACUCACAUGGGUAAGCAAAUUAAUUGUGGAUACGUAGAUCCUUUUACGUGUGCAUAGAAAUAGCAAUAUAAAUGAAUCAACCAAGCCCCAGCAUGCUGACCUUAUAGAUGACUGCAGGGAAUUGUUUCUCUUGUUUCAUUGUGAGAGUGGAUAGGAUCGUUUCCUUUCUAGUGCCUACAAAUCAAAGACCAAUUGACAUAAGAUUGGAAGAAGGCUAUGCCGCUGAAAAAGUGAGCUAGACGGGGUUGCUGACGGCAGAGACAUGCUGUAUGUACCAAGUAUGUAGAAUGUAGUGAAGAAAUGCAUCAUGUUUAACAUCAGACAUGCUUGAUAUGCAUUAAGUUGACAUUAAUAAUUUCCAGGCAGGCAAAAUUUAAGAAAAUGCUGCAUGAAUCUGAAUUGCACACUAAAUGAUUCAUCAUUGAAUAUAAGAACAAAACUAAAGAGUGCUCCUCCAUCUAAACAAUCCACAAGUACUCGUUAAACUGGAAUUAUUUAUCACCUUCACUUAGCCAUAGUAAUUCUGAAGACUGAAUUUCAGAAACAACAAUUCUAAUAAUCAUUACAAGGGAAAGUACCCAUAUUCUUGUUUGAGGCUAUCGGUAGUAAGACUGACGGGUUUUCCUCCGUUUUGAUUUCUUGGUGAAAUCUAACUAUCAAGUCUCGAUGAGGAUAACUGGAAGUAGCUGACCAGCAGAUUCGUAGUAACAACACUAUGCUGAAAACCAUAUGCACUGUCACAUAAAAACUAAUUGUAUCUGAGUGACUCGUACAUAAGUGUCCUACUGAACAACUGAGCAAAAAAAACACAAAAUGCAGAUAAAGGUGUUAUUCAUAAAAAACACAAGAUGGUAUUCCCAUACCUGUGCAGAUAGGCAGUGUGCUAGCAACAUGGAUGAUGCUUCCGUCGGUGUUGGUAGCCAUCUUCCCUAUCACCAUGAAGAAAAAUAUUCAACCAUAGCCUGCAUAGCAAACACAUCUCCAUAGGAAAACGUAUAAUAAUUUGUAACAGAUCGUCACUUCUAUUGGUACUUUUGCUGCUCCCAACAGAAAUGCACCAGACACACUUCAUCCAAAUUAAUGGUAGGACAAGGGACAAAGGACAAGGCCAUACCUGCGAUCACAAUAACAUGGAAAAUCAGAACACAAAAUUCGAAUUGAUUUGGUAAUCUUCCCCUGAGUGAAUAAAUGAAUUUGCUCACACAAUCUGAAGCAGUUGAUGCCGCUACGGUCCGGCUUACAACUGUAGAAGCUGAGCCCUUGCUGGACGGUAACAUCAGUCCCUUACACUCUGCACCUAUUUGCACAGAUGACAGAUCACAAUCACACUCAUUGCACUAAAAAGGUACCUUGGAGCACAAGUUGUUGGAAUCAGUAGCUGGACAGCUAGUGCGUCGAUAUCAUUCAGCUCUCCUGUACUUCCUAGUUGCAAGACAACAAUUCUAAAACAUGACGCUGAAGUGAGCAAUUGCCUAAUUUUUCUGCCCCAGGUGCAAACUCUCCCAAUCCUUACUCAUGAAUAGACACACAGACCAUACAUUGUCAGAUUUUCAAAGAUCGUUUAAAAGUCUCGUAAUACCAGUUCCACGUGAUGAUUCGACACUUGUUUAAAGAAAUUCCUAAGACAGUACGGAUCUAGACGGCGGGCUAGGAGCUGAUAUAGGAAUCGUACCAUUGAUAAACAAAUGUCGGUGAUUUUCUUGUCCCCUCCGAGGCAUUGCAGAUGUCGUUGGUGACGAGGCUCCCGAUGGACUUCUCCCCUGCCUCUUCAAGUCAUUUGAACCUGCAGGAGUUGGCAUAUUCUUUCAAGCUAAACCUGAUACUAAGUUAUGUUACAUGAAAAUGCCAUUCAUUCUUCAUGAUUGUUUAAUGCACAGCUCUUAGCAGUCCACAAUCUUCUCUGGGAUGGUCAACAAGUUCAGGCAAUAGAAGGUUAGCUUGCAAAGUACCCAAAAACAACACAAUUCUAAGUCCAGCACCUUGGCGUACACAGCCAUAUAUGAUUUUUUAUUCCUUAAACCUUGCAUGUAAUAUCUCAUGUCUAAGGAAUGAACGAGAUUUCCGACUUCCUAGAGAGGCCUCAAAUGGUUUAGAGUCAUACAUCAUUACAUUGAGGAGUGAAAUACCUAAUUUAUAUGCUUGAGAGAUUAUCUUAAGAGAAAAGAAUAUUGUGUAAAGGCAAUAUGCUCUUCAAUUCUGGAAUUGCCUACCAAAUGAGAAGAAUGCAAACACAAAUAUGGCAACCAAUUUUUUUGUUGGAAAUGAUAUCUACAAGAUAAAAAUUAUGACACAUCUACUUGUAAUGUACAAAUAGACAUAUUAGUCCCUAGUAAAGCAUGAAACAAACCCAUCCUUCGACUUUUGAGGUCCAGUAAAAAUGCUUGUUACAAUGGUAGAAGUGACAACAAUACCAAUCGAAAUUAGAAGUAUAUAUACUGACAAAAAAUGAACUUUGAUUACAUGUUGUUUUUCAUGGUAUAGGGCUAGUGAUAAAAUUCACAAACUGUAGCAAAUACAUUAAAAAAAUUCGGGCUACAACACAGAACACCAAAUUUCAGUUGUUUCUUUUCUCGCCGUCAUUUUUAGUUUUGUACAUGGAAUCAUGGAAGUAACACACGCAGGGACAAAAGAUCACACCAUGGCUAAGAUAGUUUACCAUAUCUAUUUUUAAAUUCAGUCGCACUCUUCAUGAACUCUAGAUCCCAAUGGUUGUCCAAAAGUGGACACGGAUGUAAAGGUAGUACUGGGGGUUGGGGCAACAUCAUAUUCCUUCUCUGUCGUCUUCCCUAAACUCCUCUCUCUUGCCAAAAUUUGGACUGUAUCACUACUUUCAAUUGUCUGAAACCAACAGAAUGUCUGCACAACAUUCCCAUAUGCCUGAAAAUAUUUUGGAUGCACACAACACAUAUUGACAGAUAUGGAUUGACGGUUUUCAUGUCUUAUAAAAGCUUGACAGUCUUGACCAUGUCAUUUGUUAUUGAAUACUAAGCAAGCGUUGAGCAAAGGUACCUUAAGUUUUGCUUACGGAAUGUUGCUUCCGUCUAAUCGCUAUGCAUUGCGGUGAGAAUAUUGUACACCUUGCUGAGGCUGAAAUUAUUUACUUUGAGAUUCUUGAUGAAUUUUUUUCGUAAGAACUGGAUUGAUCUCACUGUGUGAGUUCCACUGCCUCUUCUCUUCACAAAUUGCAGAUAGAGGGUGAUUUUGCUGGUUCCUGAAUAUGCUCACAUACCAACCUGCUUUGCAUGAAGGUGAUGCAUCCUCGCCUUCAUUCUGUUUUGCACGAAGAAGAAUUACCUUUGUCCCUGUUAACCUGCACACAAAAAAACAAAGAAGACAAUGACAAUCCUACUGUCUACAAUAUAAAUACCAAGCAAUUUCAAAGCAUGAAAAAAAUUCAAGUGCAAGACCAUCAUGGAGUGGAUGGGGAAACGAGAAUAAUAUAGUUGUACUACAAUUUCAAGCAAGACGCUAUGUAACUGACCUAGCACCAGCACACAAUUUUGUGCAUCAACUGGUAACGUGCAUGCCCUCAUCUCGGCUUCCCAUGAUGAAUUCGGAAAUCAUUCUCCCAAGCGAAUAGCUUAUACUGUUCGUACGCUUCUUGGCAUGAAUCAAACGACAUGCCUUCUACAGGAACAAAAGUGUCGGCCGAGUGCUUGCCUUCAGAGUUUAGAAGACAUCUUCCAAUCGAGUUCAUCUUGCUUGGGGUUGCUCUGGUUGCAAGUCCAGUUUGAAUCCAGUUCCUGAACCAAAGAUUCAACUGUCAAAUCGUGUUUGGAACUGAAUUUUAGCAGGGAGGGAAAGGGGAGAGGAGCACUCACGGUUGUUGAAUCAGCAGCAUUGCAAGGCAAGAUAUGCACUCAGUGUUCUGAAAAUCUGCAGAAUAGACAUGAAACAUAAGUGUACCCUGCAUACAAAAGAAGACCAAGAUCAAUAAAAUGUGUAAAUUUGAGAACCACCAAAUCUGAUUCAAGCACAAAAGAACAAGGGAGAGCUUAUGCUAUCCUGCUGCUAGGCCACGGUCAUUGCCGGCGAGCACCCGGUCGAGGACUAUCGCAAGUUUGCAACACAUCCGCAAACCUGGCCUUGUCGCUGCUCUCCAUGUCCGCGCCAGUCCCACCCAAGAUCAUGAAGCACAAGGACAGGAGCAGGAGACGUUAAUGGAUGUAUGUAUCAGUGCCCAAUAGAUGUACAUACGUACUGUGAAAAAUUGAUGUGGCUUCCAAUGGAUGAACAUGCAAAGGGCGAAGGCGGACCUCGGCAGCGAUGUCCAGAUGGCGACCUGCAGGUGCGCAACGAAGGCGGCGGCGUCUCCUCUAGGAUCUCGGCACCGGCUCCUCGAUGACCCCUCAGCCUUUAGAAACUUGGAGGCUCACUAUUAGUUCUAAUUUUCACGGCCUAUUAAAUCUGAGUUAAUUGCACAGAAGUACCACAAUUCGGGCAUCACAUGCAGAUUGGUAUUACGAUUGCUAAUUUUUACAUGUCAGUACCAACAUUGGUCUGGGUUUUUGCAAAUUAGGCUAAAACGCAUAUUUAUACGUGUUGACAGUGUAUCUGACCGAGGAGGCCCGUCUGUCAGAUGCUUAUGUGGCAGUUUUUUUGCAGAAAACCCCCUAGCUUUAUAUGUAAUCACGUAAAUGCCCAUUAUUUUCGCGGUAAAACCAGUACUGAGAGGGAUUUUUUUCAUUCGCAAGUUUUUCACGGACUUGUUUGAAAGUUUCCAGCGAAUAGAACAUAUAAAUAACAGUAAUCACGUAACUGCCCAUUAUUUUCGCGGUAAAACCAAUACUGAAAGGGAUUUUUUUCAUUCGCAAGUUUUCCACGGACUUGUUUGAAAGUUUCCAGCGAAUAGAACAUAUAAAUAACAGUAACGAAAAGAAACGCGCGGGGAGGAUUCGAACCCACGUCCCGCGACCUGCGGCCGCAAGGCAGCGCGCGCACAACGCCACAGCGUCGCACUUGACAAGAUACAGGCCAAACUUUUAUCUACUACCACUAUAAAAAAAAGAAAAAGGCAUAUCCAAACAAUCCCACCAUCCAUCAUCAAAAUCUAAUGACCCUUAAUUAUUCUGUGUUUAACGCUACCAACCACGCAACAAGCCACAACCGAUCGCUAAUCGCCCCGCAUUAACAAAACCGGUCGCCCGCACGACCUUCACCUUCUCCUCCCGCACGACCUCCUCCCCCUCCCGCGCCGUUCGCCUCCCGCAGCCUCGCGCCGAGCCACGGGAAGCCGCGCCCUUCACCGCCGCCUCNNNNNNNNNNNNNNNNNNNNNNNNNNNNNNNNNNNNNNNNNNNNNNNNNNNNNNNNNNNNNNNNNNNNNNNNNNNNNNNNNNNNNNNNNNNNNNNNNNNNNNNNNNNNNNNNNNNNNNNNNNNNNNNNNNNNNNNNNNNNNNNNNNNNNNNNNNNNNNNNNNNNNNNNNNNNNNNNNNNNNNNNNNNNNNNNNNNNNNNNNNNNNNNNNNNNNNNNNNNNNNNNNNNNNNNNNNNNNNNNNNNNNNNNNNNNNNNNNNNNNNNNNNNNNNNNNNNNNNNNNNNNNNNNNNNNNNNNNNNNNNNNNNNNNNNNNNNNNNNNNNNNNNNNNNNNNNNNNNNNNNNNNNNNNNNNNNNNNNNNNNNNNNNNNNNNNNNNNNNNNNNNNNNNNNNNNNNNNNNNNNNNNNNNNNNNNNNNNNNNNNNNNNNNNNNNNNNNNNNNNNNNNNNNNNNNNNNNNNNNNNNNNNNNNNNNNNNNNNNNNNNNNNNNNNNNNNNNNNNNNNNNNNNNNNNNNNNNNNNNNNNNNNNNNNNNNNNNNNNNNNNNNNNNNNNNNNNNNNNNNNNNNNNNNNNNNNNNNNNNNNNNNNNNNNNNNNNNNNNNNCGCCCGUCGCCCCGGGAGCCGCCCCAUCGGAGCCGCCGCCCGUCGCGCGCCGGGGGAGCCCCGCCGCAGGAACCCGGCACCCCCUCGCCUCUCCAGUGCCUGCCUCGCCUCCCUCACGCGAACCUGCUCUACGCGCCGCCCCUCAUCCUCGGCGGCGAGAGGUACGCGGGAGCUGCCGCCGCCGCUGCUGCCAGGGGCGUGGACGCGUGUGGGCCUACUGUCGGCGUACGAGGUCGCGCCUGAGCCUGCGGCACGGUGGCGUGGGGCCCUCCGCCGCCAGUUCCCUGCCGGUUCGAGAUCCCCCAUUGCUCUCCUGCCUGUCGUCGUUGGUCUUCCUGCUACCAGCCCCGCCCUUCUCCGCCCUAUCUCCAAGACAACGUUCUGCUCCAUCCGUUGGUAAGUAGCGACCAUGUCAUCUCUUCCCCUUUCAAUCCCUAUAGUACUUUUCCCAUGGUGUUUUUCGAUGGUGAUGAAACUCAGGCGCCCAUGACCACCGUGUUUCUUUUCCUUUUAUUCCUUGGCCGUAGUUUUCAUGAAUCGCAAUGGUUUUCAUUAGCUAUAAGCAUGUAACUGAUAGAGUAAGGCAUGGCUGUUUGCUUUGAUCAAAUCCAACCCCAUUAUCAAAUGAAAUGCUAGGAGAAAAUAAGUUGGUAGCACUUCUCUUUUUCCAAAAGAGAUGGCAUGCUGGGCAGCAGUGCUCUUUUGGUUUUGAAUAGCUGCAGGAUAAAAUGAUCACCCAGUUAGUCACGGGCUCAUGGCUGGGUUAAAUGUAUUCAGAAGAAGAAGUCUCUGACCGCCACACACCUGUCGUCGACCAGCACAUCAGGUAACCCACCCGCUGUCCACCAUUGGAUUCAGUUUCGCCUUCAAACUGUGUUUAUGCAUAAAUUCAGAGUCACGGAAUAAAAAUGCUUCUUUGUUGUGAUAAUCUAAAAUUUCCAAAGAUUUAUUCCAAGUGAUUCUCCAGAUUUGUCCCCUCGGAGUAGUCAAUUCUUUGUUGUAGACAAGAUGGUACUCCUCGGAGUAGAAGUUGAUGUACUGAAGUCAUCUUCAAGUGCUGGUAGAAGCUGAUUUAGUCGAUUCUUUGGAAUAAAUUGCAGCAAAUUACAGUACGGCGCUGUUCAAUACGAAUUGGAUUUGUUGUAAAUUUUACAGGUUGACUAAGGUGCUGUUGAGAUGACUACGCUGCUGUCAAUUUAAAUAAACCUGAAUUGACUUUGGAGUAAAACAGGGUAGACUUCAACUUCAAACAAUAGCAGUAAGACAAUAAUAGUGGCUUUUUAGGCUUUUUUUAGAGUGUGUUUCAUGCUGGCCUACAAUGAUGAACUAGGGCUGGCUUAUAUUCUGUUUUUGAAUUCGGUUGAUGUGCAGAUUUAACAAAUUGCAGUAGGGCUGGACUUUUCAUAGGUAGCAGCCUCAGUUUAUCUCCAAGGGAUUAUUGUUCGCAGGCACUAUUGUAGGCAUUUUGGGAUAUAGGGCUGGCCUUUUUCAACUGUAGGUUUUCACAAACAGUAGACAUCUCAAUACUUGCUUCUUGGAACAGCAACACACCAAGAAUAAAUUAACAGAUCAACAAAUGGUCCAGGAAACAUAGCUGCUUGCUGGUAUCUCCUGAAUUUUGAACCAAAACAAGAUCCAAUUCAUAAAUGAACAAAAACAUGGCGCUAGCUGGUAUCUCCUGGUAACACACCAAAUUAUUCAAAUAAAAUACUCCAUGUAAUUCAAAUAAAUACUCCUGUACAGGAGCCACCAUACAAACCUCUAUGUAAUAUGUUGUGAGUACAACUUGAGAGAGUUUCAAAGAAAUAAAAGAAAACAACUAACACUUCAGAGAAUAUAUUGUUGUUUAUAUAAACUAAAACCCAUUUUGGUUGUGAUAAACAGAGAAAAUAAUAUAGAACUGUGGUCUAACAAUUUUGUCGUGAUUCUUCUAAUUUGAAUUUGAAUGCAUCAAGGUAUUGUCAAUUUCUGUGACAGGAUUUUGUUGUGAAUUUCAGAUUUUAGAAGAAGAGAUUGGUGGUGUUAAAGGACAUUUUGGACCAAUCAAUGAAUUAGCAUUUAAUCCUGAGGGAGGAGGUUAGUUCAUACUCUAAAUUGUAUUUCUAUUUCUUUGUUUGUAUUUUGCCUCUGAUCAAGAUUAGCAUUUAAUCCUAAACAUUUUAACAAUCUCCGAGUCCAACUUUCAGGUCUUGAAAGUAGCAUAUACUCCCUCCGUUCCUAAAUACUUGUCUUUCUAGAGAUUUCAACAAAUGACUACAUACGGCGCAAAAUGAGUGAAUCUAUACUUUAAAAUAUGUCUACAUACAUCUGUAUGUUGAGUCCAUUUAAAAUGCCUAGAAAGACAAGUAUUUGGGAAUGGAGGGAGUACAUCAAAUGUUUGUGGACAUCAUGCAUGGAUGAAAAUCUGGGAACAGUUAGUUUGUUGGCUAUGUCUUGUCAUAGCUGGGUGCUCGUGAUUCAAAAGAUUUAAAGGUGACCUCGUCAAAGCAUUGUUUAGCAAAAAGAACACUGCAGGUAAAAACACAAGAAGGAAACAUUGUGAUGUUUGUCUGAAUUUAUUUCCUACACACCAGUUUUUUGUCUCAACGUCUGUAGAGGUUAUGCUUGUGCUACUGAAUUUAAAAUUGAAUAGAGCUAUCAUUUAGAUGCGCUUUUGAUAGCCUGCAGUUGGUUAUUUGGUUGUCCCAAACUCAAGAUCAAUGCAAUCACCUACUGUUAGUUCCAUUACAAUUCUAUUUCAUAACAGAAAAAGAGCACACUGCUUUGUUUGUUAAAGAUAAACACCUCCUUUAGUGUUCACAAGGGAAUGGCCACAAAAAUUGAUGUGUUUGUCUUCUAUCUCUAAAUAAAAAAAAGGCUAUAUAUGCAAAUUGUACCAGUAUUGAUUUGUAAUAUUUUCUGGUACAAUCAAACUAUCUUUGUAUGCAUGUUAUUCUCACAUAUACUUGUAUAUUAGUCGAGACGUGCAUUUGCACGUGCACGCUUACUAGUUAUACUAGAACACACACGCUGGGCCGGCAGCUGGGCCAAGCAAAGCCUGCAAUUUUUUUUCCGUUCAGUUACACACUUGCUGCCCUUUUACUCUUCGUUCUUUUUUUGUUUCUUUUAAUAUUUUUCUUUAUUUAGAUUGGCGAGCUGUUUUCCAAAAUCCGAUAAGCUGUUUUCAAAAUCACAAGCAUUAUUUCCAAAUUGAUGAACUUUUUUAAUUUAUAGUGAUUACUUUCUUAAUACAUGGUGAAAAUUUUGUAUUUCAAAAAACGUUCAGAAAACCCCCUUGCUUUGUAUUUAAUCACAAAAGUGUUGAUUUUUUUUGCGGGAAAAAAAUCUGGGAGGCUUUUUUUUCCGUUCGCAAUUUCCAACAGCGAGUCGGACUGGUUUGAAAAUUACCGCCACUUGAACAAAUAAAUAAAUAAAAAGAAAAAUCCCGCGCUGACGGGAAUCGAUCCCGCGACCAGCCGCUCACAGUUCUGCGCCAUGUUUCUAAAAUUGAUUGUGAUUACAAAAUUAUUUUUAAUACAAGUUCUGCGCCAUGUUUCUAAAAUUUAAUGCAUUUAAAAUUAUGUGUUCAUCUUUAAAUGCAUUGAAUACAAGAAUCAUUAAGAAACCAGGCAAAAAGUUCUUGAAACACAUCAUGUAUUUAGAAAAUGUUCACCAUAAAUUACAAAACGUUCACCGCGCAUUAUGAAAAUGUUCAUCAUAUCUUAACAAUAUCAAGAUAUAUUACAAAAAUAUUCAAUUUGCAUUUAACCACAAGCAUUAUUUUGAAUUUGUUUCAAGAUUAAUGAACUUUUUCACAAAUCAAUUUACUUCUUCACAACCAGUGAAUUUAUCAAAAUCAAUGAAGUUCUUUGGAAAAUCGAUGAUUUUUUUCAAAAUAUAUUUGAACACGUUGAUUUUAAGAAACACGUUGAUUUUUUAAAUAAAAUUUGAACAGUUUUGAUGCAUUUCUAAUAUUUAUUAUGAUUACACAAUUAUUUUUAAUACAUUUUGUCUACUUUUCAAGUAACUGCGCAUUAAAAUUAUUUUUUUUGAGAAACAAGUAACUGCGCAUUGAAGAAAAUACAAUUAAUACACGAGUAACAAAAAAAAUUCUGUGUAUUGGGCCUGAGUGAAGAGACAUAAAAUUUGGGCCAUGCGCAGCCUCAGUAAGACCAACUUACUGCCCAACGUCUUAAAGCGCUUAUAAAAGGUAUCUCGCCCCAUAUCCGUUGCAGGAAUCUCCGCGGCGUCGUGGCUAGGGCGCGCGGCUGUAGUGCUGCAGGUCGCGGGUUCGAAUCCUCCACGCGCGGGAUUUUUCGUUUCUGUUAUUUAUUUGAUUAAUAAAACGCCGGAAACUUUCAAAUAAGUCCGUGGAAAACCUGCGAAUAAAAAAAUUCCCACUCAGUAGCAGUUUCAUCGCGAAAAUAACGAGUAUUUAUGUGAUUACAUAUAAAGCAAGGUUUUUUUUUUUGCAAAAAAUAUGCCACGUCGGCACCUGACAGACGGGCCCCCUCGGUCAGAUACACUGUCAAUACGUAUAAAUACGCGUAUUAGCCUAAUUUGCAAAAAACCAGACUAAUGUUGGUACUGACAUGUAAAAAUUAGCAAUCACAGUACCAAUCUGCAUGUGAUGUCCGAAUUGUAGUACUUCUGUGCAAUUAACUCAUUAAAUCUGCACGUUGCUCCCUGCAUAUUCACGCAAAAUUAGAAAACAACAUGUAUCGUUGUUGCUUGAUCAAGCAAACACCACACAUAGGCAUGCACACGCAACAAGCAUCCAUCGGCACCCAGCAAGCAGCAAGCAAGCACACACAGACGCCGACUUCAUAGAAGCAUCAAUCAGUGGAGAUCACGCACUCACACAUGCUAGCUGAGCCUAGUGACGAGCCAAGGGCCACCCCGGCGAGGGCCAGGGCCGGCAGAGCACAGCGGACGGAGGCCAAACGCGGCUGGCAGAUGCAGAUCCGCGGAACUCCGGGCAGAGCGUCGCCACCGGCGCCCCCCAUGGAGUUAAGCAGGAGUGGGGGAAGCGGGUGGUGGAGGAGGGCGCUGGGCUUGGGGUCACAGUCGGAUGAAAGGACAGAUCCGGCGAUGAUGUAGUCGUCGCGCGCGACCCGAUCUGUGCGCCGCAAGCAGGCCCAACGGCGGCCAACGAGUGCCGCGAUGGGGAGGAGGUGGGCCAUGCGGGCAGCCGAGUGCCGCGCAGAUCAAGCUGGCCGCCGGCGGGAGGCCAGCUGACGGCCACCAUGAGCGAAGGUGAUCGGAUCGAGGGGCGGAGAAGCUCGCGCAAACGGACUUGGAUUUCGACGGGAGACGCGUCCCUGCUUUCAGGAGCCGCCUUCGCGGCCACCGGCGAUGGCUGCCGGCAGCGGCGGCGUGGUUGUGGUGUGGGUCUGUGACGGCUAGGGUUGGGGGGCGCCCCGGUGUCGCCCUAGGAGGAGAGCGGAGGUGGUGGGUGCGUUUUUUUUGCGUGCGGGAGGUAGUCGCUCGAGGGCAGCGUGCAUGCGUGCGUGCGUGCAGGUCGUGCCCGUUUUUUCGCUGGUUUUUCUUCGUAGAUUUAUUUUCGUCUGGUUCUGUCGCUUGCGAGGGGAGUAUGUACGGGCAUCGCUAGGUGGUUUGCUUUGAGUUUUUUUUGCCGCUCGUCAGUUCAGGGGGAAUCGCUGGGAGGUGGAAGGUGGGAGGGGAGGACCAAAAAAACUAUGAUAGGUGGAACAAAAAUUGACCGACGAAGAUUACCAACUGCCCAUUACAAGUAGAGAUCAUCGAACAAGGGGACCUCCUUUUGGGCGCUCUCUACGCCGUGGAACCAACUGGCGGCACUCACCUAUAGUGCUCAGUUGGGCCGGUCCAUAAAACGCGAAAGCAGAGAACUUACAGCAUGGAAAAAACCACAAAACAAUUAGCUUUGUCCAAGAUUCAAACUCGCACCAUUGGGCUCCCAUACAAGUCUUGCUAACCACUCAGGCUACUCAAUUGCAUUGACUGAAAACAGCGCAAAAGAAUAUAAGAACUGUGGAUGCACUAUUUAUACUAUAUCUCUAAGAUUUUGGAAUUAUUUGAAAAAACUUAAAUUUUAAAAAGCUCAACGGUUUUGGAAAAAGUUCAUAGGUUUUGAAUAAAUUUUGUUCAAUUUUAAAGAAAGUUCAUUGAUUUAAAAAAUCAUUGAUUUUGAAAAAAGUUUGUUCGAUUUGAAAAAGGUUCAUAUUUUAAAAAAAAUUCUCAACUUUAAAAAAAAGUCAUCUAUUUUAAAAAAUUACAUGAAUUUUGAAAACAAGUUCAAUAAUUUUGGAAAAAAAUCGAUUUUGAAAAAAGCUCAUCCAAUUUAGCAAAAGUAGAAAACCAAAAAAAUAAAAAAUGAACAAACUGUUACAAUAAAAAAAUAAACAAGAAAAAAUACAAAAGAGAAAAGAAAAAGAAGAAAAGCAGGAAAAAGAUAGAACGGGACACGUCAGGCGUAGGUGUUUUUUGAACACAGUACAGAUGCAAGCGAUCAUAUACACGCGCAUACACUCACCCCUAUAAACGCACACACGCACACCCUCCCUCUAUGAGCACCUCCAAAAGACUGAACCGGCAUAUCAUCUUGAAAUUUACGAACUCACCCUAGGCACCUCGUCAUCGACGGGAACGUCUCCUCCCACUAAAUGCGCAUCGCCGGAAAUCUUGAAAUAAAUUCAAAAAUAAAUGCGAGCAUCAGGACUUGAACCCUGAUGGGCUGGAGAUACCACAAUCUCUCUAAAAAUCCAACCACAAGUUGGUUCGCGUCAGGUGUAGGUGUUGAGAUUGUUAGAGCCGCUUAUGUAAGAGGAGGAGGCCAUUGGUUCGAAACUCACCUGUCGCAGAGAUUUUUCCAUGUUGAAAACAUAAAAAGGGAAGACGGCUACGCACCCGUUUGCUUAAAAGAAGGAACAUUUCUUUAUUCCGGGACUGGGUGUUGACUUCCGUUUUUUUUCUUCCAUUUUUCCUUCUUUUCUUCCUGUUUUCUUUAUUUCUUGAACUAGAUGAUACCUCACGCGUUACGCUUGGGGACAUCUAUGGGAACAAAAAGGUAUAUAUAUUGACAUAUUCUAUUUAUAAGAAGCAUUCACUUCUACUGCGACGUGCUAUACAAAUGAUUUUAACCCCUUUUCGCGACGGCGUUUGGAACCGUCGUCAAGUGAGUGUGGGCGAUAGGGGAUCCUUACCACACGACCCAGAAACUGUCAGGGAUAGGCCCUCCUGGCACACUAGCUGGGGCAAAAAAAAGUUCGUGUGCGAUCUGGCGGGACAUUGAAACCGAAUUGUUUCCGUUCGUAUGUACAUCCCACACGGUGAAUUUCAGAAAAACAUUUCCGCUCGUAUGUAUAUCGUACACAGUUUUUUGUAUGGAAACGUUUGUGUAAGGUAGCCUAAUGCAAACGGCUCUCUGUCGGAAGCCAUGUGUGAUUGUUAGUUGAUCGAACACGCCUACUUUCUAGAAACCGUGCGUGUUGUUUGAGUUCAUCGCCCACGGUGCUAUCUGAGUAACCGUCUGCAAUAGAAAACCCCAAUAAGCGGGAUAAUCAGCCUAUUAUUGAUAAUCCAUGCACUAAUCAAAUUGAUAUUUCUUAUAAAAACACACCAGAUAUUUCAUAUCUGUAUAAUAGCAACUAUGAUUUCAUAAUCGAAUUACAUCAGAUAGCUUCGACACUCAGUUCUGUCAUUACACAAUAGCACCAAGUUUCACAUGCAACAUCAAAAACCUUUGGAAAGUAGCAUCAUACACGGUAAAUAGAUAGAUGAAUCUCAUCUGGGAAACUGCAGAAGCGGAAGGCAAAUGUUGAGCCUUCAGUGAUGUUGAAUGUCCUUGCAACUUAGGCCAGUUGCUAUGGAUAAUUGCCCGACCAACCUUCGUCCUCUUCAGCAAGACUUCAAUAUUGUACCGUGGGUGUUGAAUGAAUACCUUCCUCGCCUCUUGACCAUGCAGGUGGUUUGAGAGGUAAUUAUCGGUGAACUGCUUUAAAAAGUACUGAAAACAAAGAUAUGCUAACAAGGUAAAAGAGUUAGUACCAUCCUAUAGUUGACUGAUGGCGCAAGGGGUAAAAAUAAGGUAAAAGAGUUAGUACCAUCCUAUAGUUGACUGAUGUCUUCUUCAUUGUGCAAACAAAGAUCUUGCUGUUAUUCUUCGCAAGUUUCUUCAUCCUAACAAUCUUUCUGACUUUCUUAACUUGACUGAUAUUCAUGGACAUCUCAUUUCCCCAUAUGCAAAAUGGGUCGAACAGUGGGUCUAAGCCUCUGAUAGCAGGACCUACAUGUGCAAGAACAAAUUGUAAAAAACCUAAAUAUUAGAAUGAUUCCUGCAACUGCACAAUAAUGUAUCUAAUAUUAGAUUGUUAGGAUGUAUCUAAUAUUAGAACCCGACUUGAUACAUCCGUAUCUAGACAAAUGUAAGACAACAACUUCUAGACGGAGAGAGUAUUUAUGAACUCCUUGUGUUGUCUUAACGGUUUUGAUGAAUUCUUUUCUCUAGUAGCGAAGAGCACUUAGUAUGGGCGGAUCGACGGAAGGACCGUGGAGCUACCCUUCGGCGAUGUAGCGGUAUGUAGCCUCCGUGUAGUGAAUCCCGUCCCGGUGCGGCUCGACCGGCUGCGGUGGGGCUCGACGGCGGGUCUCCAACGAGCUUAGUGGUCCUUGGUGCGGUCGUUGGCCGCGGGGCGGCGUGGCGGUGCUGGUGGCCGGCGGCGCCCACGCGGCCCAGAUCUGGGCCCUUUCGGGCUCCAUCUGGGCUAGGACGGGCUAGCGUAUCAAUGCGCGGCGACGCUGCUCCCUGGUUGGUGGCGAAGUGGCAGUGAUCUGCGGGCGGUGGUGGCUUCUUCGGCCGACGAGCUGCAGCGUGACGACAGUGGCUGUCCGAACCCUUUUGGGUCCGGGCGGGCCUCCGCGCCUGGCAGGCCUCCGCGCCUGGCAGGCCCCUUGUCCAUGCGUCCAGUCGGCUCCGCGGUGUCGGCGGUGGUUGUCUCCUCACGUCAGCGAUUUUGCGGAUGCCCCCGAGGCCACUAUCUCUUCUCCCGUCCUCCAGUCCUUGUGUCGGUGACCUCAGGGAGACGGCGAAGUUGAUUCGGUGGCCGUGGUGGCACAUGUUGGUGGGCGGCGGGAUGGGCGGUGCACUAUGAUUCGUCUGGGUGGUGGUGGGGUUUGGGUUGGGAGAAAUCUCUGGCGGCUCAUCUGGCUCCAAUACGGCGACACCUGUGGGUGCCGCCGGACCUUCAUGAAGGGCGUCGGGUACACCCCUGAAGGAAAUAUGCCCUAGAGGCAUUAAUAAAGUUAUUAUUUAUUUCCUUUAUUGAUGAUAAAUGUUUAUUAUUCAUGCUAGAAUUGUAUUAACCAGAAACUUAGUACAUGUGUGAAUACAUAGACAAAACAUAUAGUCCCUAGUAUGCCUCUACUUGACUAGCUCAUUAAUCAAAGAUGGUUAUGUUUCCUAACAAUAGACAUGUGUUGUCAUUUGAUGAACGAGAUCACAUCAUUAGGAGAAUCAUGUGAUGGACAUGACCCAUCCGUUAGCUUAGCAUUAUGAUUGUGUCAGUUUCAUUGCUACUGCUUUCUUCAUGACUUAUACAAGUUCCUCAGACUAUGAGAUUAUGCAACUCCCGAAUACCGGAGGAACACUUUGUGUGUUACCAAACGUCACAACGUAAAUAGGUGAUUAUAAAGAUGCUCUAUAGGUGUCUCCGAAGGUGUUUUUUGGGUUGGCAUAGAUCGAGAUUAGGAUUUGUCACUCCGUGUUUCGGAGAGAUAUCUCUGGACCCUCUCGGUAAUACUCAUCACUAUAAGCCUUGCAAGCAUUGUGACUAAUGAGUUAGUUACGGGAUGAAGUAUUACGGAACGAGUAAAGAGACUUGCCGGUAACGAGAUUGAACUAGGUAUUGAGAUACCGAUGAUCGAAUCUCGGGCAAGUAACAUACCGAUGACAAAGGGAACGACGUAUGUUGUUAUGCGGUUUGACCGAUAAAGAUCUUUGUAGAAUAUGUAUGAACCAAUAUGAGCAUCUAGGUUCCGCUAUUGUUUAUUGACCGGAGAUGUGUUUCGGUCAUGUCUACAUAGUUCUCGAACCUGUAGGGACCGCACGCUUAACGUUCGAUGACGAUUGGUAUUAUGAGUUUAUGUGAUACGAUGUACCGAAGAUUGUUCGGAGUCCUGGAUGUGAUCACGGACAUGACAAGGAGUCUCGAAAUGGUCGAGAAAUAAAUAUUGAUAUAUUGGAAGGCUAUGUUUGGACACCAGAAAGGUUCCGAGUGGUUCGGGCAUUUUUUCGGAAUACCGAGAGGUUAUCAGAACCCCCCAGGGAGUCAAUGGGCCUUAAUGGGCCAUGGUGGAAGAGAGGAGGAGGCGGCCAAGGUGGGGGCGUGCCCCCCCAAGACCAAUCCGAAUUGGGAGGGGGGCGGCCCCCCUUUCCUUCUCUCCCUCUCCCUCUUCCUUCUUCUCCUACUCCAACUAGGGAGGGGGGAAACCUACUCCUACUGGGAGUAGGACUCCCCCCUUUGGCGUUCCAUAGAGGGCCGGCCCUCCCCCUCCUCCACUCCUUUAUAUACGGGGAGGGGGCACCCCAUAGACACACAAGUUGAUCAAGUUGAUCUUUUAGCCGUGUGCGGUGCCCCCCUCCACAGAUUUCCACCUCGGUCAUGUCGACGUAGUGCUUAGGUGAAGCCCUGUGUCGGUAACUUCAUCAUCACCGUCACCACGCCAUUGUGCUGACGAAACUCUCCCUCGACCUCAGCUGGAUCUAGAGUUCAUGGGAUAUCACCGAGUUGAACGUGUGCAGAUCGCAGAAGUGCCAUACCUUCGGUGCAAGGAUCGGUCGGAUCGUGAAGACGUACGACUACAUCAACCGUGUUGUCAUACGCUUCCGCUUUUGGUCUACAAGGGUACGUCGACAACACUCUCCCCUCUCGUUGCUAUGCAUCACCUAGAUAGAUCUUGCGUGAUCGUAGGAAUUUUUGAAAUUACCGCGUUCCCCAACAGUGGCAUUAGAGCAAUGUCUAUGCGUAGAUGUUAUAUGCACGAGUAGAACGCAAAGAGUUGUGGGCGAUAAUAGUCAUACUGCUUACCAACAUGUCAUAAUUUGAUUCGGCAGUAUUGUUGGAUGAAGCGGCCCAGACCGACAUUAUGCGUACGCUUACGGGAGACUGGUUGUACCGACGUGCUUCACACACAGGUGGCUAGUGAGUGUCUGUUUCUCCAAAUUUAGUUGAAUCGAGUGUGGCUACACCCGGUCAUUGUUGAAGGUUAAAACAACACACUUGACGAAAAAUCAUUGUGAUUUUGAUGCAUAGGUAAGAACGUUUCUUGCCAGAAGCCCGUAACAGCCACGUAAAACUUGCAACAAAAAAGUAUAGAACAUCUAACUUGUUUUUCCAGGGCUUGCUGUGAUGUGAUAUGGUCAAGGCAUGAUGUGAUAUAAAUUAUUGUAUGAGAUGAUCAUGUUUUGUAACAAAUUUAUCGGCAACUGGCAGGAGCCAUAUGGUUGUUGCUUUAUUGUAUGCAAUGCAAUCUCCAUGUAAUUGUUUUACUUUAUCACUAAGAGGUAGCGAUAGUCGUAGUAACAAUAGUUGGCGAGACGACAACGAUGCUACUAUGGAGAUCAAGGUGUCACGCCGAUGACGAUGGAGAUCAUGACGAUGCUUUGGUGAUGGAGAUCAUGAGCACAAGAUGAUGAUGGCCAUAUCAUGUCACAUAUUUUGAUUGCAUGUGACGUUUAUCUUUUAUGCAUCUUAUUUUGCUUAGAACAUCGGUAGCAUUAUAAGAUGAUCCCCUACUAAAUUUCAAGGUACAAGUGUUCUCCUUGAGUAUGUGCCGUUGCUACAGUUCGUGGUGCCGAAACACCACGUGAUAAUCGGGUGUGAUAAGCUCUACAUUCACAUACAAUGGGUGCAAGCCAGUUUUGCACACGCAGAAUACUCGGGUUAAACUUGACGGGCCUAGCAUAUGCAGAUAUGGCCUCGAAACACUAAGACCGAAAGGUCGAGCAUGAAUCAUAUAGUAGAUAUGAUCAACAUAGUGAUGUUCACCAUUGAAAACUACUCCAUCUCACUUGAUGAUCGGACAUGGUUUAGUUGAUUUGGAUCACGUGAUCACUUAGAUGAUUAGAGGGAUGUCUAUCUAAGUGGGAGUUCUUAAGUAAUAUGAUUAGUUGAACUUUAAUUUAUCAUGAACUUAGUACCUAAUAGUAUUUUGCAUGUCUAUUUGUUGUAGAUCAACGGCCCGUGCUACCGUUCCUUCGAAUUUUAAUGCGUUCUUAGAGAAAGCUAAGUUGAAAGAUGAUGGCAUCAAGUACACAGACCGGGUCCAUAACUUGAGGAUUAUCCUCAUUGCUACACAGAAGAAUUACGUCCUAGAAGCACCUCUAGGUGCAAGGCCUGCUACAGAUGCUACUAAUGACGUUAAGAACGUCUGGCAGAGCAAAGCUGAUGACUACUCGAUAGUUCAGUGUGCCAUGCUUUACGACUUAGAACCGGGACUUCAAAGACGUUUUGAACGUCAUGGAGCAUAUGAGAUGUUCCAAGAGUUGAAGUUAAUAUUUCAAGCAAAUGCCCGAGUUGAGAUAUAUGAAGUCUCCAAUAAGUUCUACAACUGUAAAAUGGAGGAGAAUAGUUCUGUCAGUGAACACAUACUCAGAAUGUCUGGGUACCACAAGCACUUGACUCAACUGGGAGUUAAUCUUCCUGAUGAUAGUGUCAUUGACAGAGUUCUUUAAUCACUGCCACCAAUAUACAAAAGCUUCAUGAUGAACUAUAAUAUGCAAGGGAUGAACAAGACUAUUCCCGAGCUCUUCGUGAUGCUAAAAGCUACAGAGGUAGAAAUCAAAAAGGAGCAUGAAGUGUUGAUGGUCAACAAGACCACUAGUUUCAAGAAAAAGGGCAACGUGAAGAAGGGGAACUUCAAGAAGAACGGCAAAAAGGUUGCUGCUCAAGAGAAUAAACCCAAGUCUUGACCUAAGCCUGAAACUGAGUGCUUCUACUCCAAAGGGACUGGUCACUGGAAGUGGAACUGCCCCAAGUAUUUGGCGGAUAAGAAGGAUGGCAAAGUGAAAUGUAUAUUUGAUAUACAUGUUAUUGAUGUUUACUUAACUAGUUCUCGCAAUAGCGCCUGGGUAUUUGAUACUGGUUCUGUUGCUCAUAUUUGCAACUCUAAACAGGGGCUACGGAUUAAGCGAAGAUUGGCUAAGGACGAGGUGACGAUGUGCAUGGGAAAUGGUUCCAAAGUCGAUGUGAUCGGGGUCGACACACUACCUCUACAUCUACCUUCGGGAAUAGUUUUAGACCUGAAUAAUUGUUAUUUGGUGCCAGCGUUGAGCAUGAACAUUAUAUCUGGAUCUUGUUUGAUGCGAGACGGUUAUUCAUUUAAAUCAGAGAAUAAUGGUUGUUCUAUUUAUAUGAGUAAUAUCUUUUAUGGUCAUGCACCCUUGAUGAGUGGUCUGUUUUUAUUGAAUCUCGAUAGCAUUGAUACACAUAUUCAUAGUAUUGAAGCCAAAAGAUAUAAGUUUAAUAAUGAUAGCUCAACUUAUUUGUGUCACUGCCAUUUGGGUCAUAUCGGUCUAAAGCGCAUGAAGAAACUCCAUACUGAUGGACUUUCGGAAUCACUUGAUUAUGAAUCACUUGGUGCUUGCGAACCAUGCCUUAUGGGCAAGAUGACUAAAACUCCGUUCUUCGGAACGAUGGAACAAGCUACUGACUUGUUGGAAAUAAUACAUACCAAUGUAUGCGGUCCAAUGAGUAUUGAGGCUCGUGGUGGGUAUCAUUAUUUUCUUACCUUCACAGAUGAUUUGAGCAGAUAUGGUUAUACCUACUUAAUAAAGCAUACGUUUGAAACAUUUGAAAAGUUCAAAGAAUUUCAGAGUGAAGUGGAAAAUCAUUGUAACAAGAAAAUAAAGUUUCUACGAUCUGAUCGUGGAGGAGAAUAUUUGAGUUGCGAGUUGGUCUUCAUUUGAAACAACAUGGGAUAGUUUCACAAUUAACACCACCUGGAACACCACAGCGAAACGGUGUGUCCGAACAUCGUAAUCGUACUUUAUUAGAUAUGGUGCAAUCUAUGAUGUCUCUUAUUGAUUUACCGCUAUCGUUUUGGGGUUAUCCUUUAGAGACGGCUGCAUUCACUUUAAAUAGGGCACGAUCAAAAUCCCUUGAGACGACGUCUUAUGAACUAUGGUUUGGCAAGAAACCAAAGUUGUCGUUUCUUAAAGUUUGGGGCUGCGAUGCUUAUGUGAAAAAGCUUCAACCUGAUAAGCUCGAACCCAAAUCGGAGAAGUGCGUCUUCAUAGGAUACCCAAAGGAAACUGUUGGGUACACCUUCUAUCACAGAUCCGAAGCAAAAUCUUUGUUGCUAAGAAUGGAUCCUUUCUAGAGAAUGAGUUUCUCUCGAAAGAAGUGAGUGGGAGGAAAGUAGAACUUGAUGAGGUAGUUAUACCUUCUCCCUUAUUGGAAAGUAGUUCAUCACAGAAAUCUGUUCCCGUGAUUCGUACACCAAUUAGUGAGGAAGCUAAUGAUGAUGAUCAUGAAGCUUCAGAUCAAGUUACUACUGAACCUCGUAGGUCUUCGAGAGUAAGAUCCGCACCAGAGUGGUAUGGUAAUCCUGUUCUGGAUGUCAUGUUACUAGACCAUGAUGAACCUACAAACUAUGAGAACAGAGUGUGGACUUUGGUGGACUUGCCCGAUGAUCGGCAAGCCAUAGAAAAUAAAUGAAUCUUUAAGAAAAAGACCGACACAGAUGGUAAUGUUACCGUUUACAAAGCUCGACUUGUUGCAAAAGGUUUUCGACAAGUUCAAGGAGUUGACUACGAUGAGACUUUCUCACCCGUAGCGAUGCUUAAGUCUGUCCGAAUCAUGUUAGCGAUUGCCGCAUUUUAUGAUUAUGAAAUUUGGCAGAUGGAUGUCAAAACUGCAUUCUUGAAUGGAUUUCUAGAAGAAGAGUUGUAUAUGAUGCAACCAGAAGGUUUUGUCGAUCCAAAAGGUGCUAAGAAAGUGUGCAAGCUCCAGCGAUCCAUUUAUGGACUGGUGCAAGCGUCUUGGAGUUGGAAUAAAUGCUUUGAUAGUGUGAUCAAAGCAUAUGGUUUUAUACAGACCUUUUGAGAAGCUUGUAUUUACAAGAAAGUGAGUGGGAGCUCUGUAGCAUUUCUGAUAUUAUAUGUGGAUGGCAUAUUGUUAAUUGGAAGUGAUAUAGAACUUCUGAAUAGCAUCGCUAUGGGAUACCUGAAUAAGAGUUUUUCUAUGAAAGACCUCGGAGAAGCUGCUUACAUAUUGGGAAUCAAGAUCUAUAGAGAUAGAUCAAGACGCUUAAUUGGACUUUCACAAGCACAUACCUUGAUAAAGUUUUGAAGAAGUUCAAAAUGGAUUAGUCAAAGAAAGGGUUCUUGCCUGUAUUACAAGGUGUGAAGUUGAGUCAGACUCAAUGCCGGACCGCUGCAGAAGAUAGAGAGAAAAUGAAAGUCAUUCCCUAUGCUUCAGCCAUAGGUUCUAUCAUGUAUGCAAUGCUGUGUACCAGACCUGAUGUGUGCCUAGCUAUAAUUAUAGCAGGGAGGUACAAAAGUAAUCUCGGAGUGGAGCACUGGACAUCGGUCAAGAACAUCCUGAAAUACCUGAAAAGGAAUAAGGAUAUGUUUCUUGUUUAUGGAGGUGAAAAAGAGCUUAUCAUAAAUGGACACGUCGAUGCAAACUUUGACACUGACCCAGAUGACUCUAAGUCGCAAACCGGAUACGUAUUUUUAUUGAAUGGAGGAGCUGUCAGUUGGUGCAGUUCCAAGCAAAGCAUCGUGGCGAGAUACGUGUGAAGCAGAGUACAUUGCUGCUUCAGAAGCAGUGAAUGAAGGAGUUCAUACCCUAUCUAGGUGUCAUACCUAGUGCAUCGGGUCCAAUGAAAAUCUUUUGUGACAAUACUGGUGCAAUUGCCUUGGCAAAGGAAUCCAGAUUGUCGGAUUUCGGGUUCCGGCAGACCCUUGAGGUUCGAACAUUGGGGUGCGCGCGAAGAUCUCUCCUCUACCAACUCACGUCUUGUCGCCGUGCAAAGGAUCUUGGCUAUACGAUGAACAACUCAAGAGACGCAAGGUUUAUACUAGUUCGGGCCACCGUUGUGGUGUAGUACCCUACUCUAGUUUGUGGUGUGUGGAUUGCCUCAGGGGCUGAUGAUGAACAGUACAAGGAAAGAACAGCCUCGCAAGGGGCUGUUCAUGAGCUGGCGCGAUGAACUGCUUGGGAGAGUUCAGUCGCCUCUUGGAUGCCUACCCGAUCUCUAGAUGCCUCUACUAUGUGGUGGCUAGUCCUAUUUAUAGAGGGAGGCCCUGGGCCUCUUCCCAAAUAAUGAGCGGGAAGGGCGCCAACAAUUGGCCAUUUUGAAGGGGAACAUCUAGUACACUUAUCCUGACUAAAGUUGGUCUUCGGCUGCCAAAGGCUCUGACGAUGACGCCGUCCUGGGCUCCACGAUGACCUCCAUCCUGCCGUUCUGCUGGUCUUGGUCUUGUUGCACCGAAACGGUAACCUUUGCCUGAUGCCUUGGCCUGUGCUUUCCCCCUUUGCACUGAAGGGGAAACAAGGACACUGCACAGGCCGGCGCCCGCCUAGUCUCGACCGUCAUGGCUUGCGUCACGGGCUCCUCGCGAGGUGCCCUGCCUUGAUCUCUCUGCCUCCUCGCAAGCCUGCCUGAUGAGGCUGUGCCUGAGGAAGCUUCCUAUCGUCCGCCCCACGAGGCUUGGACCCUCGCGAGGGUCUUGAGCUCUGGUUGAUGAACAUGGGCCGUACUGGGCCCACUACUUGAGCCACGCCGCAGGCCGCAGGCAGGCAAGUCUGGGGACCCCCAUUCCCAGAACGCCGAUAGUAGCCCCCGGGCCCAAGGCGCGCCCGGACUUGGCUUAGCAGAGAAGCGAAGGGGCAAGUGCGAAGCGCCGCGGGCCCCAAUAGCCUGCGGCCUUGGGCGCCGCGUGGUGAUUGAUUGGAUGUGGCGUCCCCGCUUCCCCACGACGCCUCAGCAACCGCACGACUUGACAGGUUCCUGCAUGCAAAAAUGGGUCAUGAUUACUUGUGAUCAUGGAGGCCGGCGGUUAGCCUUCUCCGACUAUAAGUUUGGGUCGGCGUGAGCCCUUUCAGCCCAUUCCUUCCUGCUACUCCUUUCUCUCCAUCUCGGCUACUCACCAUCCCCAUGGCACCGCCGAAGAGGUUCUCGGUCGCGGAGAAGGGAAAGGCCCGUCAGGAAGGGCCUGACUCUCCUCCGACCAAGCGUGUCUGGGGCCGCCCUCGCAAGCGUCCCGCGGCCCCUGUAGUGGCUUUCCGCGGUCGUGGAGGCGGUCCUCUGCGCAGCGAGGAGCACCUGAUUGCUGAUGGGAGGAACGCCGUAGCUGCGCGACCCCCGAGGCCGCGCUUCCACUCGGCGGAGGUGCUGCCGGAGUUCAUCAUGUGGUCGGCGGACCCGAUCGGCACCUGGCUUCAGCUUCCCCGCUUCUUUGUGGGUGAACUUCCGGCCGGCGCUCCUGGCGGCCUCUGGCUCCAGGCGGACGGUUGCUGCAGCAGGGCCUCCUGGGCUUCACUGGAGAUCUCCGUCACCGGGAAUGCGGCUCUGACCAGCGGCUGGCAAAUGUUUGCCCGCGUGCGUGGCCUGAGCCAGCGGUGCGCCCUACACUUUAAGUUUGACGGCGAUGCCACCCUCUAUGUGAGGGUGUUCGGGGAAGAAGGUCUCCGUGCUGGGUGCUGCCUCGAAGACGACGACCACGGCCGUGUGCCCAGCCCCAGCAUUGAUCAAGGUGAAGAUGGCGUGUCACGCCCAAUAUGCGAUACUAUCCUAAAGAGACUCGAAGGUCCCACCAAGGAUAGAACCGCAUAUUGAUACACUUUUGCAAGGUGGAUAUCAUUACAUCAACAUUACAUAAUAGAUGGGGAAACAUACAAGACAUACAAUGCCACACGAAUACAACAUCAUCUUACAUAAGAGCACCAUCCGACUACGGAUGAAACAAAAGCAGAAACUCAAAGGACAUCCACCCUACUAGCCCAGGCUGCCGACCUAGAACCUAUCCCCUGAUCGAAGAAGAAGCAGAAGAAGAACUCCAAAACAAGCAAACAUCACACUCGCGUCAUGAUCAUCGCAUAACCUGCACCUGCAACUGUUGUUGUAGUAAUCUGUGAGCCACGAGGACUCAGCAAUCCCAUUACCAUGGGUAUCAAGACUAGCAAGGCUUAAUGGGAAAGGAAGGGGUAAAGUGGUGAGGUUGCAACAACGACUAAGCAUAUAUGGUGGCUAACAUACGCAAAUGAGAGUGAGAAGAGAAGCAAACGGAACAGUCGUGAAGCUCGCAAUGAUCAAGAGGUGAUCCUGACUCCUACUUACGUCAAACAUAACCCAAAACUGUGUUCACUUCCCGGACUCCGCCAAAAAGAGACCAUCACGGCUACACACACGGUUGAUGCGUUUUAAUUGAGUCAAGUGUCAAGUUAUCUAUAACCGGACAUUAACAAAUUCCCAUCUGCCACAUAACUACGGGCAUGGCUCUCUAAAGUUUAUACCCUGCAGGGGUGUCCCAACUUAGCCCAUCACAAGCUCUCACGGUCAACGAAGGAUAUUCCUUCUCCCAGGAAGACCCGAUCAGUCUCGGAAUCCCGGUUUACAAGACAUUUCGAGAAUGGUAAAACAAGACCAGCAAAGCCGCCCGAAUGUGCCGACAAAUCCUGAUAGGAGCUGCACAUAUCUCGUUCUCAGGGCACACCAGAUUGUCCAAAUUCCGGUAGGCCAGCCCAGAGUUGCCCCUGGUGGCCACCGGCGGCUGACAGGUUGGACCAACACUCACGACGAGCACUAGCCUGGGGGGGGGGGUAAAUAAAGAUGACCCUCGGGCUUCGGAAACCCAAGGGAAAAGGCUUAGGUAGGCAGAUGGUAAAACCAAGGUUGGGCCUUGUUGGAGGAGUUUUAUUCAAAGCGAACUGUCAAGGGGGUCCCAGAAAUCACCCAACCGCGUAAGGAACGCAAAAUCAAGGAACAUAACACCGGUAUGACGGAAAUUAGGGCGGCAAGAGUGGAACAAAACACGAGGCAUAAGGCCGAGUCUUCCACCUUUUACCAAGUAUAUAGAUGCAUUAAUAAUAUAAGAGAUAUUAUGAUAUCCCAACAUAAUCCUGUCCACCAUGGAGCAAUCUUUAACUUCACCUGCAACUAACAAUGCUAUAAGAGGGGCUGAGCAAAGCGGUAACAUAGACAAACAAUGGUUUGCUAGGAAGGGUGAAAGGUUAGAGGCUGACAUGGCAAUUUGGGAGGCUUGGUCAAUAAGUGAUAGGUAGCGCAGGAUAGCGAUAGAACGAAGCAACUAGCAUAGCAAUGAUAGUAGUGCGAUCCAAGGUGACGGUCAUCUUGCCUGAAAUCCCGCUAGGAAGAAGAGCGAGCCCAUGAAUAAGAUGAAGCCACGAAGAAGAAACAAGCAUAGACGAACGAAUCCUCACGACCGCAACGAAACGGGAAACUAUCGAGAAGAAGCACACGACAUGGUAAACACACCACACAAGGACAUGACAUGAUGCUCAACCAAGUAUGAUGCAUGAAAAAGGCUACAUGAAGCUACUCAUGGCAAGAGAUGAUGCAUACAAGGGCAACACAAUAAAGCAAGUUUAAAUGAGGCCGGGAACCACAUAUAACAAAUCCGGUAAGUCCUCAUAUGCAAAUUUCGAAAUUGGUCCAGAUAUGAAUAAACCUUAUGUUCAAGUUGUUAAACAGCAAGUUAAGCUGCACCAAGAUGAUCUACACGAGAUUCUAUUCAAGUUACAUAUAAAGUUCAAUUAGUUUGGAGCCACGGCCUAGAAGAUAUGAGCAAAACAAGUUAAACAUGACAUUGAUGCAAAAUGCACCCAAACAUCAAGCAAACACUCUCAAAACAUGGAUGGAACAUGAUAAUAUGAAACUACAUGCAAUUCUAAGAAAGUUUCAUAUAGAGCAUGCUUAAAACGGAGCAACGGUUCAACACAUACACUCUAUACAAGAUAUAACAACAAUCUGCCCAAAACAGCAACUAGGCAUCUAGCAAGCAUCAAAACAAUAUGCUACAGCACCUCAACAGGAAAACAAAAGGCAUGGACAUGAAGUACAGGUAAAGGAUGACAAAACAUGAACACUGAGAUAUCUCUAUAAAUCACUAGAAAUGCUCAAAAGGACAUGACAAGAUGCAAAUAAUAACAGUUUACAGACUUAGCAGAAAUAACAUCAGGUUGCAAUGUUUAGAUCUAUCAAACAACAUGUUACAAAAACUUAUCAUGGCAAACAAAGGCAUGGCAUGCUAAUAUUAAAUACAAAGAACAAAACUCCCUCACUGAACUAAUUCGAAAGAUCAACAGAAAAGAUGGUAGCAUCCAUGCAAACAUGGCAAAUGAUAUGACAGAUUCAUAUAUGGCAGGAACAACAAUAAGUAGGCAUGUUGGUGAGCUUGUACCACUCACCACAGAGCAAUACAUGGCAUGACAAGGUAACCAACAGUAAGAUGACAUAAUUAUGAAUCUAAGCAUGGCAAGAGCAAGUUCAUAGGGUUCAUGGAUCACUAGCAAAGCUCAUGGCAAAACUGAACAUAAAGUUAACAGGCCGACAGCAACAUUAUUUAGCAAUUUGAGAGCAAGAUUACAACAAGCUACAACAGGCUAUAAAUGCAACCAGUGGCAUGGACGGAUAGAGAAUGACAUGUAUAACAAAACAUCCGUAGUGAAAAUAUCCAGAUUAUGCAUAGAAUGACUUGUAGCAGUAGGUUUACAUAGCAUCAUGAUAUAACAGAUUCAGCCUAGCAAAACAACAAUAGCAAGUACCCUACUUCACGAGCUCGAUGCACUCACUACAACACUCACAAAAAUACAUGUAUUGCACCACUGUGAGGAUGGCAUGGAGUAGCUCAAAACUCAUGUAGACAUCAAGCUCAUAGGAUGCACACCCAAAAUGCAAUGAAAAAGACAAAACAUCAAGUUAUGAUAACAGACAUCAGUUAACAUCAUAUAGCACUCUUGCAAUGAUGAUUAGGGCAUCAAGAUGGAUUCAAACAAGCAUGACACAAUGGAACAAAAUGGAGAGCAUCUCAGAGUGAACAUUUUGAUAUAUAAUGCACGCAAAAUGGAGCAACAUGCAUGGAGUUAUGGCACAAUGAACAGGGCAUGAAGAUGCAAGAAUUAAGGGACAGGAAAAUUCGAGGGUCAACCUGCUGGAUCUAGAUCCGGGCGCGGAUCAAGGCGGGGCCGGGCUCGCCGGAGCUGGGCAGCGCCGGUGACGAGGGAGGAGGCCGAAGAGGGCGCUGCGGUGGCCGGAGCUGGGGCGCGCGGUGUGGAGACGCGGUUGCCGGUGCGGCGCGAUGACAUCAGGGUGAGGCGGUGCCGGGGCAAGGCAGCGGGGACACGCCGGUGGGCGGGGACGCGGCGCGGCGACCGGAGCGGUGGCGCGCCGUUGGGGCAAGGUCGCCGGAGCGCGGCGGCUCGGUGGAGGAGGNNNNNNNNNNNNNNNNNNNNNNNNNNNNNNNNNNNNNNNNNNNNNNNNNNNNNNNNNNNNNNNNNNNNNNNNNNNNNNNNNNNNNNNNNNNNNNNNNNNNNNNNNNNNNNNNNNNNNNNNNNNNNNNNNNNNNNNNNNNNNNNNNNNNNNNNNNNNNNNNNNNNNNNNNNNNNNNNNNNNNNNNNNNNNNNNNNNNNNNNNNNNNNNNNNNNNNNNNNNNNNNNNNNNNNNNNNNNNNNNNNNNNNNNNNNNNNNNNNNNNNNNNNNNNNNNNNNNNNNNNNNNNNNNNNNNNNNNNNNNNNNNNNNNNNNNNNNNNNNNNNNNNNNNNNNNNNNNNNNNNNNNNNNNNNNNNNNNNNNNNNNNNNNNNNNNNNNNNNCGCCUGGGCCCGGCGGGCCGCGGUGGCGGGGAGGAGGCUGGACGCCACAUGGCGCGCGCGGACUCGCUGAGGGGCGGCGGCGCGACUUGUCCGGCGGGAUCGGACAUGUCCGUCGGCGGAGAGGGAGCGGGGCUAGGGUUUGGACUGCGAAAAAUCCGGGAGGAGCACAUAUUUAUAGGUAGAGGGAGCUAGGAGACUCCAAAUGAGGUGAGGUUUUCGCCCACACGAUCGUGAUCAAACGACCGAGAGCAUGCAGUGGGUUUGGAUGGGUUAUUGGGCCACUUUGGAGGGGUGUUGGGCUGCACACAAAAGAGGGUUUUAUGGUACCCCGGUUAACCGUUGGAGUAUCAAACGGACUCCAAAUGGCAUGAAACUUGACAGGCGGUCUACCAGUGGUGUUCGAAGGCCGCUUGGAAAACCUCGGUCCAUUCCAGAGGAGGCUGAAGAGGGCGCUGCAGUGGCCGGAGCUGGGGCGCGUGAUGCGGAGACGCGGUUGACGGCGCGGCGCGGUGACGUCGGGGCGAGGCGGCGCCGGGGCAAGGCGGCGGGGACACGCCGACGGGCGGGGACGCGGCGCGGUGACCAGANNNNNNNNNNNNNNNNNNNNNNNNNNNNNNNNNNNNNNNNNNNNNNNNNNNNNNNNNNNNNNNNNNNNNNNNNNNNNNNNNNNNNNNNNNNNNNNNNNNNNNNNNNNNNNNNNNNNNNNNNNNNNNNNNNNNNNNNNNNNNNNNNNNNNNNNNNNNNNNNNNNNNNNNNNNNNNNNNNNNNNNNNNNNNNNNNNNNNNNNNNNNNNNNNNNNNNNNNNNNNNNNNNNNNNNNNNNNNNNNNNNNNNNNNNNNNNNNNNNNNNNNNNNNNNNNNNNNNNNNNNNNNNNNNNNNNNNNNNNNNNNNNNNNNNNNNNNNNNNNNNNNNNNNNNNNNNNNNNNNNNNNNNNNNNNNNNNNNNNNNNNNNNNNNNNNNNNNNNNNNNNNNNNNNNNNNNNNNNAGCGGAGGAGGGCGGCGCCGGCGGGCGGACACGGGAGGCGCGGGUUCGGCGGCGGUGCGCUCGGGGCGCGGACGGGCGGCGGAGGAGCUCGGGUGACCGCGAUGGCGGGGAGGAGGCCGGAGGCCACGUGGCAUGCACGGACUUGCUGAGGGGUGUUGGCGCGACUUGUUCGGCGGGAUCGUACAUGUCCGGCGGCGGAGAGGGAGUGGCGCUAGGGUUUGGACUGCGAAAAAUCUGGGGGGAGCACAUAUUUAUAGGUAGAGUGAGCUAGGAGACUCCAAAUGAGGUGCGGUUUUCACCCACACGAUCGUGAUCGAAUGACCGAGAGCAUGGAGGCAGUUUGGAUGGGUUAUUGGGACACUUUGGAGGGGUGUUGGGCUGCACACAAAAGAGGCUUUUAUGGUACCCCGGUUGACCGUUGGAGUAUCAAAUGGACUCCAAAUGGCACGAAACUUGACAUGCCGUCUACCGGUGGUGUACAAAGGCCGCUUGGCAAACCUCGGUCCAUUCCGAGAAUGUUUAAAACCCGCUCACAACAAGAGACAAAAGGGAACACCGGAGGACAUAGGAGUGUCGGAUUGCAAAACGAACAACGGGGAAAAUGCUCGGAUGCAUGAGAUGAACAUGUAUGCAAAAUGAGAUGCACAUGAUGACAUGAUAAAAUGCAACAUGCAAGCAAAUGACAUGGCAAUGACGGCGAAUAAUUGGCAGACACCUGGCGCAUCGAAUCUGGGGCGUUACAUGGCGGUAGGCGCGCGGUCAGCGGCGCUCGGGGCUCACCGAGCUUCAGCGAUUCUCCUUUGGAUAGCCGCUCCUCCAGCGGUGGCCGCGACUAGCCCCCGCGCCAUCGCGCCCGCCUGGGGGAAGCUAGCAGGUCAGUCCGCCGCCGCCACUUGGUGAAGCGGGAGGAGGGAUUUGACUGAGCUCCGGAGGCAGUACGAGCCCUCGCUGCGAGUUGGUGCCGAGCAAGUCAUGCCUAUUUUGUUUUUCUUCCUUCCCUGCGCAAAAAGGAAAGUAGUAUAGGGCCCCGCGGGGGCAUGUCGAACUGUUGUUGUUAACCAUCAUGCUGUUUCCACUAUUUCUAUGCUGUGUUCCUAUGCUGCAUGUCCGUGUGCGAGAACUACUUAGCUCGGGGAGGCUUGUCGCGGUCCUUGCCUCCUGAGGCCAGGGGCCUCGCCGCACGCUUCAUGUCCUGCAAGGAUUAGUCAGGAGGGGUAGCUUUCAGUCUCGGUUGUGGGGGCGAGCGACCCAGGUCCCGUGUUGACGUCGCGAUGCCCAUGGGGCUCGGACUGAGAGGGGUGCUCCCGCGACGGACUCAGAUAGGGAAGCUUUAAACGACCGGGACAGAAAACACUCGCGAGGGUGCCCACGUAACUCCCUCGCGGGACUUGUGCGAGAGAAAACAAAGAAAAUGGGCGAAAAAGACAAUGAGUCACAAGCUAGGGACGGCAACAACUCCAAUAAAACUUCAAAUAGGAACGAAAAAGCCAGCUGCAGAAAGCAAAUGAAAAAGCCGCAUCCGGCACCUAAUCUAGUCUUCAACGUCUUCUCACCAGCGUGGAGCUAAGUGCUGCCACUGGGCGUGGGCGGGAGCCCCCGAGGCCCGAGGGCGGCGCUCCGGAGACUCCGGGGCGUGUACAGCCCCACUCAUUAUUACGUGAGAGUGUCAUGGGCGGCGGGUUUCACAGGCAUUCGCCUUCUUCAUAGGCACCGGGCCUUUUCCAAAAUGGUAAGGUUCACAGGCAUUGGCCUUCUUCACAGGCACUGGGCCUUUUCCAAAAACGGUAAGCUUCAUAGGCAUUGGCCUUCUUCACAGGCACCGGGCCUUUUCCAAAAAUGGUAAGCUUCACAGGCAUUGGCCUUCUUCAUAGGCACCGGGCCUUUUCCAAAAGCGGUAAGCUUCACAGGCAUUGACCUUCUUCACAGGCACUGGGCCUUGCUUAUGGAUAGAACCUCCGGAGGUGUUGAAUGUUCCAUGCGUUCGGGAUGGGCACCCCCUCUUGGGUCUCCAAGCGCGCGGAGCCGGGCCUAGAAAUAUGAACAACCUUGAACAGGCCCUCCCACAUAGGAGAGAGCUUGUGCAACCCUUCCCUGGAGAGGACCCGCCUGAGCACGAGGUCCCCUACCUCAAGGGUCCUGGGGCGGAUGUUGGGACAGUGGUACCGUCGCAACAUCUGUUGAGACCUCGCAGCUCGCAGCGCGGCCUCCCGACGGCGCUCCUCCCCCAGCACGAGAUCCGUCCCCCGCAUGGCGUCCUGUUGCGAUUCGUCGAAUGCCAGGACCUGCGCGGAGCGAUGCUUGACCUCGUGAGGGAGGACGGCUUCAGCUCCGUAGACGAGGAAGAAUGGAGUUUCUCCAGUUGACUUGGUCGCGGUCGUGCGGAUAGACCAUAGCACAGACUGGAGCUUGUCGUACCAGCCCCUACCGCAGGCUUCCAGUUUUUUCUUGAAGGUCCUAGUCUUGAGGCCUUUCAACACCUCCGCGUUGGCUCGCUCAGCUUGGCCGUUGCUUCGAGGAUGAGCCACUGAAGCGUAGCAUAUCUGCGUUCCAAGAUUAGCAUAGUAUGUUUUAAAGAGAUUGCUGGUCAACUGCGAACCAUUAUCGGUGAUGAUGCGAUUAGGCACCCCGAAUCGGCUCACAAUGCCCUUGAUGAACUUGACUGCGGAGCCUGCUGGGAUGGUGCGGGCAGCUUCCACUUCAGCCCUUGGUGAAUUUGUCGAUGGCGACGUAGAGGUAGCGAUAGCCCCCUAGCACCCGUGGAAACCGACCCAGAAUGUCCAGCCCCCAAACCGCGAAUGACCAUGAGAGGGGUAUGGUCUGCAGGCCCUGAGCCAACUGGUGGAUUUGCUUGGCGUGGAAUUGGCAGGCUUCACAGGCCUUCACCAGAUCGACGGUGUCGUUGAGUGCUAUGUGCCAGUAAAACCCGCUGCGGAACGCCUUUCCAACGAGGGUUCAUGAUGAUGAGUGGUGACCACAGUCUCCACCGUGUAUAUCUGCCAACAGCUCCCUUCCUUGUUCCCUGGAAAUGCAACGUAAGGACACGUCAUUUGGUCGCUUCCGGUAGAGCUCUCCGUCCUAGAUGCAGUAGGCCGUGGCCUGUCUCGUCACACGCUCCGCAUCCUCCUCCUUCUCGGGCAGGGUCCCUCGCAUCAAGUAGUCCUUGAACUAUGCGGUCCAGCAUCCUUCCUGAGGUUCCAGCACCAGGAGCAAGCGUGCCCCUGAGGCCGGGCCACAGGCCGUUGCCCCUGAGGCGGGCGGCUAAGGGAGCUCCUCCCUAGGUUGUGCCGUGCUUGAUAGUGAUGGUGCCGCCGAAGGUUUGAAGAUUCGUUCCUCGAAGACGCCAGGCUCCUGAGGCAGCCGCCUGGAUUCCCUCUUGGCGAUGUCAUCAGCCUCUUGGUUGGUACCGCGUGGCACGUGCUGUAACUCCAACCACCAAAACUGUUUCUCCAUCCUGCGGACCUCCGCGAGGUACGCUUCCAUGUGCUCGUCCUUCGGCUCAUAUACCUUGUUGGAGAAGUUGACGAGGAGUUGCAAAUCGCCUUUGAUGGUGAUUCGUUUUAGCCCCAAGGCGACGGCUGCCUUCAAGCCCGCUAUCAGGCCCUCGUACUUUGCUAUGUUGUUGGAGACCUUCUCCCCAUGCUGGAAGCAGAGCUGCAUGGCAUAGUAAAGCUUGUCCUGAGUGGGGGAUAUGAGCACUGUGCCAGCCCCCGCGCCCUGCCGCGAGAAUGCUCCGUCGAAGUACAUUACCCAACCCUCCGACGCUUCACUUCCCGGGGAGAGCGAUCGGUCCUCACCCAUUUUGAGCCCUGGUGCCUCUGUCCAUUCCACCACGAAAUUUGCGAGCGCAGAUCCCUUAAUGACCCUGGUCGUGCUGAAUUCUAGCUGGAAUGCUUGCAGUUUGACGUUCCAUUCGGCGACCCUCCCUGCUGAAUUGGGGCUCCUGAGUACCCUUGCCAGGGGGUAGGCUGAGACGACCUUGAUGGGAUGGCCUUGAAAGUAGUGCCGCAGCUUGCGCGAGGCCAUCACUACAAGAAAUAUGUCAACUUGUGACCACCACUAUUGGUCACUGAAAGGUCAUGGUUUUUCAUUUGCGACCUUUUUUGUGACCAAAAACAGAAGGUCAAAAGCUGGCGGUCAUAAACUGACUAUAGCGACCUUUCUUCUGGAAUGGUCGUGGACGUUUAUGACCAAAAUAUGUCCACUAUGGCAUUUUGGUCACUAGCAACCUCCCCAGGCCACGUAGGCAUCUAGCGUGGCAAGCUGAUGGGGCACAAGAUUCAGCCCGGUCCAAUUCGGUUUUCUACAUGGGCCUAGCCCAACAAUUUGGCCUUUUUACUAUAUUUUUUUAUCAAUUUUUGAACGGCUUCAUGGGCCAAGCCCAACAUUUUUAGGUCCAUUUCAUUUAUCCUUUUUGUUCCAGCUUCUAAGAAAUGCACGAUGUGAUUUGUUUGGGCCAUAGCCCUCUUAGAGACCAAAUAUUGUUUGGUCCAGUAGAAUAUUUGUUCUUUUUAAUUCACAGAUUCCAAUUUAUGCACAUUUAAAAAUCAAACAAUCAGUAAUUCUCUUAUUAAAUGAUCAAAUCCAGAACUCAUAUGAUCAACAUUCACAAAAACAUACAAGACUACACGUCCACGGUAACAUAGCUUGAACAAGCCUAAUUACAGUUUAUAUCCAAGAAGUGUACGUGCAAUCCAAAACAUGGUGGCAAAUAUCAUCUGAAACUAUGGUUCACACCCUUGCUUGGCUCUUUGCUGUCAAAGUAUAUAGUCAUCCUGGGAGCUACCACCAACAUAACGGUUGUCCUGGUUGUACUUCUGUGGUCAAAGUCCUCACCUGGAAAGGAUUAUACAACUCAGUUAUAUAUUCACGACUCAAAACUCAUGACAUGACAUGACACUAAGAGAGAACAUCAUAGAGACUCAACCAGAUCCUAAUAUAAAGGCUAUUCAGACCAUAGCUAAUUUAUUCUAGUAUUUUUGGACACAUGUGUGUUGCUGCUGUUUUCUGGAAACAUGGAGUACAAGUAUUUUUGGAAACAUGGAAGAACAUGAUUUAUUAUCCUGGAGACUAAAAUCGCUCAAUGGUUGAGAAUACACCAACAACUUCAAACUCUCCUAACGAAAGAUUCGAGUGCUGGAAUCCUAGAAGCGGGACAGAUUAUAGAGUUACCUGAGUGGAGUAAGGGACUAUUUACAACAUGGGAAUUUCAAAGGAAUCACUCCAUUUCCUGCAGGAACAUAAAUUAAAGUUAGCGUUCAAAACUUAGCACUAGAAGAUCAGUCUCAAGCUUUUCAAACUGUCACAUCCCUAGUCUGGUAUGACCUAGGCUAGCUAGUCAUUUGUGCAUCAUAUUUAAAUUUUAUUUAAAUUUGAAAUGAGGAUUGGUGGAACCCUCAGAAUCAUUUUUGAAAAUGACCCAAAUAAAAAUUUCUCCAAAAGGGUCCAAGAAAAUGCUCAUGUUGCCCUCAAAAAAAUAUUGGACAGAGAUAAAAAUCAAAACAAUAUUUUUAGGAGCUCAUGGACAUUUUAUUUUGGCCAUUUGGAUUAAUUCGAUAAAUAAUUGCAUUGGAAAUAUAUUUCUAUAUAUAUAUGAAAUAUGGCCCAAAAAUUAUGCCAAUUAUAAAAGAGCUCUGGAAUAAUAUAUCCAGCUCCUGCAAAAAUUGGCAUAAUAAAAUAAAAUGGUUUAGUAUUUUUAUUAAACCAAACAAAUGUCAGAAAAAAUAGAAAACAGAAAUAAAAGGAAGGAGGGACUUACCUGGGGCUCCUCCCCUGCGCAGCCCAGCAGCAGCAGGCCGGCCCAGCCAGGAGGCGGCCCAGCCCACCUGGCCCUCCUCUGUCGCCUUCCUCCUCUGCCAAGAGGACGGGCGUGUGCCCGACGCUCGCCGGCACGCGCGCGCGCCACCUCCCCCCUGCUAGCCACCUCCUGCUUCCUUCUCUCGCCCUCGAUGCCCCGGACGAAGCCACGCAGCUGCCCCGCACCGUUCUCACUCUCCCUCGCCCUCCUCUUCUUCCCCUGCUCUCUCUCCCUCUCACCCGAGCACCACCGCCGCCGCCGACGGGCAUCUCCGUAGCCACCGGUCUCCCCUCACCUCCCCGACACGCCCAGGAGCUCCGCUUCGUCGCCAGCUACCUCCUCGCCGAGCCAAGCAAGCCGGAGUGCCCCGAGGAGCCACCAUCUCCAUCGUCUUCCUCCUCGGGCUCCGCCGUCCGCCGCCGUCGAUUCGCCGUCACCAGGCCUUCCCCGACCCCGCUGUGCUGCUCUGCGUGAUCGCGGUGAGCUCCGCCGCCGUUCCCCUCUCUUCUCCCUCCCGUUCCCGUGCCGUAGCGCCGCUCCCCACCACGGCCGAAGCCCCGGCCGCCGCCCCGAGCUUCGCUCCGGCGAGCUCCGGCCUCCCCCGCUGCUUCCACCUACCCUACCAGAUGCGCGAGAGCCCGGGCUACGCCCCGGUGCUCUCAGACGCCGUCCCCGUGGCCUAUGGCGCGGACUCCGCCGCGUCCAGAGGUCGCCGGCGACGAGCCCCCGUCGCCUGAGUCCUGCCAGGUGGGGCCGGCCCGUCAGGUGAUUAGCUUAGUGCUAAUCACCGUUAACUAACCCCCCCUGACACUGACAGUGGGCCCGACCCCCCCCUAACCAUUUAACUUAAUUAAAAUAACCCCUGUUAACCCCCUGUCACUGACGUGUGGGUCCCACACGUCAGGUUUGACCCGGACCAGCCGCGUUGACCGCUGAUGCAAUGAUGACAUCAUGCUGACGCAAUUAUACAUUUUCUGGAAUUAAAAUAAUUCAGAAAAUCCAGAAAUUGAUUUAAACUUCAAAAAUUCAUAUCAAUUCAACCGUAGCUCAGAUUUAAAUAAUUUAUAUAUGAAAAAUUAUCAGAAAAAUGCAAUCUUUCCAUCUGUACUAGUUUCAUGCAUGAAAAACCAACUUAUACAUGCUGAAUAUGGGAAAACACAUUAUGGCAUAUAUAAGAGACCUAAUUUAGAAAUGCAUUUGAACCUUUGGUUCAAAUGGACUUCAAACCAAUUGAACACUAGUUGCAUUAGCUCAACAGCAUCACAUCUACAUGCCAUGUUCAUGCAUCAUAUUGUUGCAUAUGAUUGUGUAUUGAUUGCCGGCACCGUUCCUUCUCGAUAGGUCCUACUCCGGAGACGUUCCAGAGUACCUGUCUGUGAAGCAGUGCCUCCCUUGUUGUUUUACCAGGCAAGCAAACCCCCUUGUUCAUUUCGAUAAAACCCUACUCUCUCGCUCCUGCUCUCAGUUAUUGCAUUAGGACAACAACGAUUCAUCUGCUACUUUGUGCUGCGGUAGUUGAACCCAUUCCUCUGCAUGACCUGUCAUUGCCACAGUAAAUAGUUGAAACCCUCUAGCAUGUGUAGGAGUUGAUUGAAGCCACUGAUGUGUUCCUACCAUGCUAUGCCUGCUAUUGCUUAGAGUGUGUCAGGUCUGGUUCAUUGAGAAUGAAUUGGAGUGUCACGAUAUGUUCUGUUGCUGAGAGUUAAGUGUGUGAACACGAUUUGGUAAAGGUAGCGGUGAGAGGCCAUGUAGGAGUACAUGGUGGGUUGUCUCACUGGAACCGUCCUUAAGCCCUGAGAUCUGUGUAUGUUGUCCAAUGACUCGAUACUACCACACAUUGGGCUCCGGGCGCUCCAAGCCCUCUCGACUUAUUAACCAACUUGAUCUCUGUCCAGGAGUCGCAACUAGUUUCUGGUGUUUGUAGGUAGUGCUAUUUUUCUACCAAGUGGCACCCGGCAGGGUGGGCUUGGGACAGACUAGGCACACGUGGCCCGGUGUACCGAGUGGCACCCGGUUGGUGGGCUCGGGAACCCUGUACACAUCGUUUGGGGCCGUAAGCGACACCCCGGCCGGAUCUCCUUGCGGAUGGAACCCGAAUAGGCGAUAAACCUGGACUAGAGUCUUGUGUGGUUAGUCAGGUCGUGGCCGACACCCUCGCCAGGCUUCCGCUUGAAGGUUGCCGAGAUACAUGACGUGUACAUGGCGGUAAGUGGCGAGAGCGUGUGUGAAGAAGUACACCCCUGCAGGGUUAACAUGAUCUAUUCGAAUAGCCGGGUCCGCGGUUAUGGACUUCUUGGAUGCUUACAUGGUACAUAGACAACUUGAAGUGGAUACUAUAAAAUGCUCAAGACAGGUGUGAGUGCUAUGGAUGGCCUUCUCGUAGGGAGACGGGGAUGAAUCCAUAGUAGUGUAUUGUGUGGUGAUUAGUGGACUCGUGUACGUUGUUUCACCUCCAGAGUUUCUGGUAGUCGUAGAUUAGGAUAGCCACAGAGUCUAAGCUGGCUUGCUGCAACUAAACCCCACAUAACCUCUUGAUACAAAUGCAUGUAUGAUAGGAUCUGAUGUAAGUCUUGCUGAGUACCUUUGUACUCAUGUUGCUUUAUUUAUGUUUUUUGCAGCGGAGACUUCGGUCUUACUAGUGUCCUCGUGGACUUCGACUAGUAGCUAGUACCUCAGCUACGAUCUUGAUCGGAUGUUGUAGAUAGUCAGGCUUCCAGCCUUUUUCAUUUAUAGAUGUCUGUACCCAGACAUGUAAUGCUUCCGCUUGUUGCUUGUAUGCUCUGUAUGAUGGGUCUUGUGACCCCUGUUUGCAAUAUAUGCUAUGACGGCUCUUCUGAGCCUUUAACUAUAUGAGUUGUUGAGUUAUGCUGUGAUGCCAUGUUGUACAGCAAAUACUUGCAUGUUAUGCGUACGUGUAAUGUGUAUUGCUAUGUGUGGGAUCUGACUAUCUAGUUGUUUAUUCUUAGUAGCCUCUCUUACCGGGAAAUGUCUCCUAGUGCUUCCACCGAGCCCUGGUAGCUUGCUACUGCUCCGGAACACUUAGGCAGGCCGGCAUGUGUCCUUCUUCGUUCCUGUGUCUGUCCCUUCGGGGAAAUGUCACGCUUUGAGUACCGGAGUCCUGUUAGCCCGCUACAGCCCGGUUUACCGGAGUCCUGCUAGCCCAGUGCUACAGCCUGAACCCACUUGCUGAUGACCGACACGUUCGAAGCUGGGUCAUGGAUGCCUGUCCCUGUAAGUCUGUGCCACUUUGGGUUUACGACUAGUCAUGUCAGCCCGGGCUCCUUGUCAUAUGGAUGCUAGCGACACCAUCAUAUACGUGAGCCGAAAGGCGCAAACGGUCCCGGGAAAAGGUAAGACGACACCCGUGGGGAUACCGUGCGUGAGGCCGCAAAGUGAUAUGAGGUGUUACCGGCUAGAUCGAUGUGACAUCGAGUCGGGGUCCUGACACAAACUUUGCAAAAUUAAGGGAACAGCCCCAGCAAGCAUCAGACUUUUCUGAAGUUAUGCCCGACUUGUAGAACAAAGUGACUUCUCAAAACAACAAGUUGUAAUGAUUGAAGGAAAACAUUGUUGAACUACAAUUAGAGAAUGGCCUCCAAGAUGUAUUAAACGUACACCUAUGAGUACUGGACAACUGAUAUAGAGAUGAGCUACACAUUUACUGGUCACUUCAGAAGAUGGCAUGACAAGAGAUUGAUUACACUAUAAAUAUAUUUCCAUGGUUGAAACAAAUAACUCUUCAACAAACUGGGAAGCAUAAUAACUGCAUAUGCGCCUAUCAUUUCCUAAGCAGAGAAUACAUCCUUGAACUUAGGAUGACCUAACAAGAUGCAUUCAGUCAAGACAAGGCAGUGCAACAAUGGUACAUCAUUAGUGCCACAAGUCCACCACAAAAUCAAGCAUGGCAUGCCACAACUCAAGGAGGAAGCAGAGACAAGCCAUGACUUACAGUUGUACCUUAGAAACCAAGCAUAAGGGCAAUUCAAGUACAAAACUCUGGAGUUAAUACCUGAUUCUUGAUAGACUUGGCCAUCUUGCGGAACUCCUUGCGCAUCAGAGUCUUGUGCUGGAGCUUGGCAGGGGCGUUCUGCUUCUUGGUCUUGGUCGUGGACAGGACAACUGCCUUGUCCUCUCCCGCUGAUGGCUGGACCGCCACGGUCUUGCUGUUCGCCAAGCCUGAAACCACAUCAGCCCCAUAGCAAGUUAGCUCCUUGCAGAGACACUUGCAAACAAAAGGGUUAAAAAUACUGCAAAGAGCUACGGACUCGAGAACUUGUAGGAGUGGACAUUGUAGAGGUUGUUGGGCUCCUUGCUGAACCGCACCUUGGUGUUGCUGUUGCCGAAUUGUUUUAUCAAGAAGUAGUUCUUCUUCUUCACGAGCUCCCAGACCAGAGACCCUGGAACGGUAGUCAUUUCCCUUGGCCUACAUCACCAAAACAACAACCAAAAGUCAGAUCCUAUAGCUAGCAACAAGCAACAAGACACACUAAUCCUACAGAAUCAAGGAAAUAUUUGACUAUUUGAGCAAAAUUGUAUGCUUAUUGCACCUUAAGCCCUCUCGCCAUGGAUCCUCCUAGCCAGCUGAAUGUCCUUGGGCAUGAUGGUCACGCCCUUGGCAUGGAUGGCGCACAGGUUGGUGUCCUCGAAGAGACCCACCAGGUAGGCCUCUGCAGCCUCUUGAAGGGCCAGCACCGCAUGGCUCUCGAAGCGGAGGUCAGUCUGCACAGACAGAACAGGGUGGUGCUUUUAGUUUACUUGAUUCAUCAUACUAUAAGAGUUGAGAUAACAGGAGCAUAACAAUGUAGUGCUGUACUGUGAAGUUUGAGGAGCAUAACAAUGCAGUACUGUACUGUGAAGUUUGAGGAACAUAAAUAUAUGAGACAAUUUAGUUGAUCCAAAGUUUAAGGAGUAUCUUAUCUACUAGUAGUACUGUACUGUGAGACUUUCCUAAAGCAGAGUCUGUUACCAAAGAGAGUGAGAACCAUCAGAAGAACAGAGAUGUUCUUCUAUCAAACAGUGGCUUCUAGUUAGCCAAUUCAGCACCUGAGCAGCAAGUAUGGCACAACAAUUUUUACACAUUCCAUUCCAUACCUCUUGAGCACAAGUGCUCCCACAAUACAUAGGCAGAGUAACGGCAUGAACCCAGUGCAGAAAUGAAUAGAAUGUGCAACUAGAGUGUCUCAGAGUUACUGAAGCAGACAGCGAGUAACUGAAACAAGAGUUAUUGAAGCUAGCUUACCAGGCUCUGCAAAAGUAUGGUGGUGGAGAAGAUACAGGCAAGUCGAGCGAGCCUGCAAUCAAUCAGGCAAAACAUCAAUUCUGUGAGUGAUAGAAAAAAAACAGUCGACUGGUUAACUGAAGCUGACAAACAAUCGGAUAAUGGAUGGACUUACACUGUGAGCACACAUCAGCAUCAUCAUCCAGGCAGCAGCAGCAGCAGCACAGAGGACCAACACAUACACACAUACUUACAAGUCAGUCACCUUCCAUGCAUGUGGCCGGGAGGGGAGGGGCAGCUAGCUAGGAGUGAGGAGUCCCUCACCUUCCAUGGCCGCUGGCUGAGAGGACGCGCUGGCUGGAGAAGCCCCGUGGCCAGGGACUGAAGGCAGGCAGCUAUGGCUACGCGCUGGGUAGCACCAACAAAAGGUUUGUUAAGCAGCGCCAAAUCAAAUCCAGAGAGAGGGGGGUCGAAUCGGGGAGUUUCUACCAUGAGACGAAGGGGGUACCAAUAGACUCCAGCUCCAGGUAGUCGAUGACGGAGCACACGAACGCGUCGUCCACCCGCGCCACCGCACGCUUGAUCCGCUCCGCCACGAACCCCAACGGCUGUGAAAGCACGUCCCCCAUGCGCACCGUCAUGAGGUCCCGCAUGAUGGCGUUGCCGAAGUAGUUGGCCGGCAGCUGCGGGCGCACGCGCUGCCGGAUGUUGUCCCCUGUGGCGGGAGGGAUGAGCGCGGCGGCCCUGCGGCGGAGGGCGCCGACUGAGGCCUCCGGGACGGGCGGAGGAAGAGCGGCGGACGUCCUCUGGGAGGCAAGGAGGAGCGUGCACGCGGGCGGCGGGGUCAGAUCUGAAUCAGGGAGGGGUGGGAUCGGCGGGGUGGCAGCGGCGAUGUGGGAGACGAGGGGAGAGGGAGUGCGUGAGGGAGAGGGAGCGCUAGGGUUCGUGGGGUGAGAGGGUGAGGGAGUUUUCUCUUUUCUUUUUUUGAGACAAAAAGGGGGAGGGGUGAGGGAGAAAGGGCUGCCGUCGGAUCCGAGAGCAUCCGACGGUGUUUGAGCACGAUCCGCGUGGCAUGUCCAAGGACCAAUCACAACCCAGUAUACGUUAUGACCUUCUAAAUUGGUCACAAUCGACUAAAAAUAAGGUGUUGAACCAUAUUUUUCCAAAAAAGGUGUUGAAUCAAAGAAACAAUUUUAUGAUAUCAGAAAUUCAAACGGAAACAUUCUCAUUGUGUCACCAAAUGUGACGUAGUUUUUAGGAAAACUAACAAACUUGGAAUUGGAAUAAGAAAAAUAUCUUUUAAAAAUUGUUAUGAGAAAUGAGUUUUUAGGGGGGGGGGGGUCAUUUUAUAAUUUUUCACAUGAAAAAUUCAAAGAAAUGAUCUCAUAUUGUGCACAAGGGUGCAUCUUGGAAUUCCAAACAAUGUUGCCAAAGGGAGUUUUCAUUUUCUUUGCACGGAAAAUUCAUUUUCCAUUUUUCGAGUGCCCGAAAUGAGGUUUUUUUUUGUGAAGGACCUACCAUAUAUUUGUUGCAAAAUUGUACCAAAUCAUUUUUAUAAAAUACUAGGACAUAUUUAAUGCACAAUUGACAAAAUGGUUGGGUGUCAAAAGUUUUGAUCCACCUCUGGUGAAAAAGAUAAAUUCCCGCCGAUUCAGGUGGAAGCGGGUCAAAUUUGAACUGCAGCUGCCUCAUAGUUUGCUAUUUAUUUUUUCCAAAAAUCAUCUCUAGGUACAUAAGUAUCUAUUUAAUUAGAGAAACACCAAAAAAAUUCAAAGAUUCAACCACUAGCUAGGAACGAUCAAGCCUGCCGUUUUGACCGCAUUUUGAAACGGGCAUAAAAAAUUCAAAUAAAAUCGAAAAAUUGGGAAACCUUCGCAUUGUGUCAUUAUAUGUGACCAAGUUUCCAGGAAAAAUAAUAAACUUGUAAUACGGUAAUUAUUUUAAAAAAGUGUUCUCACAAAUGAGCUAUCAAGUGUGAAUAUUCUUGGCUUUCAAGCCAAAUGAUCAAUCUUAUGGCCACAUUCAUGGCAUAGUUUGUUCAAAUGAUCUCAUAUCAUGCACAAGGGUGCAUAUUGGAAUGGAAAACAAUGUUGCCUAAGGAAGUUUUCAUUUUCUUUGGACGAAAAAACAAUUUUCCAUUUUUUGAGUGCCUGAAAUGAGUUUUUUUUUUGAAUGACCUACCAUAUAAUUGUUGCAAAAUUGGACCUAAUAAAUUUUAUAAAAUACUAGUCCAUAUUUAAUGCACAAUUGACCAAAUGGUUGGGUGUAAAAAGUUUUGAUCCACCUCUGGUGAAAAAGACAAAUUCCCGCCGAUUCAGGUGGAAGCGAGUCAAAUUUGAACUGAAGCUGCCUCAUAGUUUGCUAUUUAUUUUUUCCAAAAAUCAUUUCUAGGUACAUAAGUAUCUAUUUAAUUAGAGAAACACUAAAAAAAUUCCAAGAUUCAACCACUAGCUAGGAACGGUCAAGCCCGCCGUUUUGACCGCAUUUCGAAACGGGCAUAAAAAAUUCAAAAAAAAUCGAAAAAUUGGGAAACCUUCGCAUUGUGUCAUUAUAUGUGACCAAGUUUCCAGGAAAAAUAAUAAACUUGUAAUACGGUAAUUAUUUUAAAAAAGUGUUCUCACAAAUGAGCUAUCAAGUGUGAAGAUUCAUGGCUUUCAAGCCAAAUGAUCAAUCUUAUGGCCACAUUUAUGGCAUAGUUUGUUCAAAUGAUUUCAUAUCGUGCACAAGGGUGCAUAUUGGAAUGGCAAACAAUGUUGCCUAAGGAAGUUUUCAUUUUAUUUGCACGGAAUAUUAAUUUUCCAUCUUUCGAGUGCCUGAAAUGAGUUUUUUUUUGUGAAGGACCUACCAUAUAUUUGUUGCAAAAUUGGACCUAAUAAAUUUUAUAAAAUACUAGUCCAUAUUUAAUGCACAAUUGACCAAAUGGUUGGGUGUCAAAAGUUUUGAUCCACCUCUGGUAAAAAAGACAAAUUCCCACCGAUUCAGUUGGAAGCGGAUCAAAUUUGAACUAAAGCUGCCUCAUAGUUUGCUAUUUAUUUUUUCCAAAAAUCAUUUCUAGGUACAUAAGUAUCUAUUUAAUUAGAGAAACACCAAAAAAAUUCCAAGAUUCAACCACUAGCUAGGAACGGUCAAGCCCGCCGUUUAGACCGCAUUUUGAAAUGGGCAUAAACAAUUCAAAAAAAAAAUCGAAAAAUUGGGAAACCUUGGCAUUGUGUCAUUAUAUGUGACCAAGUUUCCAGGAAAAAUAAUAAACUUGUAAUACGGUAAUUAUUUUAAAAAAGUGUUCUCACAAAUGAGCUAUCAAGUGUGAAGAUUCAUGGCUUUCAAGCCAAAUGAUCAAUCUUAUGGCCACAUUCAUGGCAUAGUUUGUUCAAAUGAUCUCAUAUCGUGCACAAUGGUGCAUAUUGGAAUGGCAAACAAUGUUGCAUAAGGAAGUUUUCAUUUUCUUUGCAUGGAAUAUUAAUUUUCCAUCUUUCGAGUGCCUGAAAUGAGUUUUUUUUGUGAAUGACCUACCAUAUAUUUAUUGCAAAAUUGGACCUAAUAAAUUUUAUAAAAUACUAGUCCAUAUUUAAUGCACAAUUGACCAAAUGGUUGGGUGUCAAAAGUUUUGAUCCACCUAUGGUGAAAACGACAAAUUCCCGCCGAUUCAGUUGGAAGCGGGUCAAAUUUGAACUGAAGCUGCCUCAUAGUUUGCUAUUUAUUUUUUCCAAAAAUCAUUUCUAGGUACAUAAGUAUCUAUUUAAUCAGAGAAACACCAAAAAAAUUCCAAGAUUCAACCACUAGCUAGGAACGGUCAAGCCCGCCGUUUUGACCGCAUUUUGAAAAGGGCAUAAAAAAUUCAAAAAAAAUCGAAAAAUUGGGAAACCUUGGCAUUGUGUCAUUAUAUGUGACCAAGUUUCCAGGAAAAAUAAGAAACUUGUAAUACGGUAAUUAUUUGAAAAAGUGUUCUCAGAAAUGAGCUAUCAAGUGUGAAGAUUCAUGGCUUUCAAGCCAAAUGAUCAAUCUUAUGGCCACAUUCAUGGCAUAGUUUGUUCAAAUGAUCUCAUAUCAUGCACAAGGGUGCAUAUUGGAGGCAAACAAUGUUUCCUAAGGAAGUUUUCAUUUUCUUUGGACAAAAAAACCAUUUUUCAUUUUUCGAGUGCCUGAAAUGCGUUUUUUUUGUGAAGGACCUACCAUAUAUUUGUUGCAAAAUUGGACAUAAUCAAUUUUAUAAAAUACUAGGCCAUAUUUAAUGCACAAUUGACAAAAUGGUUGGGUGUCAAAAUUUUGAUCCACCUCUGGUGAAAAAGACAAAUUCCCGUCGAUUCAGCUGGAAGCGGGUCAAAUUUGAACUGCAGCUGCCUCAUAGUUUGCUCUUUAUUUUUUCCAAAAAUCAUUCCUAGGUAAAUAAGUAUCUAUUUAAUCAGAAAUACAUGGUUUGAUGGCGAGACAUCAAGGUUUUGACGGUGGCCGAGGGCCCCAACUCUAGAGCGCGUAAGCUCGCAUGCCCGCCGCGUGGUCACCGCGUGACCAUGGCGUUGCCAUGUGUUCUGGGCGGCCUAGGCAUGUCUAGUGGGUUGGGCACUCCCCAGGUAGGUGCUAGGAAGAAAAUCACAACAUAAGAUUCUCACGAGGAGACCGAUCGAUGCUCAAACAUGAAUAAGGAGCCAAGUGUUUGAUUUGCGGUACGGGAAAUGCACAUCGCUAAUGGGCGUGAGUUUUGGCUGAGGAUGAUCAGUUACUAAGAAGACCGUCUUCACAAAUUUUCACCUCAAAAGGAGGAGCCUAGGUGGUACUUGCUUUACAAAGUACCACACUGGACAUAAAUACGAAUGUUGAAGCUGGGCUCAAAAUAAUGAAUGGAUUGAGCUGGCAUUUGGUGGAGCAUGGUUAUUUGGGCAUAGGAAAGCACUGUAGAAAAUGGAUACCAUUUGGACAUGCCAAAGUGGUACUUCCUUCACAAAGUGCUACUCUGAACAGAAUAGGAAAAUGAAUAUUUUCGAAUUAUUUUUGAACUAGGCAAGGAAUGUUUUUGACAUAUUUGAUGAAUAUAUGAUCCAAAACAUUUAUGAGAAUUUUUUGGGAAUUUUUGGAAUAACAGAAAUAUAGGUUGCUUCACAACCUAGGGCAAAAACUGCCACAUGGACAUGACACAUAGGCAAAACUGAUGAGAUGGCGCCUAGUCAUCACAACCCACCACAAUCUACAAGGCUAUGACCGUCUAUAUUGGUCGUUAACAACUAGAAAUAAGGCAGCGGACCAGCACUGUUUGCUUUAUGACCAUUUUGUGUAAGGAAAUUGUGACCUUUCUGACCAGAAUGGCCGCAAUGGUUUAGGGUUUGGAGCCCCCCGAACAGCUUUUGACCAAUUGGUCAGAAAUGGUCAUAGAUCUAUGACCAAUUCUUCCAGGGUUACUGAAAGAAGGUCACUAGUUGACAUAUUUCUUGUAGUGCAUUAACAGUGCGAGGAGGAGUUUUUGGGGCAUUGGGUACCGCGCCCUCGCGUCCCGCAGCACCAUAUUGACGAAGUACACCGGGUGCUCGACGAGGUUGAGGGUACUGGCGUGACCCGCGUCCUCUGGAGGUUGAAGUGCCUCCUGAGGCGGCGUGUCCCUCAGUGCUUGGUCGCCUGAGGGGGCCUCCUCCGCUCCGGGUGUGUUCCCCUGAUGAGGCUUAUCCUUUUCUGCCGUGGUCGUGGUCUUUGCGAGGCCUUCCUGGCCUUGCUCUACUUCGGCAGGGACUGCGGCUGCGGCCGUGGCCUGACGCUCCUUUCUAACUGUCACCAGGGCUGCGCUAGCAGAGUAAGGGGUGGCUACAAGGUAGAGCACCAGGGGCUCCCGAGGGCGCGGAGCUACCAUUACCGGGGGUUGGUAAGGUACCUCUUGAGGUCUUGGAAUGCCUUGUCGGCCUCUUCAGUCCAUUCGAAGGGGCCUUUCUUCUUCAUCAGCUUGAAGAAGGGCAGCGCUCGCUCUCCCAGCUUGGAGAUGAAACGUCCUAAAGCGGUUACACGCCCGGUGAGCUUCUGCAUUUCCCUGAGGGUCUUAGGCGAGCUCAUGUCUUCGACUGCCUUGACCUUCUCUAGGUUGGCCUCAAUGCCCCUGUGGGAUACGAGGAAGCCCAGGAGCUUGCCCGAGGGGGCUCCAAACACACACUUCUUCGGGUUGAGCCGCAGUUCCACUUCGCUGAGGCUUGCAGAGGUUUCUUCCCAGUCCUGUAUCAGGGUUUUUGCUUCCCGAGACUUCACCAUAAUGUCAUCAACGUAAGCUUCAGCGUUCCUCCCGAGCUAUCGGCCCAGGGCGAUGUGCAUCAAUCGCUGGAAGGUCGCGCCUGUGUUGCGCAACCCAAACGACAUGCAGGUAUAGCAGUAAACUCCACACAGGGUCAGGAAGGCCAUUUUCUCCACGUCCUCCACCGCCAUCUUGAUCUGAUGAUAGCCCGAGAAGGCAUCCAGGAAGCACAGUAGGUCACACUCAGCGAUAGAGUCGACGAUCUAUUCGAUGCGAGGGAGCGGGAAUGGAUCCUGUGGGCAGGCUUUGUUGAGGUUGGUGAAGUCGACACACAUGCGUUCCUUUCCUCCCUUUUUUGGAACGACAACAGGGUUGGCCAGCCAAUCAAGGUAGUGGACCUCGCGAAUGAUUCCUGCUGCUUCUAACUUGCGGGUCUCUUGGACGAUGAAGGCCUGCUUUUCAGUGGACUGCCGCCUUGCCUUCUGCUUCACAGGGCGCACGUUGGGGCACACGUUGAGAUGAUGCUCAAUUACAUCCCUCGGGCCCCCCGCCAGCUGAUUAGGCUCCCAUGCAAACACCUUCCUGUUUGCACGCAGGAACCUGACCAGGGCUUCUUUCGGCUCAGGAUCAAGGUUGGCGCCUAUGGUGAAGGUAGCACCGGCGGGCUCAUCCUCGUCGACCGGUACCUGCUUGGUCUCCGCCUUGUCUUGGCUGAAGAGCUGCUUCUUUUUGGCUGGUGCAGCCCCCUUGGGCUCGAGGACAUCUGAGCUGGCGGGUUGCACCACUGCGGCAGUCUUGAAAGCAAGCUUGAGCGCCUGCAACGCAUCCCCGGUGUCUUCGGACACGGUAAGGACGCCAUUGCUCCCGGACAUCUUCAUGAGGUUGUAUGCCGGGUGAGUCGCAGCCAUGAACCGGGCCAGGGCUGGGUAGCCGAGGAUGGCGUUGUACGGGAGACUGAUGGGGGCGAUGUCGAAGUCGAUCAGCUCCGUGCGGAAGUUGUCGUAGGUGCCGAAGGUCACCGGGAGGCGGAUCUGUCCUAGGGAGCCGGUGGAACUGCCUCCGACACCCGAGAAGGGCCUCCUGGGCUGAAGCCGCUCUGGCGGCACGUGGAGGAGGCUGAAGGCUUCCACCGAGAGCACGCUGAGGCCAGCACCGUCGUCGAUGAGGGUCCUAGUGACAGCCACCUGGCAGAUGGUGGGGGUGCAUAGCAUCGGGAACACACCCGAGUAGGCUGGGUUGGAGGGGUGAUCAUCCGAGCUGAAGGUCAGAUCGGCCNNNNNNNNNNNNNNNNNNNNNNNNNNNNNNNNNNNNNNNNNNNNNNNNNNNNNNNNNNNNNNNNNNNNNNNNNNNNNNNNNNNNNNNNNNNNNNNNNNNNNNNNNNNNNNNNNNNNNNNNNNNNNNNNNNNNNNNNNNNNNNNNNNNNNNNNNNNNNNNNNNNNNNNNNNNNNNNNNNNNNNNNNNNNNNNNNNNNNNNNNNNNNNNNNNNNNNNNNNNNNNNNNNNNNNNNNNNNNNNNNNNNNNNNNNNNNNNNNNNNNNNGGGUGAACGGCUUGACGUGGCGGCUCGAAGGUGGUGCCUGUGAGAUGCCCAGGAGAGCCGCGAUGACCGGGGGCACUAGCGCGGCGUAAUGGGCGAGGAAAAGGUCGUGCAGUUCCCCCCGGGAGGUCACGGAAGCCGUCGGUAGGUGGAGCAGCCACAUGCGAGCAACGCCGCCGAGGGCCAUGGGAAACCAGUUGGCCAUCACCCUGUCGUCGCCCCCCGCCUUGAGGACGGCUUCCUUGUACGCCAGCAGGAAAACCGGCGGUUUCGUCGCGCCGUUGUAGCGCGGCGACAUCUCUGGCUUGAACUUGCAUGGCCACUGCACCUGUCGCAAGGCGGGAGGCAAGGCUCGGAGCCCCUAGCCCCAGCACUGGUAUCGGCUGCCGAAGCGGGCGGCGCGUUGUCCGCCAUGUGGGCGAAACGCGAUGUUGGCGGAGAAUGGGCCGACAGAAGGGAGAGCUUUGGCGCACCCCUACCUGGCGCGCCAAAUGUCAGAUUUCGGGUUCCGGCAGACCCUUGAGGUUCGAACACUGGGGUGCGCUCAAAGAUCUCUCCUCUACCAACUCACGUCUCGCCGCCACGCAAAGGUCUUGUCUAUACGAUGAACAACACAAGAGACGCAAGGUUUAUACUAGUUCGGGCCACCGUUGUGGUGUAAUACCCUACUCUAGUUUGUGGUGUGUGGAUUGCCUCAGGGGCUGAUGAUGAACAGUACAAGGAAAGAACAACCUCGCGAGGGGCUGUUCUUGAGCUGGCGUGAUGAACUGCUUGGGAGAGUUCAGUCGCAUCUUGGAUGCCUACCCGAUCUCUAGAUGCCUCUACUCUGUGGUGGCUAGUCCUAUUUAUAGAGGAAGGCCCUGGGCCUCUUCCCAAAUAAUGAGCGGGAAGGGCGCCAACAAUUGGCCAUUUUGAAGGGGAACAUCUAGUACACUUAUCCUGACUAAAGUUGGUCUUCGGCUGCCAAAGGCUCUGAUGAUGACGCCGUCCUGGGCUCCACGAUGACCUCCAUCCUGUCGUUCUGCUCGUCUUGGUCUUGUUGCACCGAAACGGUAACCUUUGCCUGAUGCCUUGGCAUGUGCUUUCCCCCUUUGCACCAAAGGGGAAACAAGGAUACUGCGCAGGCCGGCGCCCGCCUGGCGCCCGCCUGGUGUCGAUCAUGAUGGCUUGCGUCACGGGCUCCUUGCGAGGUGCCCUGCCUUGAUCUCUCUGCCUCCUCGCGAGCCUGCCUGAUGAGGCUGCGCCUGAGGAAGCUUCCUGUCGUCCGCCCCGCGAGGCUUGGACCCUCGCGAGGGCCUUGAGCUCCAGUUGAUGAAGAAGGGCCGCACUAGCCCCCCUACUUGAGCCACGCCGCAGGCCGCAGGCCGUAGGCAGGCAAGUCUGGGGACCUCCGUUCCCAGAACGCCGACACAGAUUUCACAAGAGAACCAAGCACAUCAAGAGACGCUUCAAUUCCAUCUGUCAUCAAGUGUCGAAGGGGGGCAUAGAGAUUUGCAAGAUACACACGGAUCUGAAUGUUGUAGACCCGUUGACUAAGCCUCUUCCACGAGCAAAACAACGUCAACACAAAAGAUCCAUGGGUGUUAGAAUCAUUACUAUGUAAUCUAGAUUAUUGACUCUACUGCAAGUGGGAUACUGAAGGAAAUAUGCCCUAGAGGCAAUAGUAAAGUUAUUAUUAAUUUCCUUAAUUCUUGAUAAAUGUUUAUUAUUCAUGCUAGAAUUGUAUUAACUGGAAACUUAGUACAUGUGUGAAUACAUAGACAAAACAUAUAGUCCCUAGUAUGUCUCUACUUGACUAGCUCGUUAAUCAAAGUUGGUUAUGUUUCCUAACCAUAUAUAUGUGUCAUUUGAUUAACGGGAUCACAUCAUUAGGAGAAUGAUGUGAUGGACAUGACCCAUCCGUUAGCUUAGCAUUAUGAUCGUGUCCGCUUCAUUGCUACUGCUUUCUUCAUGACUUAUACAAGUUCCUUAGACUAUGAGAUUAUGCAACUCUCGAAUACCGGAGGAACACUUUGUGUGCUACCAAACGUCACAACAUAUAUGGGUGAUUAUAAAAGUGCUCUACAGGUGUCUCCGAAGGUGUUUGUUGGUUGAAAUAGAUCGAGAUUAGGAUUUGUCACUCCGUGUUUCGGAGAGAUAUCUCUGGGCCGUCUCGGUAAUACUCAUCACUAUAAGCCUUGCAAGCAUUGUGACUAAUGAGUUAGUUACGGGAUGAAGUAUUACGGAACGAGUAAAGAGACUUGCCGGUAACGAGAUUGAACUAGGUAUUGAGAUACCGAUGAUCGAAUCUCGGGCAAGUAACAUACCGAUGACAAAGGGAACGAUGUAUGUUGUUAUGAGGUUUGACCGAUAAAGAUCUUCGUAGAAUAUGUAGGAACCAAUAUGAGCAUCCAGGUUCCGCUAUUGGUUAUUGAUCAGAGACGUGUCUCGAUCAUGUCUACAAAGUUCUCGAACUCGUAGGGUCCGCACGCUUAACGUUCGAUGAUGAUUGGUAUUAUGAGUUUAUGUGAUGUGAUGUACUGAAGAUUGUUCGGAGUCCCAUAUGUGAUCACGGAGAUGACGAGGAGUCUCGAAAUGGUCGAGACAUAAAGAUUGAUAUAUUGGAAGGCUAUGUUUGGACACCGGAAAGGUUCCGAGUGGUUCGGGCAUUUUUCCGGAGUACCGGGAGGUUACCGGAACCCCUGGGGAGUCAAUGGGCCUUAAUGGGCCAUGGUGGAAGAGAGGAGGAGGCGGCUAAGGUGGGGGCGCCCCCCAAGCCCAAUCCGAAUUGGGAGGGGGGCCGGCCCCCCUUUCCUUCUCUCCCUCUCCCUCUUCCUUCUUUUCCUACUCCAACUAGGGAAGGGGGGAAACCUACUCCUACUGGGAGUAGGACUCCCCCCCUUGGCGCGCCAUAGAGGGCCGGCCCUCCCCCUCUUCCACUCCUUUAUAUACGGGGGAGGGGGCACCCCAUAGACACACAAGUUGAUUAAGUUGAUCUUUUAGCCGUGUGCGGUGCCCCCCUCCACAGAUUUCCAUCUCGGUCAUAUCAUCAUAGUGCUUAGGUGAAGCCCUCCGCCAGUAACUUCAUCAUCAUCGCCACCAUGCUAUCAUGCUAACGAAAUUCUCCCUCGACCUCAGCUGGAUCUGGAGUUCAUGGGACAUCACCGAGCUGAAUGUGUGCAGAUCGCGGAGGUGUCAAACCUUCGGUGCUAGGAUCAGUCAGAUCAUGAAGACGUACGACUACAUCAAUCCCGUUGUCAUAAUGCUUCUGCUUUCGGUCUACGAGGGUACAUAGACAACACUCUCCCCUCUCGUUUCUAUGCAUCACCUAGAUAGAUCUUGCGUGAUCGUUGGAAUUUUUUUGAAAUUACUGCGUUCCCCAACAACCCCUCCCCCCACUGCCCCCCGCAUAUCGGGGGAAACCGUGGGAUUAGUCCGGGUAACAGCGGCGUCAUCGCUGGUCAUCUUCUCCGGAGUUUCAGAGUGCUGGGAACAUGGUGGUACUUCUCCGGAGGGUGCAGCGGUCGCUGGUCAUCUUUGUUUCAUUGAUUUGCUGUUGUUGGCAGUUUCUCUAUCUUUUUUCUCCGUUUCUCUUUGGGCCUGUUUGUGUUGCGGCCCCAGCACCUAUCGUUGGAUGUAUCGGUGGUUGAUUUGUAAUACAAAGCGGGGGAAACCCUUUUUUUAAUCCCUUCCCAGUUAACGAACACCGAGGGAUCCUUACAGGCCAUGACCCUCGGCAUGCCGCAAACAGCGCUGGCAUUCCAGUUGUAUGCCCUGCCGCCUCCGCAGCAUGCCCACCGUAGAGCAUCGGCGCCGGCUACUACUGCAGAUUGAUUGAUUUUGUUAGAAGACUCAGAGACCCCACAACAGCAAAUCAAGGGUAACAACAUGGACAAAAAACUUUCUAGGGUUAAUUAUCCUUUUGCCCUCAGUGGUGUCCAUUUUGCUCAGUUUUUCCCUUAGUUGCGAAUUGUUCUUAGUUUUGCCCCUAGUGUGUCCCCACCAACUCGUUCCAUGAAACCUGUCGUCUCCGUCAGGUCAACCUUUUGACUUGGCCCUUACAGAUGGGACCAGGCGGAAGAGACGCACUAGACGAUCAGAUCGUUGCACGCGUGGCUUGUGGGACCCAGCAAAGAGCCGUUGAGCAGAGAGCCGUUGCGGGUGUGCUAUAUAAGCGAGCGACAGAGAGCGGCGGUGACCACGGUGACAGAGAGAGCGGGUGACAUGGAGCUCGACCAUGGCGACAGAGAGAGAGAGAGGCAGUGGGAAGAUAGCUAUGGAGGGCGCGGCAGCGUUGAGAUCCCCUUCGGCUUUGAGCUCCAUGUCUUCUUCAAGCUCCCGCACCACCUUGCGAAUGCAGAGCCUGGCGCGUGUGGAGAUGCCUAUCUUCGUCUGUCCGCGGUGCUAGGUGGGCGUUGAUCGGAGGGUUUCUCACACACCGAGGAACCAUAAUCGUCCGUUCUAUGUGUGCAGCGAGAAUGGGGUAAGAAUCGGGGUAAUUGCAUCAUUUUCGUGGUCGGGAUCUUUGAGCAAUGGGUUGAUCUGUUUGGCAUUCAUGCAGGUGAAAUGUUUCUUCGUUUGGGUCGAUGCUCUGUGUAAGACUCUGAUGAAUGAACUGCAAAAAGAGCAUGAAGAAUGGUUGUGCAUGCUGCCACGAACGACAGUGGUCGCAGCACGACCUCCGGAAGAAGAGAUGGAGGGUGAAGCACGCACUGACAGAGAGCUAGCUGUUGAGCUUAGGAUGUUGAAGAAGAAUGUUUGGAAGCUUGAAGAUCAAGCACAAACACCCAUUUGCAAUUUAUUUUGGGCAUUUGUAGCUAUGGUAAUCGCACUGGGUGUAAUUUUGAAAUUGUAUGGAAAGGCAUGAAUUAUGGAGGAAUUUGUAAGCUUGAAAUUGUAUGAGAAAUUCAUCUUGUUCAAAUGUUGGUCAAAGUUGUUUAAAUGUUGAAAAAAAGAGAAGAAAUGACCAACAUUUAAAUAUGUUGAAAAAAGGGAGAAGAAAUGAGAAAAUCAGAAACUUUGAUCAAUGAAAUGCAGCUCUCUGCUCUGCCUUUCUGUCAAAAAAAGGUUACUCUAUGGCCAAAUUCAGAGCGGAGAGCCAAGUGUCGGCUAGACAAAUGGGCCAACAGCAUCCAAUUAGACCCAUUUGGGGGUGGGCAAGAGAUCUCUUCCGUCUUUUUCUGUUUUCUGUUCUGAUUUAAUUUAGGCAGUAAAUCAUUUUACUUAAUGCUGAAACUUUUUGUGGAAGCUAAUUGAAUUAUUCCAGAGCCAAACCAUUAAGUUUAGAAUUAUUUUGGAGUUGUUAAAUAUUGAAUAGAUAUUUAAUUACUCCAAUUCAAAUACACCAUGAAUUAAAUCAAAGACCAAAAUGUCAUGGAAAAUGUGCCUCAGCUCUGGUAGAGGUUUACACCUGGUGCCAAAAAUAAUGAACAUUUUUGAAGGGCAUUACAUUGAGAAAAAAUAAUUUGUCUAAAAAAUGAAGAGUGGAAAAUGCACAAAAAAUUGGUGCUUCUGGGACUCGAACCGCUUCCUCGCUCCAAGUCCAGCUCCUUCGCUGCGAGGUCUGAUUCGACUCUUCCUUGGUCUACUUGCUGCUCUCUUCAGAACUGGAGCGCAAAGCUUGAAUCCAGGGUCCACCAUGUCCCAUUGUUGUUUUCCCUCCAUAGCAGGCAAGGCAUAUGCAUACAUGGCUUUGAACCUUGCAACAGAGUAGUAAUCAUGCACAUACUGCUGUAUGGUCCCUGCUGGACCGGGAGAGAAGUGAUGAAAACCAAGGCAUGAAUGCAUGGCAACCCAGUUAUCUGCCAUUGCCUACAACUGCAAGUUCUAGCUUCUAAGUCCAUUGGAUAUCUCCAUUCCCUCUUCUCUUUAUCCAAAUAUGAUAUCUCUGCUGUGGUACUUGAGCAAAGCGUCAUGUUCAUUUCCAAGCUUGUUGUUUUCUGCUUCAGUUCAUUCAUCACGGCAUGGAUGAUAAUGUGGCCCAUGAAUUUUUCCUCGGCUAUUCCUGCAUGAUAAUGAAAUUUCUGCAUGUAUUCUAUCCUUAUCCUGUCAAGAAAUCCACCACAUAAUGACCCUUUAGUUUCCGCAUCAUUGAGUUGAAAGACUCUGCUAGAUUAUUGUGCACAUAGUCAACUUUGCUUAGUUCACUGAAUUGGCUUCUGGCCCAUAACUUGGAGUGGUGUGUUUCCAAGUAUUCUUUCACUUUGGGAUUCAUGUAUAACUGCCUCAAGUGGUAGUUGUGCUUCUUCACACUACAAGUCAAAGAUGCUGGCCAUAAAUUGUCGGUAUACACCUUUCCUUUGAAUUUCUUCACAAAAUUUGCGGCAAGGUGAUGCAUGCAUUCCCUAUGCUCUACUCUAGGGAACACAUUGUCCACGGCCACUUCUAAACCUUUGCAGGUAUCUAUAUGAAUUACCAACCCAUUGGGAUGUGCAGUAGCCCGAUGCAGAUUAUGCAAAAACCAAGUCCAGCUCUCCUCAGACUCUAUCUCCAGCACACCGUACGCAACUGGAAAUACAAAACUGUGUGAAUCAAAUGCACAAGCUGGUACUAACUGUCCUUUAAACCUCCAUGUGAGAAAAGAAGCAUCAAUGCCAAAUAUGGCCUGCAACCUGCUGAAAAACCCCGGCGACAAGCCUCAAAGCAGACAAAACUCUCCUAACGCAUUCCUUUGUCUUUGUCACUCCCCUGAAUGUGUACUCUAUAGUGUGGUGGUCAAUAUCUACAAUACUACCUGGGCUGGUCCUCUCCACUUCACCUUUGAAUGAAUACAACAAUUGAAAACUUUCCCGCCAGUUACCAUAAAUAGAAUCCAUAGCAUGUUGUUUGCCAUUGAACAACCUCAUGUAUGGUAAAUCUAUCUUGAACUUGUCUUUGAUAUUCUUCUGCAAUUCCUUUGGACCCACUUGCUGGGUUUUUUCACCCACUUCUUUACUUCUUCUGCCACCCAUCUUGACUUGGCUCUACUGAUUGUAUCCUUCCUAAGGGUUGAUUCCUGACAUGUGUGUUUAAAAGGGUUCACUUUGACCUGGGCAUUCAUGCUAUUUCGCAUUUUAGAUGCGAGCAUCCUCCAUGGACAACCCUUAGUCAGAUAGUGCACUCUGUAACGUACUUGAUCGCUCUUGUCAACUUUAAAAGUACGUUCUACCUUGAUGCCGUAUGUCACAAGUGCAUUUCUACACUCAGUCAUGGAUGCAAAAAUGACACCUUCUUCCAUAUGAGGGUUCAAAGGGUCCCAUUCAACAACUGCUAGGUGUUCGUCCUCACCCACCGCGUCAUCAUCCACACGAACUGCAUUGUGAGCCUCAUCUUGGUUUUCAGCCCAAGGUGCCCAUCAUAAAUUCCGAACAACAUCAGAAUAUAGCUUCUCUUCAUCAACCCCAGAAUUGUAGGCAUCAGGCUCCACUUCAAGGGGGGCCUUACAGCCGAGCCACCACGUCGUCGUGCACUAACUGGACUGUUCUGGCUAGAGCUGCCAUUAUGACGGCUUGGUUCUCCCCGAGAUGUUGCACCCGCCAUCCUAGGUCCAAAUGCCUACUCAAGCACAUCAAUUUGCAGCCUCACAUGAAAAUUAUUUUUCUCCUUAUGCCUAACAAACAUGAUAGCCAGCUCUUCAUCAUUACUAAUUGUCACCCAUUUCUUUUCCCCAUCAUAGUAUUUGUAUUCCACUUAAUCAAGCAAACCCCAAGGAUAUUGGCUACAAAUUACCUCCCCAAAUUGUCUGAAACUCCAAUUACAAGCCAUUGGAAACAUAUAAUCAAAACCUCCUUCGAUUUCUUCUUAUUCUUUGCAUUCAACAUGUAACGGUCCCUUCUAAUGUGCAUCAAGAAAGCAAACCGCAACUCCAUCCUAACCAACGAAAAACAAAGACGCAAUUAGCACACUAACCGGGCAAACCAAGUCAAAUCGACUGUUAAAAUGCACAACUAAGCUCAAUCUAAACAGGAGGUGUGACUUACCCCUUGAUGUCUACUACACAACCUUCUUCUUGUAGAUGUUGUUGGGCCUGCAAGUGCACAACUUUGUAGGACAGUAGCAAAUUUCCCUCAAGUGGAUGACCUAAGGUUUAUCAAUCCGUAGGAGGCGUAGGAUGAAGAUGGUCUCUCUCAAGCAACCCUGCAACCAAAUAACAAAGAGUCUCUUGUGUCCCCAACACACCCAAUACAAUGGCAAAUUGUAUAGGUGCACUAGUUCGGCGAAGAGAUGGUGAUACAAGUGCAAAGUAGAUAGUAGAUAAAGGUAAUUGUAAUCUGAAAUUAUAAAAAUAGCAAGGUAACAAGAGGUAAAAGUGAGCAUAAACGGUAUUGCAACGAUAGGAAACAAGGCCUAGGGUUCAUACUUUCACUAGUGCAAGUUCUCUCAACAAUAAUAACAUAGAUAGAUCAUACAAAAAGCCCUCAACAUGCAACAAAGAGUCACUCCAAAGCCACUAAUAGCGGAGAACAAACGUAGUGAUUAUGGUAGGGUACGAAACCACCUCAAAGUUAUUCUUUCGGAUCAAUCUAUAAAAGACUUCGUACUAGAAUAACACCUCAAGACACAAAUCAACCAAAACCCUAAUGUCACCUAGAUACUCCAUUGUCACCUCAAGUAUCCGUGGGCAUGAUUAUACGAUAUGCAUCACACAAUCUCAGAUUCAUCUAUUCAACCAACACAAAGUACUUCAAAGAGUGCCCCAAAGUUUCUACCGGAGAGUCAAGAACGUGUGCCAACCCCUAUGCAUAGGUUCAUGGGCGGAACCCGCAAGUUGGUCACCGAAACAUACAUCAAGAGGCACAUGAUAUCCCAUUGUCACCACAGAGAAGCAUGGCAAGACAUACAUCAAGUGUUCUCAUAAAAGACUCAAUCCGAUAAGAUAACUUCAAAGGGGAAACUCAAUUCAUCACAAGAGAGUAGAGGGGGGAGAAACAUCAUAAGAUCCAACUACAAUAGCAAAGCUCGGGAUACAUCAAGAUCGUGCCAUAGAGGGAACACGAGAGAGAACACGAGAGAGAGAGAUCAAACACAUAGCUACUGGUACAUACCCUCAGCCCCGAGGGUGAACUACGCCCUCCUUGUCAUGGAGAGCGCCAGGAUGAUGAAGAUGGCCACCGGUGAAGGGAUCCCCCUCCGGCAAGGUGUCGGAAUGGGCUCUCGAGAGGUUUUUGGUGGCUACAGAGGCUUGCGGCGGUGGAACUCCCGAUCUAUCUUCUCCGUGGAUGUUUUAGGAUACGUGGGACUAUAUAGGCGAAAGAAGUCGAUCGGGAGGUGCUCGAGGGGCCCACGAGAUAGGGGGCGCGCCCUCCUAUCUCAUGGAGUCCUCGAGUAUCUUCUGACUUGAACUCCAGGUCUCCAGGAUGUUAUUCUUCCAAAAAAUCAUGUUGCCGAAGGUUUCAUUCCGUUUGGACUCUGUUUGAUAUUCCUUUUCUUCGAAACACUGAAACAGGCAAUAAAACAGCAAUAUGGACUAGGCCUCCCUUUAAUAGGUUAGUCCCAAAAGUAAUAUAAAAGUGUAUAAUAAAUCCCAUAAUCAUUCAAAACACAUAGUAAUAUAGCAUGAAUGCUUCAUAAAUUAUAGAUACGUUGGAGCAAACUGAACAAAAUAAUUAUCAUGUGAGGCAUAUUCCAAUUGAAAACUAAAAUCAUGAUGACAAGUUUCAUGGUUAUCAUUAUUCUUAAUAGCAUACAAGUCAUCACAAUAAUCAUCAUAGAUAGCAACUUUGUCUCAUAAUCAAUUGGAACCUCUUCCAAGAUAGUGAAUUCAUCACUAAAUAAAGUGGACACUCUUCCAAAUCCACUUUCAUAUUCAUCACAAUAAAAUUCAACAUCCUCCAAAAUAGUGGGACCACUUCUUCCUAAAGUUGACACUCUUCCGAACCCACUUUCAUCAAUAUAAUCAUCAUAGGUAGGAGGCAUGCUAUCAUCAUAACAACUUUGCAUAUCAAAACUUGGGAUGCUAAAAAUAUCAUCUUCAUAAAACAUAGCAUCCCCAAGCUUGGGACAAACACUAAUUUCAGGAAAUAUAUUCUCAAAUAUUUCAUCCUCAUCAAACAUAGCUUCCCCAAGCUUGGGCCCUUUCAUAUCAUAAGCAUAAUCACUCUCAUCAUUAAAAAUAUUGAUAGCACCAAUAGUAUAGCAAUUAUCAUCAUCACAAUGAGUAGUAGGAGCAACAUCAUUUGGGAGGGAUGCCCUUCUACCUUUGUUGUUCCUUCUUUUCUUUUUAUUCUUCACAGUAUGUGUGGGUUCUACCUUCCUCUUUGAGCUCCUUAUUGAUGAGAUUGGUUGAAUAGCAAUAUCCUUCUCGUUACCUGAUUCAUCAUAAGAAAUAAUGGGAGGAGAUUGGGAAGUCUCUUCCCUUUCAUUAGUAUUCUCUUAAUCUUCUAUUUGCUUUCUUUUCUUUAUGUAAUUGGCAAUAUAAGGAUUUUCAAUGCAAUUCUCCGCAAAAUACAAAUAAAUAUCCUCUAGAUCAAAAUGAAGAAAUCUAUCAAGAUUAAAUUUUGGAAUACCCUCGGUUAUACGUUUCAUUUCUUCAUACCCCAAAAGAAGACUAAGCUCUUUAUGAUGCCCAAGGGUAAUCAAGCUAUCACAAUUUUUGGACACGAUUCGAUCAUAGAACAAUUUGCAUUGGAGAUUUAAAUGACCAUGUUCAUUGCAAAGUUCACAAGGAGCGCGAAAAAUAUUGAAUCUUUUAGCAAACUCAUCAAGACUUUCUUGCAAACCUUUAGUUUUUAAAUACUUAUGGCUCUUGCAAUAUCUAUUUUCUUUAUUUGGUGUGUCCAUGCAAAUCCAAUCCACUCCACAAAAAUCAACAUGCUUUAUAGGAGACAUUUUCAUCAUAACUAGUGCAAUCAUCAUUAGUACUACUACACAACCUUCUUCUUGUAGACGUUGUUGGGCCUGCAAGUGCACAAGUUUGUAGGAUAGUAGCAAAUUUCCCUCAAGUGGAUGACCUAAGGUUUAUCAAUCCGUAGGAGGCGUAGGAUGAAGAUUGUCUCUCUCAAGCAACCGUGCAACCAAAUAAGAAAGAGUCUCUUGUGUCCCCAACACACCCAAUACAAUGGCAAAUUGUAUAGGUGCACUAGUUCGGCGAAGAGAUGGUGAUACAAGUGCAAAGUAGAUAGUAGAUAAAGGUAAUUGUAAUCUGAAAUUAUAAAAAUAGCAAGGUAACAAGUGGUAAAAGUGAGCAUAAACGGUAUUGCAACGAUAGGAAACAAGGCCUAGGGUUCAUACUUUCACUAGUGCAAGUUCUCUCAACAAUAAUAACAUAGAUAGAUCAUACAAAAAGCCCUCAACAUGCAACAAAUAGUCACUCCAAAGCCACUAAUAGCGGAGAACAAACAUAGAGAUUAUGGUAGGGUACGAAACCACCUCAAAGUUAUUCUUUCGGAUCGAUCUAUAAAAGAGUUCGUACUAGAAUAACACCUCAAGACACAAAUCAACCAAAACCCUAAUGUCACCUAGAUACUCCAUUGUCACCUCAAGUAUCCGUGGGCAUGAUUAUACGAUAUGCAUCACACAAUCUCAGAUUCAUCUAUUCAACCAACACAAAGUACUUCAAAGAGUGCCCCAUAGUUUCUACCGGAGAGUCAAGAACGUGUGCCAACCCCUAUGCAUAGGUUCAUGGGCGGAACCCGCAAGUUGGUCACCAAAACAUACAUCAAGAGGCACAUGAUAUCCCAUUGUCACCACAGAUAAGCACGGCAAGACAUACAUCAAGUGUUCUCAUAAAAGACUCAAUCCGAUAAGAUAACUUCAAAGGGGAAACUCAAUUCAUCACAAGAGAGUAGAGGGGGGAGAAACAUCAUAAGAUCCAACUACAAUAGCAAAUGUCGGGAUACAUCAAGAUCAUGCAAUAGAGGGAACACGAGAGAGAACACGAGAGAGAGAGAGAUCAAACACAUAGCUACUGGUACAUACCCUAAGCCCCAACGGUGAAAUACUCCCUCCUCAUCAUGAAGAGCGCCGGGAUGAUGAAGAUGUCCACCGAUGAAGGGAUCCCCCUCCGGAAGGGUGCCGGAAUGGGCUCCCGAGAGGUUUUUGGUGGCUACAGAGGCUUGCGGCGGUGGAACUCCCGAUCAAUCUUCUCCGUGGAUGUUUUUAGGGUACAUGGGACUAUAUAGGCGAAAGAAGUCGGUCGGGAGGUGCUCGAGGGCCCCACGAGACAGGAGGGCGCGCCCUACAGGGGGGGGGGGAGCGCCCUCCUAUCUCAUGGAGUCCUCGAGUAUCUUCUGACUUGAACUCCAUGUCUCCAGGAUGAUAUUAUUCCAAAAAAUCACGUUGCCGAAGGUUUCAUUCCAUUUGGACUCUGUUUGAUAUUCCUUUUCUUCGAAAUACUGAAACAGGCAAUAAAACAUUAAUAUGGGCCGGGCCUCCGGUUAAUAGGUUAGUCCCAAAAGUAAUAUAAAAUUGUAUAAUAAAGCCCAUAAUCAUUCAAAACACAUAGUAAUAUAGCAUGAAUGCUUCAUAAAUUAUAGAUACGUUGGAGACGUAUCACCCCUUGGGAACCCAGUCAUGGAUGCAGCGGAUCUCCGUCCCGAUGCCUGCCUCGCCAAAUACUCCAGGGCUCGCCGCAGCUUGCCAUUUCGCCCUGGGGUUCACCCUCGUACUUCAAACAGCUCUACCAGCCUCCAUCUAUCAGCGUUCCGGCCGGGCGCACGGAAGGAGGCCAUGCCGCGGGUCGAGCAGGUGGCGGGCGCCCCACCAGUGGUGUCGCAGGAAGGUGGCGGGCAGAGCAGGUAGUAGUGGAGCAGGACGGCCGCAGUCGUGGCAGCGCACCUGGUGGCGGUGCAGGUGCUGUCAGCGGCGCAGGACGGCCGACCGGCGAAUGGGACAGAGUGGGUGUCGAGUUGGUAGGUUAGAACCCUAGGAUUGAUUUGGGUAUUUUUGUUGUACGGUCCCACAUGUCAACUCCAAACCCACGUCCAUGCGGUCCCAUGUGUAAGCUCCAGACCCAAUACCACUAACACCGGCGGGUGGAAUGGACUAAAAUCUGGCCGUUUGGCCUCGUCAUAGUAGCUGCGCAUGGACUAGGGGCAAAACUGAGCAUGAUUCGCAACUGAGGGCAAAACUGAGCAUAUAGACACCAUUGAGGGCAAAAGGAUAAUUAACCCAACUUUAUAAUCCUUACCAAAACGGCUUGGGUUUUGGAGGAUCGUGAUGAUCGGGCCGUAGAAGUCGGCGUAGAUGAUCCUGGCAUGCGAGUACUUGCCCCUGAGAACGCCAAUCGCCGCCCGGAGCAUGUAGUUGUGGUACUUGGCCACGCGGUUGAUAUCGCUUAGGCAGCCGAGGCGGUCGUACAUCAUUGUCUUGUUGAAGCUCGAGCGGGUCGCCAUCAUGGUGGGUGAGCACCCGUUCGUUGGAUUCCCCAGCACGACCACGUAAACUGCACCUUCUUUGAUGAGCCUCUGUGGUGUCAAUUUUGCCGUCAGGGGCGCCACGUAAAAUUGACACCUCUGUUUAGCAGGGAUGCUCGAAGAAGAGGGAGACCAAACUGCUCGGCUGGUACCAAACCAAAACAGGACAUGUACUCAGACUCCAAAAUAGUAAGACGCAUGCAUGUCCAGAUAUUCAGAUCCCAUCAAGUCUAAUUGUGAGCAAAUGGUUCCCUUGAUGUAACGAACAAGAUGGUUCAACUUACCGAUGAAAUUGACGGUGACUUGUCCAUUGCGCGGGCGAGGAAGAGCUCAGCACCAGCUCGCAUCCACCUAGGCGGGGGCGAGGUAGAGCCCAACACCAGCAGGCAAUGAAGAUCCUAGGCGACGUGGGAGAGGAGGAGGAUCAGCUGAUCUUGGGCGUGGGAGAGGAGGAAACGCUGGUGUAGGGGCCGAGGGGGCGAAGGUGGGAGGCGGAGGUGGAAGACCAUCGGUGGUGGAGGAUUCAAAAUUAUCAGGGUAAUUUAGUCAUUUCGCAGGUUUUAAAGUUCCCAGCGACCUAUAUUUCUGAACGGAGGGAGUAGAUGGCAGAGCAACCUAUCAUACAUAAACAAUGAAAUUGAUUCUAUUGAAAGCUUAUUUACAAUUUUCAGUUGGAGAGUAAACUUGCUCUCUUGUUGAAUGAAUCACACAUACAUCAGUGUUACAUAUAUACACCCCAUAGAGUGGGCACGUAGGCCCGGGGAAGUUGGUUUCGGCCUUGCCAUUUUGAGGGGAGGUGUGGCGACACGAGAAACGAUAGGAGACGCCAUGGGUGGAGAAGAAGGAGCAGAGGGUGGAGUUGAUGAACUCACCGUCAUUGUCACAUUGGAUGUCCUUGAUGAUGACGUUGUAUAGGGUUCGAACGUGAGCGAAGAAAUGUUGUAGAGUGGAGGACAUGUCCGAUUUACGCCAUAACGGAAAAGACCAAGAGAAGUGAGACUAGUCAUCGAGGACAACCAAAUAAUAUUCAUAGCCGGAGAAACUCACGACGGGUGAGGUCUGUCGGUGUCAAAACCAGCAGAUCUCGGGUAGGGGGUCCCAAACUGUGCGUUUAAGGUUGAUGGUAACAGGACGCGGCGGACACGAUGUUUACCCAGGUUCGGGCCCUCUCUAUGGAGGUAAUACCCUACUUCCUGCUUGAUUGAUCUUGACGAAUAUGAGUAUUACAAGAGUUGAUCUACCACGAGAUCGUAAUGGCUAAAAACCCUAAAAGUCUAGUCUGUAUGAUUAUGAUUGCAUCUACGGACUAAACCCUCCGGUUUAUAUAGACACCGGAGGGGACUAGGGUUGUACAAAGUCGGUUACAGAUAAAGGAAUCUUCAUAUCCGAAAGCCAAGCUUGCCUUCCACGCCAAGGAGAGUCCCAUUCAGACACGGGAAGAAGUCUUCUGUCUUGUAUCUUCACAACCCAUCAGUCCGGCCCACGUUACAUAGUCCGGCCGUCCGAGGACCCCUUAAUCCAGGACUCCCUCAGUAUCCCCUGAACCAGGCUUCAAUGACGAGGUGUCUGGCGUGCAGAUUGUCUUCGGCAUUGCAAUGGGGGUUUCUCCUCCGAAUACUCCAAAGCAUCAUUCGAAUACAGAAAACAUGUCCGUCUCUGCAAAACAAAUACCACACACAACCGUAGAGAGUAUAGUAUUUCACGAGUCCAAUCCGCUGACAACUUUUUUUAGCAUGACAUCACGUCGCCGCCCGGCCAUUAUUCAAAUCGUUUUUUAGCCUGCCGCUCCAUAUAUCGAGAUGCGGUUUCAUUGGCACAUCUUGUCAAAGCAGAGAUCGUGUCCCCUUAUUGUGAGAUUCUCAUCAAUACGGGCGUGGGUAACCCAACCAUGUCAUUUGCACGGCCCAUGGGGAAUAGGCGAGUUUUAAGGCAAGUGGGGAGGCGCUUGAUAUUCAUGUCGUUAUAAGGAGAUAAAGAUUCACCCUUUUUCACCCAUGCCUUCUCUCUCUCUGCCUGCCCCAUUCUCGAGCUCCAGCGCCCAAGUUCUCAUCUUUUCCGCCCCAAGAAAGCACUCCAACCAUGUUCGGAUCCGGAGCGCAGGGCAAGUGGAUGGCCUCCACCAUCAAGGAGAAGGACAUUACCAAGCUCCAGGAGGCUGGUUAUUUGGCCAAGGAAAUCGCCCACCGGCUUCCAGCCAAGGGACAGAUCAUCCUGUAAGUGCAUCUAGUGCCCCUUAGUGAUUUUGGUGUAUUGAAGACUUAUAGGUUAAGGGACUAAUGCGUUUGUAAGUGUACACAGGUCUAUAAGUCUAUGAGGAGUUUGAUAUUUACAGAGAAAGUCGACCCCUAAAAAUGAAGUUCUUCAACUAAAGACUUUGAUAUUCUGAAGACUUUGAAAGUGAAGAAAUUGGUGUGAGCUUGAAGACUUGGUAUUCAUUUGUGGAACAUGAAGUGUGAAGACUAUUGUUUUCGUAGUUUCAUUUUCUCUUUCUUGAGUCAUAGGAAACACCGUACUGUUAAAGGGGGUCGAGGAAAUACUAAGGAAAAAUUUCCAUGUGAUGCUCAACUCAAAAUCCUACACCUACCAAUCCCUUCGAGUGAAGCCUUUGGAAAUCUCAUACAGUUCAGUCACUUUCUUCAGUGACAGAGACGAAGUUCUUCUGGUCACUGAUGAAUUUAUUCUGACUGAGGAGUUAGGAAUUCGUCAGUACGAAUUACCUACACAGUGAGGAACAUGAUAGCCUUGAGGAAUUUGAGAGUCAAAUUUCCGACCGUUGCUGUGCUGCACGCCAGCUGUCCCAAAAUAUCUUAUCCACCUAACGGUCAUAUCAUUGAGGGGCAUUUAUGUCUUAUCAUGUCGGGCUGCUCCCUAGGCUAUAAAUAGCCGCCCCAUACAACCACUAGCUGGUUGGCUGCUCCGAGAGAACUUGACACCUGUCAUUUGAGAGCAACCCAUCCUCCGAGAACUUUGAGCGAAAAUCAUCGAGUGAGGAAAACCCAAAACCAAACCCCUACAAACCCAAAGUGAUUGAGCAUCACUGAAGAAAUUGAUCCUGCGUGGAUCCGACGCUUGUUACCUUUGAAGACUGUGCUUCUUCUAGACGGUUAGGCGUCAAGGUCUAGAGCAUCCAAGAGGAAUUGUGGAUCGUCGAGUGACUGAGUCUGUGAAGGUUUGGAAGUCGCCUGAAGACUUACCACGAGUGAUUGGACGAGGUCUGCGUGACCUUAGUUCAAGGAGAAUACGGUGAGGACUGGGUGUCCUGAGCUGCGUGCUCAACGACUGGGUGUCCGGGACUGUGUGUCCUCGAGUUUAAAUACUCAGCCGUUCCAACCAGACGUACAACUGAGACAACAGUUGGAACUGGUCUACCAAAUCAUUGUCUUCACCAACCUACUGGUUCUAUUUCCUCAACCCUUUCAUUUCCUCAUUACUGUGUUGAGUGUUUGUUCAUAUAUGUGUUUGAAGACUUUGACUGAAGACUUUUUCAAUUUCCUUAGUUCAAUUUCUUCAGUCUGUUUGUCUUCAUCUUGUGUUAUCCUGUGAUUACGCUUUCUGUACUCUGUGCUAGUCUUCAUUUCAUCAUGAUGACCAUGCUUGUAUUCUGUUAUGCUUACUUCUGAGUACCUAUUCUGCUGCUAUAGUUCUUCGCUAAGGAAUUUCCUCACCGGCAAAUUCCUCAGUGAAGAAUUCAUAAAAAUCGCCUAUUCACCCCCCUCUAGUCGACAUAACGCACUUUCAAUUGGUAUCAGAUCAAGGUACUCCCUUGUUCUGUGUGAUUUUGGUUUAACCGCCUGGAGUUUUAGUAAUGUCGACCGCAGGUAUGAAGAAAGUGACAUGCCCUAUCUUUGAUGGUCAUGAUUAUCCCAAGUGGAAGGCCAUGAUGAGGAAGCGCCUCAUGGAAAGGGACAGCGAGCUGUGGACCGUCACUGAGAUUGGUCUUACUGAUCUAUGCAAGUCGGCGAACGCAGAUGAUAUUCGCAAAUACACUCGACUUGACUUCAUGGCGAAGGAUAGCAUCUGUUCCUGCCUAUCCAGAGAUCAAUUCAGGCACAUUAUGCAUCUUUGCAAUGCAAAGCUUAUCUGGGACCGAAUCUCCGACGUCUAUGAAGGUCAUCGAACCCGUCAAGAUCCUUGGUUUGAGGACUUCAAGGAAUCUCUCAAAUCGAUGACUUUCGAACCAGAAUCAUCAUCUUCUGCAUCAUGUCUCAUGGCAAAGGGUGUCGAGGUAACCGAAUGUUCCUCAUCUGAAUUUAGUAACUGUGAAUCUGAUGAUGAUGAAUCUGAUGAUGAUAUUGAACCUAGCUAUACCAAACUUGUUUGCAUUGCCACCAAACAAUAACAUGCCUUGGAAAAGGUUCAAAAAAUGCUAGACAAACGUGAUGAUAUGUUGGGUGAAGAAAUGGAUCGCACUAAAGCCCUGACUGAAAAUCUUCAGAGACUUCAGUCUAGGUUUGAUAACCUUCAAAGUCAUCAUAACACUCUCUUAUCUGAUCAUGAGAAACUUUCUUAUGAUUUUCUUCAAAGAAAGCAAGAUCUUGAGAAGCUAAGAGUGAGUUAUGAAGAUCUUCAAAAGGAGCGCGAUUCAUUACUUGCUCAACAAAUCAGCACUUCUCAGGAAUAAUUUGUUCCUCCAUGCUUAAAGUGCAUUGAACGUGAAUCUGCUAAUUCUUCACCUGAAUGUUCAAAUGCUUCAACUGUUACAAAUUCUUCACCUGCCUUAGCUAUCACUAAUUCCUCAUCUGAGGACAUUGCUAGUAUCACUAACGAUGCAGGGCUGAAGGAACUGUACACGACAGGCAUGUACAAAAGCCUCAAAGGGCAUCAGAUUCUUUGUGAUGUGCUCAAAAAGCAGAUCGUCAACAGAAACCCUAGGAAAUAGGGUAUUGCCUUUGAGAGGAAACUUAAUGCUGAUGGAACAUAUUGGAAGCCUGAGCAGUACCCCAAAACCUCAUGGGUUGCUGCAAAGGGACCUCCAGUUGAUCCAUCCAAGUUAUCUGGCUUUACAUGUGAAUCUCCUCAUUCUUCUGAUGUGUCAUUUGACUCCAACUAUAAACUGUUCAAAAAUCAGAAUGGUGAAGUAUUUGCUAGAUAUGUUGGGACUAACUGCAGGAACGGUUCCCCUAUGAAGAAAAUCUGGGUUCCCAAAAGUUAUGUUGAAGGUCUUCAGGUGAAUGUCCUCAUGACACCACCUGUGAAGAAUAGGAACCCCAGAACAAACUCUUCAUAUGGACCUAAUUCUUCAUAUGGAUCCAAGUCCUCAUAUGGACCAAAUUCCUCACAUGGAUCAAAUUCCUCAAAUGGAUCAAAGUCCUCAUAUGAUUAUCAUCGUGCUAACAACUCUGUUUCGCAGGGUAGAGCUAAGGGCUACGAAUAUGCACAUUAUUCUUCAAAUCAUUAUGUUCAUAAGUCCUCGAAGAAUUUCUCUGCUUAUUCAUAUGCUUACCCUAACCCCUCUUAUGUGAAACGAAAUGGUUUGGCUUCUAUGCCACCAUUCUCGUAUGGUGCUCGCAGAGUGAUGAACUCUUUGCCACCCCUUCAGAUGUGGGUGGUGAAGAAAAAGAACUAAUCUCUUAUGCAGGGUCAGGUCUCCAGACGUGCCUUAACGUCUGAAGAAUUUGCUGGGGACCUGACAAAAUUGCCUGAAAGGACGCAGGCUAACCAUGAUGAAAUGAACUUUCAUUUCACUCGUCCUCAUACUUCUAUAUCUGUUUACCGCUUGAUGAAAUUCAUCUGAUGAACUUGAUAUCAUAUUCUUCACUGAUGAAGCAUAUGAGAUUGUAAGUUACACUAAUUCAUCUGCAGGAUGAUCAACCCAAAACCACUGAAUGGGUCCUCGAUAGUGGAUGUACAAAUCACAUGACUGGUGACAAGAAUCUUUUGAUGGAUGCUCCCUUAUCACCGUCACAUCUGAAGCAUAUCAUCUUUGCUGACAAAGAAAAAAGUCAGGUAUUGGGUCUUGGUAAGGUUGCGAUCUCUAAGGAUAAACACAUGGACAAAGUCAUGCUUGUUGAGUCCUUAGGAUACAACCUCAUGUCAGUCUCAAUGCUUUGUGAUCUUGAUAUGGUUGUUGUCUUUGGCAAGUAUCGCUGUGUUGUGAUUAUGGAAGCUGACAAUUCCAAAGUCUUCGAAGGCUUUAGGAGAGGAGAUUUGUAUAUUGUUGAUUUCUCUAUAGGACCACAACCAGCCGUGUGUCUACUUGCAAAAGCUUCAGAAGGCUGGCUAUGGCAUCGAUGACUUGGUCACGCAGGCAUGAGGAAUUUGCACAUGCUUGCGAAGAAGAAGCAUGUCAUUGGCAUUGAGAAUGUCAAAUUCCUCAAGGAUCACUUAUGCGGAGCCUGUGAAGCUGGAAAAAUGACCAAGGCCAAGCAUCCAGCAAAGACUAUCAUGACCACUACUCGUCCAUUCAAAUUGCUUCACAUGGACCUCUUCGGACCUAAUCAUUACUCAGCAGUCUCUAAUGCUGCAUCUCUAUAUGGUUUUGUCAUUGUUGAUGAUUACUCUCGAUAUACAUGGGUACACAUUGUUACUUACAAACAUGAAGUGCAGGAACUCUUCAAAUGAUUUUCCUCGAGGGCUUCAACCAACUUUGGUGUGAAGAUCAAGCACAUCAGAAGUGACAAUGGAACUGAGAUCAAGAAUUCCGGUCUUGAUGACUAUCUUGAUGAACUUGGUAUUACUCAUGAGUUAUCUGCUCCUUAUACUCCUCAGCAAAAUGGCGUCGUGGAGCGCAAGAACAGAACUCUUGUUGAGAUGGCUCGCACUAUGCUUGAUGAAUACAAAACGCCUCAUCGUUUUUGGAUUGAUGCAAUUGAUACUGCGUGCCACAUCAUCAACAGAGUAUAUCUUCACAAAUUCUUCAAGAAGAUGGCCUAUGAACUCCUCACUGACAAGAAACCCAAUGUGAGUUAUUUCAAAGUCUUCGGUGCUAAAUGUUGGAUUAGAGAUCCUCACCACAAUUCUAAAUUUGCACCGAAAGAACAUGAGGGUUUUAUGCUUGGUUACGAAAGGACUCGCACACCUACAGAGUCUUCAACAUCGCUCUUCACAAGAUUGUUGAAACUGUAGAUGUGCGGUUCGAUGAAACUAAUGGCUCGCAAAGAGAGCACCUACCUUCUGUGUUAGAUGAAUCAGCACCUGAGGAUUCUAUCAAGUUCAAGGCAACUGAGGAUGUCAUUCCUACUGAAGAAUUUGCUGAAGAAUUCAUUCUAGUACGCGAAGAACGUCGAGUUGACGCACCUGAAAAUAAUGCUGAAGACAAUGGUGCUGAGGAAAAUGAUCAAAUACCUCAACGACAACCAGCUCAUCCUCGCAUUGCAAAAGAAGUACAAGUUGACAAGAUCAUCGAUGACAUUGAAGCGCCAGGUCCUCUCACAUGCUCAAAAGCUUCACAUUUAUCUAACUUUUGUGGGCACUAUGCUUUUGUCUCUAUCACAGAGCCCACUAAGGUAGAUGAAGCAUUUUUGGAGCCGGAGUGGAUUCAUGCUAUGCAAGAAGAAUUACAUCAGUUCGAGCUCAACAAUGUCUGGGAACUGGUCAAACGUCCAGAUCCUCGCAAGCAUAAUAUCAUUGGCACAAAGUGGAUCUACCGCAACAAGCAAGAUGAAAAUGGCCUUGUGGUAAGGAAUAAGGCACGACCGGUAGCUCAAGGCUACACACAGGUUGAAGGAAUUGAUUUCGAUGAAACUUUUGCACCUGUUGCUAGACUUGAGGCUAUUCGCAUAUUACUUGCUUAUGCUAAUCAUCAUGAUAUCAUCUUAUAUCAAAUGGAUGUGAAAAGUGCAUUCCUCAAUGGUAAGCUUGAGGAAGAAGUAUAUGUUGCUCAACCCCCAGGUUUUGAAGAUCCAAAGAAUUCUGACAAAGUCUUCAGACUUAAUAAGGCCCUCUAUGGCCUCAAGCAAGCCCCUCGGGCGUGGUAUGAUACAUUGAAGGAAUUCUUCAUGAAGAAUGGCUUCACACCCGGUUCACUCGACCCUACUCUCUUACUAAAUCUUAUGAUGGUGAACUAUUUGUGUGCAAAUAUAUGUUGAUGAUAUUAUCUUUGGCUGUACUGACCAACGUUAUAGUGAUGAAUUUGCCUAUAUGAUGAGUGAAGAAUAUCAAAUGUCUAUGAUGGGAGAGUUGAAAUUCUUCUUAGGUCUUCAAAUUCGUCAACAGCGCAAUGGCAUAUUCAUAUCUCAGGAGAAAUACCUCAAAGAUGUACUGAGGAAAUUCGGCAUGCAAGAUUGCAAAGGCGUCAAAAUUCCUAUGCCCACAAAGGCCAUCUAUGCACUGAUGAAAAUGGUAUUGACUUCGAUCACAAGGUAUACCGCUCCAUGAUUGGUUCUUUAUUGUACUUAUGUGCAUCUAGGCCAGAUAUAAUGCUUAGUGUUUGCAUGUGUGCCCGAUUUCAAGCUGCACCGAAGGAAUCACACCAUAAGGCUGUGAAGCAUAUUCUUCGAUAUCUAGCUCACACACCAACACUAGGAUUAUGGUACCCCAAGGGCUCUGCUUUUGAUCUCAUUGGAUAUUCUGACUCUGACUAUGCUGGUGAUCGUGUGGACUGCAAGUCAACUUCUGGCACUUGUCAUUUCCUCGGACGAUCUUUGGUCUGUUGGUCCUCGAAGAAACAGAACUGCGUAUCACUGUCUACUGCGGAAGCUGAAUACAUUGCUGCUGGCUCUUGCUGUGCUCAACUGCUUUGGAUGAAGCAAACACUCAAGGACUAUGGCGUCAACGUGAAGAAUGUGCCUCUCCUCUGCGACAAUGAGAGUGCCAUCAAGAUUGCUCACAACCCAGUUCAGCACUCGAAGACAAAGCACAUUCAGAUUCGUCAUCAUUUUCUUCGUGAUCAUGUGUUGAAGGGCGACAUCUCCAUCGAGCACGUGAAGACUGAAGAACGGCUAGCUGAUAUCUUCACUAAGCCCUUGGAUGAGAAGAGAUUUAGCAAGUUGCGGUGUGAGCUAAAUAUCUUAGAAUCUUCGAAUGUUCUUUGAAAAGGACACACAUCCUAACACUGAUGCAAAAUUGAUGACUUAGAUGUGCAACACAUGAAGAAACGGUUUUCUUCAGUCAAUGAAGAAUAACACUCUAAGUGUGAAGAAAUUAAUGAAGAAUUUGAUUCUCAGAACCCUACGACAAUUGUACACGGUGUCUGAAAUCAUCAUUCUUAUACGGUGGGUCAUGCCACCACAAAAAGUUGAAAAUCUUCAAUUUGAGUUUUUUUGGUUUUGAAAUUCUUUAGUUUUUCAAAUUCUUCAACUUUGCAAAAUCUUCACUGUUCCCUUCGUUUUUCUUCAUUGGCUAUAUAUAUAUAUAUGAGUUUAUGUCCUCUACAACAUUCACUUAUAGCUAUUUCUUCAAGUUGUUUUUUCUGCUAAGUGAAUGUGAUCAGACCCUUCCCCCUCUAUGCUAUACUCAACCCAAUCUAUUCACAAAUUCUUCAUAUGCGUUCUAUUUGAAACUCGUUCAAAAUCUUCACUGUGUCCUUGUCAGCUGAAGAAAUUGCGAACGAAACUUUAAAACAAAUCUUAUCCAAAUUUUCGGUUUUGCCGCUCAAACUGUUCUGCAUCCCACGAUGCAUUAUUCCAUUCACCCACGAUCGUACACGAUCUCCACUACACAGUACGUGGGUGACACAUGUCGCGUGAAGGAGAAAGGGCAGGGGCACGUUCGUCCCAAAUCUUCGGGCGAACAGUUUUUCACCGUGUCUAUAAAUACCCCUCUCCCCUUCCUCACUUUAUUUACUCCGCUCGAUCGCUACUCUCUCACUCGAGCUCCUCAAAACCUAGCGCCGCCGCUACUCCAUCGUCGCCUGUGAGGAAGAGCUUCGCUGCCACAACCUCAUCGCCGUCGUACUCACGCCGAUCGUGGAAAUCUUCACUCUGCCACCGCCGUAGCUAUCUUCCUCCGCCGAGUUAGGGCAAGGAAGAUCUAACCUGACGAACGUCCCAUCUGUUCUUCUCAGUUCGUCGUGUUCUUCACUUCGGGUAAUUAAAAGUUACUUUUAUUACUCGCUUUGAUUCUGAAGCUUUCCUGAAAAUCUUCAAAGGUGUUUAUUCUUCAAAUCUUCACACAUAUGAACACCACACACAUCAUAUGAUCUUGAACUGUUUCUCUAAGCAAUCAUUUUGUUCAAGAUUCCCUAAUUGUGUGGAUCUUCGGUCUGUACAACUCUGGAACCUAAGACAAGAACGCUUAGUGAAAUUCCUCAAGGUUCAUCUGGUCAAAUUCCUCAAAACAUGUUCUUUUCGAAAAACCUUCUCAGAACGCAUAUGACCUCUCCGAAUUCCUCGCACCUGCACUCUGUUCACAGCACUACUCCAAAAAGGGCUAUAGAUGGAAUGGCCACUAAUGGCGCACCAGACAUGUGGUGCGCCAUUACUAUAUUCUAAUGGCGCACCAUGUCUCGGUGCGCCAUUAGUAAUAUAUUACUAAUGGUGCACCUCUUGUGUGGUGCGCCAUCAGUAGUUUUGAAAAAAAACAUAAAUUUUUUUGUUACUAAUGGCGCACCAUGUCCGCCGUGCGCCAUUAAUAGUUGACAUACUAAUGGCGCACCACAUCCCCCGUGCGCCAUUAGUAGUUUUGGAAAAAAAGAAAAAAAUAAAAUAAAAAAAUAUUUGUUACUAAUGGCGCACCAUAUCUCGGUGCGCCAUUACUAGUUUUAACUAGUAAUGGCGCACCACCCCACGGUGCGCCAUUACUAACUUGCCCCAACACCGAAUGCACCCCCCCCCUCGUGGAUCGCCUUUUCAGUUUUAAAAAAAAUAAAAGAAAAUGAUGGAAAUGUCAAAAAAAUAAAAGAAAAUAAGUUUCCCAUGUAAUAUGUGGUCUAGUUGUUGGGAAAAUUUACAAAUAUGAAUUUCGACUUUGUUUGCAAAAUCUCUGUGGAAAUUUGUAAAAUGGGCAUAACUUUUGCAUAUGAACUCGGAUGAAAAAGUUUUUUAUAUGAAAAAUCAUCUACUCGAAAAGUUACAUCCAAAUUUAACUAGGGGGACCCCGUUAAGCAUUUUCAAAAUCCCCAAAAACCUAACAGAAAAAAAGUUACGGGGCUUUCAAGAUCUAGAGGCAAAAAAAUUCAAACUUACUAAUGGCGCACCUGCCCAUGGUGCGCCAUUACUAUCUUCCCGCCUUCAAAAUUCAAAACAAAUAAAAAAAAUAAAAAAAUAAGUUACUAAUGGCGCACCUGCCCGUGGUGCGCCAUUAGUAUCUUCCCGCCUUCAAAAUUCAAAAUAAAUAAAUAAAAAAUAAAAAAAGUUACUAAUGGCGCACCUGCCCAUGGUGCGCCAUUAGUAUCUUCCCGCCUUCACAAUUCAAAAUAAAUAAACAAAAUAAAAAAAGUUACUAAUGGCGCACCUGCCCGCGGUGCGCCAUUACUAUGCCAUAUAUAUGACUGGGCGUGUCCUCUCCUCCUUACCUCUUCAUUCCUCUCCUCCACUCCACCUCUCCUCUACUCCACCUCUCCUCCACUCCUCCACUCCAUCUUCCCUUCUCUCCUCCACNNNNNNNNNNNNNNNNNNNNNNNNNNNNNNNNNNNNNNNNNNNNNNNNNNNNNNNNNNNNNNNNNNNNNNNNNNNNNNNNNNNNNNNNNNNNNNNNNNNNNNNNNNNNNNNNNNNNNNNNNNNNNNNNNNNNNNNNNNNNNNNNNNNNNNNNNNNNNNNNNNNNNNNNNNNNNNNNNNNNNNNNNNNNNNNNNNNNNNNNNNNNNNNNNNNNNNNNNNNNNNNNNNNNNNNNNNNNNNNNNNNNNNNNNNNNNNNNNNNNNNNNNNNNNNNNNNNNNNNNNNNNNNNNNNNNNNNNNNNNNNNNNNNNNNNNNNNNNNNNNNNNNNNNNNNNNNNNNNNNNNNNNNNNNNNNNNNNNNNNNNNNNNNNNNNNNNNNNNNNNNNNNNNNNNNNNNNNNNNNNNNNNNNNNNNNCCUCCUCUCCGGUGAGCUCCUCCUCCCUCAUCUUCGGUGAGCUCCUCCUGCCUCCUCUCCGAUGAGCUCCUCCUCCCUCCUCUCCUCCCAUCCCCUCAUGGUUUCUCCUUCCUCCUCUUCGAUGCUCCGGUGAACUCCUCUCCGGCGACCUCGUCCUCCUCUCCGGCGAUGUAGGCGAGCGCCUCUGCCGUCACCUCCUCCUCCUCUCCGGCGAACUCCUCUCCGGCAAAAGAACACGGCAAAAGAACGUACAAGAUCCAAAAACGGGAACAUAAUUUGAAAUAAUAUCGUGCAAAAAAACAAGCAAAAAAAACGAGCAAAAAAUGGGCAAAAAAAUCGCGAUCUAGAUCCAAUUUCAAAAUUAAAAAAUCGCAAUGGUGCACGGUGGGGGUUAGACGGUGCGCCACUACUAUUUUGCCGCCUUCAAAAUUCAAAAAUACUAAUGGCGCACCGUGGCCUAUACUAAUGGUGCACCAGUGGCCUAUACUAAUGGCGCACCGUGGGCUAUUCUAAUGGCGCACCAGCUGGUGCGCCAUUAGUAUACCAGAUACUAAUGGCGCACCAGUGGUGCGCCAUUAGUAAAAUAUACUAAUGGCGUGGCACUAAUGGCGCACCACUAAUGCGCCAUUAAUGGCCAAAUUAGGUGCGCCAUUAGUAGGCCUUUUCCUAGUUGUGCAGGUACUCAUGUCUGCUGCUGAAUCACUAGGUUCUCAUCAACUUAACUCAUUUGCAAUGUUCCUCAAAGAAAAACUGCUUACUUCUUCAGAGAACUCAAUUUUUCAAAUUCCUCAACUUAAGAAUAUGGCAGACGGUAAGAAGCCGUAGAAAGGAGGAAAGAAACCUGAGGUUAUGACUGCGUUUGAAAUCCCUGAGGAAAUUUAUGCUGACUAUUGCACACCUGAUGAAGCAAAAUUUGGCAAAGAAAACAAAAAUCAGCGCAAGGUGCGCAUUCAGAAGAUUGAACAGAGAUGGGCAAGGGAAUGGAGGGAAUACAGAUAUGUGACUCCAAAGUACAUGAAGAAAUUCGCCCUCAAUCCUCCAUGCCCAAGAGCUCCAUUGGCACCUGGCCAAGUAGCUGAUCCCACAAGCAUCAAACGUGGUGAGGACUUUCCUGAAGAAUGGGCUAAGCGCCAAGCUAAAUUGGCAAGACAAGCCAAGGAGGCAGUGAAGAAAUUCAAUGAGGAUUCUGCCACUGCUAAUGCUAUUGAGGCCUCGGUCAAACCAAGGAAAUCCAUGCCAAAGAAGCCUGCUCGUAAGCCAAGUGCUUCACCAACAGCGCCGUCACGGCCAAGUUCCUCAGCAGCGCCCCCACGGCAAAUUCCUCACACUGCUACUGCUCCACCAGAGUCCUCAGCUCCUGUGCAUCUGGCUACAUGUCAAAGGACUGCUGGUUUCUCGAUUGCCUCUGGUGUUUCAGCAAGUUCCUCAGCUACACCAAAGUCAUCAUCUGGCCCGACUCUGCUGAAGACCAAAGCAACAGCUGGACGAGGUCCUCGGCCAAGUCCAAAGAAGAAACAUGUCGCAUUCCAUGUGGCUUCUAAUGAUGAAGCUUCUGAUGAUGAACUUGCAGAAAUCAUCAGAGACAGACAGGUGAAGGCAGCUAGAGCCAAAGGCACAUCUGUGCCACUACUGUUGGAUCCGAGGAAAAUCCUCGAUUAUAUUGAUCUCUGGCACAAGGAUCCAAACACCCCAAUGCCUGAUUUUCAUCUGACCCCUGGACAAAGUCAUAUGUUGACCCAUUUCAUCACUGAAGAGAAAUGGAAGUUUGAAAAGGCAAGAGAGAUUAAGAAAGCUCAAUACAGAAAGGAGAAGCUCCUGAAGAAAAACGUUGUCAGAAUGACACCUGAGGAACUUCUCCAGGCUCAGUCUGAAAUUCAAGCCCUCAGCAAUGACUUUGAUGCCUACUAUGCUGAUUGGCAAGGAGCCAAAGUCAGAUUCGUCAACCUGACGAAGAAAUUCACCAAUGUUGCUGCCCCAAUGCAACAUGAAAUUCCUCAGGCUAGAGUCUCAGCUCAGCCGACUGAAGAACAUGCCAGCACCGCUGAUGAAGUUCAGGCUGCUGAUGAAAAUGCUAGUUCCAUGGCUGAUGAUCCCAUUCCAGCCGCUGAAGAAAUUGCCAGGGCAUCCACUAGUGGUGCGCCUGAAGUAACUGAAGAAGUCAGGGCAACUGCAUCAGUUGCGCCUGUAGAAAAUCAACCAGAUUCCUCAGCUCCAUCUACACCUACACCAACUCCAAUUCUUCCAUGUGCAUUCGAUGUGAAGAAGACCAAGGCUGCAGAGCGAGCUGCAGUGAAGAAAAGGAAGGCAUCAGCUGCGUCAAACUCUUCGGCUGUGAAGAAAAUGAAGCCAAAGACCAGCUCGCUCGAAAAUCCAAUUGAUGUUGUUCCAAUUUCCUCCAUGCCAUCGAAGGACCUUGUUCCUUUUGGAGAAGACUAUGAGAUGCCAAGCGGAUCUGAUGAAGAAAAUCAUUCUGCUGCUUCGUCAGAGCAGAUUGAUGAAGAAAUUGAAGUGGAAGCAAUCCCUUCAACCCCAAUCAUUUCCUCGCCUAUGCCUCAGUUCACAGCUGAAGAGGCCAGUGUUGAGGAACUUGAAGAAGAUGUGGAUAUUGGAAGCACAACGCCAGUGAUGAACGAUGACUUUUGGGAAAGUCAACAUCCAAAUUCUCCACUCUUCACCCCACUCCAUCAGAUACCUGAGUCCCCUGCACCAACUGUUCAAAUGGGCUUUGAAGAAACUCAUCCCACUUCAUCUGUCCAUGAAGAAAUUCCAGCCACUAGUGCUGAUGAACCUGCUGCUGCUGAUCCUCAGACUGCACCUGUUGAGGAACAAGAAAUUCCUCAGCCUGAAGAACCUAAGCUCGCGAUUCCUGAGGUGGUGAUGCAACUCACUAACACCCCUCUGCCAAAGCAAAAGAAUCCGUUCUCAAGCAAACAGAAGUUCAAGGCUGAAGAUUUCUUUGCCGAGCACGUAUUCUUCACUGAUUAUAAUCCAUAUGAUUCUGCUCGCAUAAGGAAGAGGCGAUUCUGGACUGCCAGCCAAGCCAAUUUCUAUUCCUCAGUGCUCUUCAACAAAGACAAAGUCUUCGAUCAUGCACAUAUUCCUCAUGUGGACAUGGAGUCUCUGCCCGGCUUUGAGCCAGUCCUCAGUGUUCUUCACGACGUAGGACUUCUGAAUUUCUACAUUGAUAUCUGUGACUGGAAUGAAGAACUCAUUCUUCAAUUCUAUGCAACUCUCCACAUCACCAGAGACGCUGAAGACGUGAACUCAUGGGUAUUAGACUGGAUGUCUGAAAAUACUCACUACAAGGCACCAACAACUGAAUUGCUUCGUGCUCUACCACUCAGUCCUCCACUUGAUGGUGCUCGUUGUAUCUACAACGAACCAGAACUUUCAAAUCACUAUAUGCAAGUGCUGAUGAAGCCUUUGAAGCCAAGGCAGGCCCCAUGAACCAAAUUCCUUGUCAAGGAAUUAAUGUAUGUGCCUCGGACUGUCUAUCAAAUUCUGACGAAGACAAUGAGUCCCAUCAAAGGCCACGACUCAAAUGAUGAAGAAGUCGUUGGCAUCAUGAAGAAUAUGCUUUUCAACAUCAUUCAUGGCGUUCCCGUCAACUUCCAUGAUUUCUUCAUGAGGACUCUGGCCAAUAUUGCUAUGUCACCAUUCGAGCUGAAGCCCUAUGCUCCUUGGAUUAUGAGAUUCAUCAGGGCAAGAUCUUCACUGAAUUACAAAGCUGACACUCUGAACCACGGUAGCUACUUGCCUCCCAUUGAAGUCCUCAAACGGACAGUUUCAUCAGCUGAUGAUAAAGGUAAGGCCGCUGCUGUGAUCGAUGAAGGCAUUUGUCCAUUGGAUGGUCAAUUUCGCAAGGCUGCCUCUUACUCUACCAAUGAUGAUUCUGCCACACAUGACUCUGCCGCAAAUACCUUAGCCAAGCAAAAUCCUCAAGCCACCGCACCCAGGGUGAUGACUGACCGUGAGUUACUCCUCAGUCUUCAUCAGAAGGUUGAUCGCAAUCACAAAUGGGUCAAGCGUGAGUUUGGUUCAAUUCUUCACAACAUGACCUCAACACACAAUGCAGUGAAGAAAAACCAAUACUACCUCCAUGAAACCUUCAACCGUACCUGGGCUAUUCUCUCUCAUGUCUACAGCGCUGCAGAUCUGAAGAAUAUGGGUCUCAAGGAAGAAUUUGACUGGUCUGCACCUCCACCGAAGAAAUUCUAGAAGGUCAAAGUUCCUUCCUUGGUGGCUAGCUCUUAUUCUUCAUCGCGUGACAUGGAUGAGUAUGAAGAUUUGGACGACACUGCGGCAUGCCCUGCUUUAACAAAUAACCCUGACAACACUGGCCCUCCUCCAUCGACUUGAAAUUCUUCAGGGGCGUUAGUCCUCAGUUUUAACCCUUUUGGUCAUUUGAUGACAAAGGGGAAGAAAUUUGAGUUAGUCUUCAAGCGGGCGGGUCUAUAUUAAGGGCAUUUUUUUAAGUUACAGCUCUCGUUCUUCUGAAACUUUUAUUUGGAUCGAGUUGUAAUCUUAAACAUGAUGGUGCGCUGAUACUUUUGUUGCAUUAUGCUUUGCAUGCUUAUUCCUCGUUAAUGACAUUGCACGCAUGCUGAAUCACAUCAGGCACCAUAUUUCAUCAUGCAUUUCAAAUUCUUCAUAUUAUAUAUCAAAUGCGUGUAUGAAUUACAAGAUAUAGGGGGAGAUCAGCAUGAUUCAACCCUUCAAAUGUGCAUUGCCUCAAAAGCAAAUUCCUCACUAUGCACAUCUUCAGGGGGAGUUCUACUAUAUCUUGUAAUCAAAUUCCUCAAUAUCAGUGUAUACACUUCAUAUGUUUAUCCCCGUUGAAAACUUAACCUAUGUUGUCAUCAGUCACCAAAAAGGGGGAGAUUGUAAGUGCAUCAAGUGCCCCUUAGUGAUUUUGGUGUAUUGAAGACUUAUACGUUAAGGGACUAAUGCGUUUGUAAGUGUACACAGGUCUAUAAGUCUAUGAGGAGUUUGAUAUUUACAGAGAAAGUCGACCCCUAAAAAUGAAGUUCUUCAACUGAAGACUUUGAUAUUCUGAAGACUUUCUGAAGACUUUGAAAGUGAAGAAAUUGGUGUGACCUUGAAGACUUGGUAUUCAUUUGUGGAACAUGAAGUGUGAAGACUAUUGUUUUCGUAGUUUCAUUUUAUCUUUCUUGAGUCAUAGGAAACACCGUACUGUUAAAGGGGGUCGAGGAAAUACUAAGGAAAAAUUUCCAUGUGAUGCUCAACUCAAAAUCCUACACCUACCAAUCCCUUCGAGUGAAGCCUUUGGAAAACUCAUACAGUUCAGUCACUUUCUUCAGUGACAGAGACGAAGUUCUUCUGGUCACUGAUGAAUUUAUUCUGACUGAGGAGUUAGGAAUUCGUCAGUACGAAUUACCUACACAGUGAGGAACAUGAUAGCCUUGAGGAAUUUGAGAGUCAAAUUUCUGACCAUUUCUCUGCGCGCCAGCUGUUCCAAAAUAUCUUAUCCACCUAACGGUCAUAUCAUUGAGGGGCAUUUAUGUCUUAUCAUGUCGGGCUGCUCCCUAGGCUAUAAAUAGCCGCCCCAUACAACCACUAGCUGGUUGGCUGCUCCGAGAGAACUUGACACCUGUCAUUUGAGAGCAACCCAUCGUCCGAGAACUUUGAGCGAAAAUCAUCGAGUGAGGAAAACCCAAAACCAAACCCCUACAAACCCAAAGUGAUUGAGCAUCACUGAAGAAAUUGAUCCUGUGUGGAUCUGACGCUUGUUACCUUUGAAGAUUGUGCUUCUUCCAGACGGUUAGGCGUCAAGGUCUAGCUAGAGCAUCCAAGAGGAAUUGUGGAUCGCCGAGUGACCAAGUCUGUGAAGGUUUGGAAGUCGCCUGAAGACUUACCACGAGUGAUUGGACGAGGUCUGCGUGACCUUAGUUCAAGGAGAAUAGGGUGAGGACUGGGUGUCCUUAGCUGCGUGCUCAGCGACUGGGUGUCCGGGAUUGUGUGUCCUCGAGUUUAAAUACUCAGCCGCUCCAACCAGACGUACAACUGAGACAACAGUUGGAACUGGUCUACCAAAUCAUUGUCUUCACCAACCUACUGGUUCUAUUUCCUCAACCCUUUCAUUUCCUCAUUACUGUGCUGAGUGUUUGUUCAUAUCUGUGUUUGAAGACUUUGACUGAAGACUUUCUCAAUUUCCUCAGUUCAAUUUCUUCAGUCUGUUUGUCUUCAUCUUGUGUUAUCCUGUGAUUAUGCUUUCUGUACUCUGUGCUAGUCUUCAUUUCAUCAUGAUGACCAUGCUUGUAUUUUGUUAUGCUUACUUCUGAGUACCUAUUCCGCUGCUAAUAGUUCUUCGCUAAGGAAUUUCCUCACCGGCAAAUUCCUCAGUGAAGAAUUCAUAAAAAUCGCCUAUUCACCCCCCCUCUAGUCGACAUAACGCACUUUCACGUCCCUACCCCGGAGCCCCAUGAGAGGGUGGUCUUCAUCCCCCACUUCGUACGCAGGCUGGGAUUUCCUCUCCACCCGUUCGUCCGCGGACUCAUGUUCUACUACGGGCAAGAUUUCCAUGAUCUAGCCCCAAAUUCUUUCCUCAAUAUCUCGGCAUUCAUUGUCGUAUGCGAGGAUUUCCUCCUCAUCCCACCCCACUUAGGAUUGUGGUUAAAGACCUUCAAUGUGAAGCCGAAGGUGGUGAGUGGCCAUCACGUAGAGUGCGGAGGCGCCAUGGUGAGCAAGAUGCCCAACGUCACAUGGCCCGAAGGCUCCUUCGCGGAUACCGUCAAAGGGUGGCUGAAAUCAUGGUUCUAUAUCACAGAGCCACGCGGCACCACCUAGGCCGCGGCUCCCGAAUUCCGGUCCGUAGCCCCGAUGUGGCUCACCUCCUGGCCAGAGAAGGGCCUGGACUGGUCUUCGCCAGACAAGCUGACAGCGCCUCAGACGCGCAUCAGGAGCAUGACGGACAAGAACAUCAAGCUUGUCAAUGUGAUCCAGGUGAUGCUUAUUCGCCGGAUCCUUCCAUGCCAAAGUCGGACGUGCCAUAUGUGGGAGUACGAUCCGGCCAAGCACCAAACCUUGCUGCAGUUCUUCGGCUCUAUGCACGAAGACAUCUGGAAGGUGCUUUUCAAGUCCAACGAGAGCGGCCGGACACGACCGAGGACCGUGGGCAUGACUUGGCCCAUCCCACUAGUCCGGUAAGUUUUUCCAUGUUUUCAAGGUGUAUCCUUUACUUGCAUACUCGAGGAAGAUUCCUAAGGCUCCCUACUAAUUUUCUCAGGGCUGGACAAAGAAGGCGGAGCGGAUUCACAGUCCGGCUCUGCUGCCCUAAAACCCAGAAAUUCCUCUUCUGUGGAAGAUGCUGGUUCCGGCGCCCUAUCAAGCGCCGGAGAAGAAGGCCAAGGGGACCAUAGGUGGCCUCCAUAACAAUGGCACUUCGGACGUGACGUCCGAUGACGCCAAGACUCAUUCCUCCGCCACCGAGGACGAUGAGGAAGAGGGGGAAGAAGAAGAAAGCCAUUCCCCCCUGAGGGGUGAGAAAUAAAAGGACGACCUCCACGCGUCUGGAGGCCGAAACAUCCAAGAAGGGGAAAGCUUCCCUCCCGGACAACUCCACAGCGGCCACAGACAGCAGCUCAGAAUGGCGCCCCAGGGACAAGCCCCUGGCCAAAUCGUGAGUAUUCAAAAACCCGGACACAUUCAUAUAUCCGGCCUCUCUACUUCAUAGUCUUAACAUGUUGAAUCAUGCCUUUGAAGUCCAGCUUGGUCCAACCUCGAGUGGUCCUCAUCUUCGAGAGAUUCGCUGGACCUGGAGGCGAUGGACAGCGGGUCUCUUCCAGCGGCCUCCUCUCCCAAGGCCAGGGAUGGCACCGAGGCAUUGUCCCGAAGGAUCCCAGGCCAGGGAGAGACUCAGGAGGCCGUCAGAGCGGUGCCGGAGGGAGAAACCUCAGCCGCCGGACACAUGGGGGAGAAUAUCCCCAUGGACACUAAUGAUGGGGGCCAUAUCCAAUUCGGCCCCAGCCGAAUACAAUUCCGGAGACCUAUACGGCUCCAGAAUCAGGCAAGCAGCCUCUUUCGAAAGAAGGAGGUGCGCCUAUUCCACCGGUGACCUCUGUCCAACCAGAGGCGCCGGACACUCUAAUGGAAGCGCUGCGAAGUGCUUCCAUUGUUGAGGAACAUCGUACCCUUAUGGGUACAGUGGUUGAGAGGAUUCAGUCCGCGAAGAGCGGACUGACCAAAGCCUGCAGAAGCCUUCUAAUAGGCUUUGAGGUAAGCAACACAAUUAUGUAAAGAGAAUGUCAUAGUAUAGACAGUAGCCCCUGAGACUCUAUCCGGUGUUCGGAAAGAAAAGUUGAACAGAGGAUCAAAUAAUUUUCGCAGGAGACUAAUGUCGGUGUCAAAACCGGCGGAUCUCGGGUAGGGGGUCCCGAUCUGUGCGUCUAAGGCUGAUGGUAACAGGAGGCAAGGGACAUAAUGUUUUACCCAGGUUCGGGCCCUCUCGAUGAGUGUUACAAGAGUUGAUCUACCACGAGAUCGUAGAGGCUAAACCCUAGAAGCUAGCCUAUGAUGAUUAUGAUUCUGUCUCUAAGGACUAAACUCUCCGGUUUAUAUAGACACCGGAGAGGGCUAGGGUUUAUAUGGAGUCGGUUACAAAGAAGGAAAUAUAAUAUCCGGAUUGCCAAGCUUGUCUUCCACACAAGGAGAGUCCCAUCCGGACACGGGACGAAGUCUUGAGUCUUGUAUCUUCACGGUCCAAUAGUCCAGCCUAAGUAUAUAGUCCGGCUGUCCGGAUACCCCCUAAUCAAGGACUCCCUCAACUAACCUGACAUGUCUAUGUGAAUAAGCAGGCGUCAUUGCUGGCUGCGACCUCUCAUGCCGCUGAGGUCUCCGGACUGGAGCAGAGUCUGGAGCGGACCAAGGAAGAGCUCGGCCGUGUGAAGAAACAGCUAGAGGACAACCAAGGUAUGCAAUAACCUUGUCUAUAUUCAGGAAGGAUGAAUGAUUUGUGCUGACUAAAGUGCCAUGAUAUUUAUUAGGAGCGGCGACCGAGGCGGAGACCCUUAAGAAGGUGCUAGCCGAGGCCGAGAAGGGAGCGGCCAAGGAACAAGCCGCCCAUGAGAAGCAUGAGGCCAGGGUCAGUGAGGUCCAGCAGGAGCUCUAGGACGCCGUGAAGAAAUGCGAGUCCUUGGAGCGCAACAUUGCGGAUCAAGAGUCCAAACUUACCAAGGUCCGCCAAAGCGCACACGAUGCCCGGGUAGAAGCACAGGGUGCCCUCCAGGAAGUCUAGGAGGCCAUAAAAAUCGUGGCAGGCGAGGCCUUUAUUAUGCAGAGCAAAUAUGUGAAGAAAAGGUUCCUUUUACUGACCCAAAUUUGGAGUUCUCCAGGGGCGUUUGCAGAUCUGCUGCGCAGCGUUUCAGACGCUACAGAGUUCUUCUGAGCUGAAGAGGGGAGCUCCAGGGAGAAGCUGUUUUGGUCGCAAUACCUUGCGCCGGAACAUCCGGUGCCCUUUAGCGAUCAUCUAAAACAGCUGGUCGAACUGCAUAGGGUGGCCGAACUAGCCAUGAAGGAUUUAAUAAUCCGGCUAUGGCCUGCCAAGCCAUACCCGGUGAUACGUCCAUUUUGCAUCAUGCUUUUAUUUCAAUAUUUAUUGCAUUAUGGCUGUUAUUACACAUUAUAUCUCAAUACUUAUGGCUAUUCUCUCUUAUUUUACAAGGUUUACCAUGAAGAGGGGGAAUGCCGGCAGCUGGAAUUUUGGCUGGAAAAGGAGCAAACGUUGGAAAGCUAUUCUGCACAGCUCCAAAAGUCCUAAAACUCCACGAAACAACUUUUUGGAAUUAAUAAGAAUUUCUGAGCGAAAGAAAUAGGCCAGGGGGGCACACCCUGUCCAGGAGAUAGGGGGGCGCCCCCCUAUAGGCACCCCCUAUCUCCUGGGCCCCCUAGUGGGCCUCCGGUGUCCAUCUUCUGCUAUGUCAUCACUUUUACCUGAAAAAAAUCGUGAGAAAGCUUACGGGACGAAACUCCGCCGCCACGAGGCGGAACCUUGGCGGAAUCAAUCUAGGGCUCAGGCGGAGCUGUUCUGCCGGGGACACUUCCCUCCGGGAGGGGGAAAUCAUCACCAACGUCAUCACCAACGAUCCUCUCAUCGGGAGGGGGUCAAUCUCCAUCAACAUCUUCACCAGCACCAUCUCCUCUCAAAACCCUAGUUCAUCUCUUGUAUCCAAUCUUGUAUCAAAACCACAAAUUGGUACAUGUGGGUUGCUAGUAGUGUUGAUUACUCCUUGUAGUUGAUGCUAAUUGGUUUACUUGGUGGAAGAUCAUAUGUUUAAACCCUUUAUGCAUAUUACUACUCCUCUGAUUAUGAACAUGAAUAUGCUUUGUGAGUAGUUACGUUUGUUCCUGAGGACAUGGGUGAAGUCUUGCUAUUAGUAGUCAUGUGAAUUUGGUAUUCGUUCAUGUGAAUUUAGUGUUAUGUGAACAUCGACUACAUGACACUUCACCAUUAUUUGGGCCUAGUGGAAGGCAUAGGGAAGUAAUAAGUAGAUGAUGGGUUGCUAGAGUGACAGAAGCCUAAACCCUAGUUUAUGCGUUGCUUCAUUAGGGGCUGAUAUGGAUCCAUAUGUUUAAUGUUGUGGUUAGGUUUACCUUAAUACUUCUUUUGUAGUUGCGGAUGCUUGCAAUAGGGGUUAAUCAUAAGUGGGAUGCUUGUCCAAGUUAGGGAAGUACCCAAGUACCGGUACACCCACAUAUCAAAUUAUCAAAGUACCGAACGCGAGUCAUAUGAGCGUGAUGAAAACUAGCUUGACGAUAAUUCCCAAUGUGUCCUCGGGAGCUCCUUUAUUAUUAUUAGAAAUUCUCCAGGCUUAUCCUUUGCUACAUAAAGGAUUGGCCCACCUUGCUGCACUUUAUUUACUUGUUGCUCGUUACUAUUUAUCUUAUCACAAAACUAUCUAUCACCUAGAAUUUCAGUGCUUGCAGAGAAAACCUUACUGAAAACCGCUUAUCAUUUCCUUCUGCUCCUCGUUGGGUUCGACACUCUUACUUAUCGAAAAUACUACGAUAGAUCCCCUACACUUGUGGGUCAUCAAGACUCUUUUCUGGCGCCGUUGCCGGGGAGUGUAGCGCUUUUGGUGAGUGGAACUUGGUAAGGAAACAUUUAUAUAGUGUGCUGAAAUUUUCUGUUACUUGUCACUAUGGAAACUAAUUCUUUGAGGGGCUUGUAUGGGGUAUCUUCACCCCAACCAGAAGAGCAAAGAGUUGCUCCUCAACCUACUGAACUUGAUGAAAAUAUUUACUUUGAGAUUCCUUCGGGUAUGAUAGAGAAACUGCUAGCUAAUCCAUUUGCAGGAGAUGGAACAUUGCAUCCCGAUUUACACCUUAUCUUUGUGGAUGAAGUUUGUGAAUUAUUUAAGCUUGCAGGUAUUCCCGAUGAUGUUGUCAAAAGGAAGGUCUUCCCUUUAUCUUUGAAGGGAGAUGCAAUGACAUGGUAUAGGCUAUGUGAUGAUACGAGAUCUUGGAAUUAUAAGCGAUUGAAGUUGGAAUUUCACCAGAAGUUCUAUCCUAUGCAUCUCGUUCAUCGUGAUCGUAAUUACAUAUAUAAUUUCUGGCCUCGCGAAGGAGAAAGCAUCGCUCAUGCUUGGGGGAGGCUGAAGUCAAUGUUAUAUUCAUGCCCCAAUCAUGAGCUUUCUCGGGAAAUGAUUAUUCAGAAUUUUUAUGCUCGGCUUUCUCUUGAUAAUCGCAACCUGCUCGAUACUUCCUGUGCUAGUUCUUAUAUGUUGAAUACUAUUGAUUUCAAAUAGGACUUAUUGGAAAGAAUUAAACGCAACUCUGAAGAUUGGGGUUUCGACGAUGGUAAGGAGUCAAGUAUGACACCUAAGUUCGAUUGUGUUAAAUCUUUUAUGGAUACCGAUGUUUUUCGUGGAUUUAGCGCUAAGUAUGGACUUAACUCUGAGAUAGUAGCUACUUUUUGUGAAUCUUUUGCUACUCACGUUGAUCUCCCUAAGGAGAAUUGGUUUAAAUAUAAUCCUCCUGUUGAAGUGAAAGUAGUUGCACCUAUUACAGUCGAAGAAAAACUAUUACCUAUAGUGAUCCUAUUGUUCCUACUGCUUAUGUUGAAAAACCUCCUUUUCCUGUUAGGAUAAAGGAUCAUGCCAAAGCUUCGACUGUUGUUCGUAAGAGUAAUACUAGGACUUAUACACCUCCUGAGCAAAUUAAUGUUGAACCUAGUAUUGCUAUGGUUAAAGAUCUCUUGGAUGAGGACUUAGAUGGGCAUGUUAUUUCUUUCUGUGGUGAGACUGCUAAUAUUGCUAGGCCAGAUACUAAGACACGUAGACCUUAGUAGGCACGCCUGUUAUUUCUAUUAAAAUAGGAGAUCAUUGUUACCAUGGCUUAUGUGAUAUGGGUGCUAGUGCUAGUGCGAUACCUUAUGAUCUUUAUAAAGAAAUUAUGCACGACAUUGCACCCGUUGAAUUAGAAGACAUUGAUAUUACUAUUAAGCUUGCUAAUAGGGAUACCAUUAAACCUAUUGGGAUUGUUAGAGAUGUUGAUGUUUUGUGUGGGAAAGUUAAAUACCCUGCUGAUUUUCUUGUUCUUGCGUCCCCACAAGAUGCCUUUUGUCCCAUUAUUUUUGGUAGGCCCUUCUUGAAUACUUCUAGUGCUAAGAUUAAUUGUGAAAAGAAUAUUGUCACUGUUGGCAUAGAUGGUAUGUCUCAUGAGUUUAAUUUCACUAUGUUUAGUAGACAACCUCAUGAAAGGGAACCACCUAGUAGGGAUGAGAUUAUUGGUCUUGCUUCCAUUGUUGUUCCUCCAACUGAUCUGUUAGAACAAUAUUUGCUAGACCAUGAAAACCAUAUGUUUAUGAAGGAAAGGGAAGAAAUAGAUGAAGUGUUCCUUCAACAGGAACCUAUGCUAAAACAUAACCUUCCCGUUAAAAUUCUUGGGGACCCCCCUCCACCCAAGGGUGAUCCCGUGUUUGAACUCAAACCAUUACCUGAUAAUCUUAAGUAUGCUUAUCUUGAUGAAAAAGAAAUAUAUCCUGUUAUUAUUAGUUCUAACCUUUGAGAGAAAGAAGAAGAAAGAUUAUCGAAAACUCUGAAGAAGCACCGAGCAGCUAUUGGAUAUACUCUGGAUGAUCUUAAGGGCGUUAGUCCCACGUUAUGUCAACACAAAAUUACAUUGGAGGACGAUGCCAAACCAGUUAGAGAUCCUCAAAGACGAUUAAAUCCCAAGAUGAAGGAAGUGGUAAGAAAGGAGAUACUAAAGCUCCUCGAGGCAGGUAUUAUUUAUCCCGUUGCUGAUAGUGAAUGGGUAAGCCCUGUCCAUUGUGUCCCUAAAAAAGGAGGUAUUAUCGUCGUCCUAAUGAUAAAGAUGAAUUGAUCCCGCAAAGAAUUAUUACAGGUUAUAGGAUGGUAAUUGAUUUCCGUAAGUUAAAUAAAGCUACUAAGAAAGGUCAUUACCCUUUACCUUUUAUUGAUCAAAUGCUAGAAAGGCUAUCCAAGCACACACAUUUUUGCUUUCUAGAUGGUUACUCUGGUUUCUCUCAGAUCCCUGUCUGAGUGAAGGAUCAAUCUAAAACUACAUUUACUUGCCCUUUUGGUACUUUUUCUUAUAGACGUAUGCCUUUUGGUUUAUGUAAUGCACCUGCUACCUUUCAAAGAUGCAUGAUGCCUAUAUUCUCUGAUUUUUGUGAAAAGAUUUGUGAGGUAUUCAUGGAUGACUUUUCCGUCUAUGGAUCCUCUUUUGAUGAUUGUUUGAGCAACCUUGAUCGAGUUUUGCAGAGAUGAGAAGACGCUAGUCUCGUCCUGAAUUGGGAAAAGUUUCACUUUAUGGUUAAUGAAGGCAUUGUCUUGGGGCAAAAGAUCUCCGAGAGAGGUAUUGAAGUUGAUAAAGCCAAAGUUGAUGCUAUUGAAAAGAUGCCAUGUCCCAAGUGUUGGAAAUAUGCCCUAGAGGCAAUAAUAAAAUGGUUAUUAUUUCCUUGUUUACGAUAAUUACUUAUUAUCCAUGCUAGAAUUUUAUUGAUAGGAAACUCAGAUACAUGUGUGGAUACAUAGAAAACACCAUGUCCCUAGUAAUCCUCUAGUUGACUAGCUCGUUGAUCAAUAGAUGGUUACGGUUUCCUGACCAUGGACAUUGGAUGUCGUUGAUAAAGGGAUCACAUCAUUAGGAGAAUGAUGUGAUGGACAAGACCCAAUCCUAAGCCUAGCACAAGAUCGUGUAGUUCAUAUGCUAAAGCUUUUCUAAAUGUCAAGUAUCUUUUCCUUAGACCAUGAGAUUAUGCAACUCCCGGAUACCGUAGGAAUGCUUUGGGUGUACCAAACAUCACAAUGUAACUGGGUGGCUAUAAAGGUGCACUACGGGUAUCUCCGAAAGUGUCUGUUGGGUUGGCACGAAUCGAGACUGGGAUUUGUCACUCCGUGUGACGGAGAGGUAUCUCUGGGCCCACUCGGUAGGACAUCAUCAUAAUGUGCACAAUGUGAUCAAGGAUUUGAUCGCGGGAUGAUGUGUUACAGAACGAGUAAAGAGACUUGCCGGUAAUGAGAUUGAACAAGGUAUUGAGAUACCGACGAUCGAAUCUCGGGUAAGUAUCAUACUAGUAGACAAAGGGAAUUGUAUACGGGAUUGAUUGAAUCCUUGACAUCGUGGUUCGUCCGAUGAGAUCAUCGUGGAACAUGUGGGAUCCAACAUGGGUAUCCAGAUCCCGUUGUUGGUUAUUGGCCGGAGAGUUGUCUCGGUCAUGUCUGCAUGGUUCCCGAACCCGUAGGGUCUACACACUUAAGGUUCGAUGAUGCUAGGGUUAUAGGGAAUAGAUAUACGUGGUUACUGAAUGUUGUUUGGAGUCCCGGAUGUGAUCCCGGACGUCACGAGGAGUUCCGGAAUGGUCCGGAGGUAAAGAUUUAUAUAUGGGAAGUCCUGUUUUGGUCACAGGAAAAUUUUCGGGUGCCAUCGGUAACGUACCGGGACCACCAGGAGGGUCCCGGGGGUCCACCAGGUGGGGCCACCGGCCCUAGAGGGCUGCAUGGGCCAAGUGUGGGAGGGGACCAGCCCCAGGUGGGCUUGUGCGCCCCCCACCAGGGCCGAAAGCGAAGAGGGAAGGGAAAAGGGGGAAACCCUAGGCUCAGAUGGGCCUAAGGCCCACCUAGUGGUGCGCCCCCUCUCUCCCCCUUGGCCGCCCCCCUAGAUGGGAUCUAGGGCUGGCUGCCACCCCUAGGGGUGGAAACCUAGAUGGGGGUGCAGUCCCUCCCUUCCCCCUAUAUAUAGUGGGGGUUUGGGGCUGCCAUACACAUGAGAACGUUUCCCUCUUGGCGCAGCCCUACCCCUCUCCCUCCUCGUCUCUUGCGGUGCUUGGCGAAGCCCUGCUGGAGUGCCACGCUCCUCCACCACCACCACGCCGUUGUGCUGCUGCUGGACGGAGUCUUCCCCAACCUCUCCCUCUCCCCUUGCUGGAUCAAGGCACAUGAGACGUCAUCGGGCUGCACGUGUGUUGAACGCGGAGGCGCCGUUGUUCGGCGCUUAGAUCAGAAUCAACCACGAUCUGAAUCGCUACGAGUACGACUCCUUCAUCCACGUUCUUGUAACGCUUCCCUUUAGCGAUCUACAAGGGUAUGUAGAUGCACUCCCCUUUCCCUCGUUGCUAGAUUACUCCAUAGAUUGAUCUUGGUGAUGCGUAGAAAAUUUUAAAUUUCUGCUACGAUCCCCAACAGUGGCAUCAUGAGCUAGGUCUAUGCAUAGUUUCUAUGCACGAGUAGAACACAAGUUGUUGUGGGUGUUGAUUUUGUUCAAUAUGCUUACCGUUACUAGUCCAAUCUUGUUUCGACGGUAUUGUGGGAUGAAGUGGCCCGGACCGACCUUACACGUACACUUACGUGAGACAGGUUCCACCAACUGACAUGCACUUGUUGCAUAAGGUGGCUAGCGGGUGCCAGUCUCUCCCACUUUAGUCGGAUCAGAUUCGAUGAAAAGGGUCCUUAUGAAGGGUAAAUAGCAAUUGGCAUAUCACGUUGUGGUUUUUGCGUAGGUAAGAAACGUUCUUGCUAGAAACCCAUAGCAGCCAUGUAAAACAUGCAAACAACAAUUAGAGGACGUCUAACUUUUUUUUGCAGGGUAUUCUAUGUGGUGUGAUAUGGACAAAAGAAUGUGAUGAAUGAUAUGUGAUGUAUGAGAUUGAUCAUGUUCUUGUAAUAGGAAUCACGACUUGCAUGUCGAUGAGUAUGACAACCGGCAGGAGCCAUAGGAGUUGUCUUAAUUUAUUGAAUGACCUGCGUGUCAUUGAACAACGCCAUGUAAUUACUUUACUUUAUUGCUAAACCAUUAGCCAUAGUAGUAGAAGUAAUAAUUGGCGAGACAACUUCAUGGAGACACGAUGAUGGAGAUCCUGGUGUCAUGCCGGUGACGAUGAUGAUCAUGGAGCCCCGAAGAUGGAGAUCAAAAGCAGCAAAAUGAUAUUGGCCAUAUCAUGUCACUUUUUGAUUGCAUGUGAUGUUUAUCAUGUUUAUGCAUCUUAUUUGCUUAGAAUGACGGUAGUAAAUAAGAUGAUCCCUCAUUAAAUUUCAAGAAAGUGUUCCCCCUAACUAUGCACCGUUGCGAAAGUUCGUUGUUUCGAAGCACCACGUGAUGGUCGGGUGUGAUAGAUUCUAACAUUCACAUACAACGGGUGUAAGCAAGAUUUAGACACGCGAAACACUUAGGUUGACUUGACGAGCCUAGCAUGUACAGACAUGGCCUCAGAACACAAGAGACCGAAAGGUCGAGCAUGAGUCGUAUGGUAGAUAUGAUCAACAUGAAGAUGUUCACCGAUGAUGACUAGUCCAUCUCACGUGAUGAUCGGACACGGCCUAGUUGACUCGGAUCAUGUAAUCACUUAGAUGACUAGAGGGAUGUCUAUCUGAGUGGGAGUUCAUAAGAUGAACUUAAUUAUCCUGAACAUAGUCAAAAGGUUUUUGCAAAUUAUGUCGUAGCUCGCGCUUUAGUUCUACUAUUUUAGAUAUGUUCCUAGAGAAAAUUUAGUUGAAAGUUGAUAGUAGCAAUUAUGCGGACUGGGUCCGAAAACUGACGAUUGUCCUCAUUGCUGCGUAGAAGGCUCAUGUCCUUAAUGCACCGCUCGGUGUGCUGAACCUUGAACGUCGUCUGUGGAUGUUGCGAACAUUUGACAUACACGUUUUGAUAACUACGUGAUAGUUCAGUAAUGUUAAACGGUUUAGAAUUGAGGCACCGAAGACGAUUUCGAAAUGUUGCGGAACAUAUGAGAUGUUUCGAGGGCUGAAAUUGGGAUUUCAGGCUCGUGCCCACGUCAAGAGGUAUAAGACCUUCGACGAUUUUCUUAGCCUGCAAACUAAGGGAGAAAAGCUCAAUCGUUGAGCUUGUGCUCAGAUUGUCUAAGUACAACAAUCACUUGAAUCAAGUGGGAGUUGAUCUUCCCGAUGGAUAGUGAUGUUUAUGCAAAAUCAUUGCCACCAAGAUGCUAGAGCUUCGUGAUGAACUAUGACAUAUCAGGGAUAGAUAUGAUGAUCCUUGAAAUAUUCGCGAUGUUUGACACCGCGAAAGUAGAAAUCAAGAAGGAGCAUCAAUUGUUGAUGGUUAGUGAAACCACUAGUUUCAAGAAGGGCAAAGGCAAGAAGGGAUACUUCAUGAAACGACAAAUCAGCUGCUGCUCUAGUGAAGAAACCCAAGGUUGAACCCAAACCCGAGACUAAGUGCUUCUGUAAUAAGGGGAACGGUCACUGGAGUAGAAUUACCCUAGAUACUUGGUAGAUAAGAAGGCAGGCAAGGUCGAUAGAAGUAUAUUGGAUAUACAUUAUAUUAAUGAGUACUCUACUAGUACUCCUAGUAGCACCAUGGUAAUAGAUACCGGUUCGGUUGCUAAGUGUUAGUAACUCGAAAUAAAAGGCUACAGAAUAAACAGAGACUAGCUAAAGGCGAGGUGACGAUAUGUGUUGGAAGUAUUUCCAAGGUUGAUGUGAUCAAACAUCGCACGUUUCCUCUACCAUCGGGAUCGGUGUUAAACCUAAAUAAUUGUUAUUUGGUGUUUGCGUUGAGCAUAAACAUGAUUGGAUUAUGUCUAUCGCAAUACGGUUAUUCAUUUAAGGAGAAUAAUGGUUACUCUGUUUAUUUGAAUAAUACCUUCAAUGGACUUGCACCUAAAAUGAAUGGUUUAUUGAAUCUCGAUCGUAGUGAUACACAUGUUCAUGCCAAAAGAUAUAAGAUAGUAAUGAUAGUACCACCUACUUGUGGCACUGCCAUGUAAGUCAUAUUGGUAUAAAACGCAUGAAGAAGCUCCAUGUUGAUGGAUCUUUGGACUCACUCGUUUUUGAAAAGAUUGAGACAUGCGAACCAUGUCUAUUGGUGUAUACGCAUGAAGAAACUCCAUGCAGAUGGAUCGUUUGGACUCACUUGAUUUUGAAUCACUUGAGACAUACAAAUCAUACCACAUGGGCAAGAUGACUGAAAAGCCUCGGUUUCAGUAAGAUGGAACAAGAAAGCAACUUGUUGGAAGUAAUACAUUUUGAUGUGUGAAGUCUAAUGAGUGUUGAGGCAUGCAGUGGAUAUCGUUAUGUUCUCACUUCACAGAUGAUUUGAGUAAAUUCUGAGUAUGUUUACUUGAUGAAACACAAAUCUGAAUUAUUGAAAGGUUCAAGUAAUUUUAGAGUGAAGUUGAAGAUCGUCGUGAAAAGAGGAUAAAAUGUCUAUGAUAUGAUCAUAGAGAUCAGUAUCUGAGUUAUGAGUUUGGUAUGCAAUUAAGACAUUGUGGAAAUUGUUUCACAACUAAUACCGCCUGGAACACCAUAGUGUGAUGGUGUGUCCGAACAUCAUAGCUGCACCCUAUUGGAUAUGGUGCAUACCAUGAUGUCUCUUAUCGAACUACCACUAUCGUUUAUGGGUUAGGCAUUAGAGACAACCGCAUUCACUUUAAAUAGGGCACCACGCAAUUCCAUUGAGACGACACCGUAUGAACUAUGGUUUGGAGAAGCCUAAGUUGUCGUUUCUUAAAAGUUUGGGGCUGUGACGCUUAUGUGAAAAAAGUUUCAGGUUGAUAAGCUCGAACCCAAAGUGGAUAAAUGCAGCUUCAUAGGACACCCAAAAACAGUUGGGUAUACCUCAUGUCUCAGUUCCGGAAGCAAAAGUGAUUGUUUCUAGAAACGGGUCCUUUCUCGAGGAAAAGUCUCUAUCGAAAGAAUUGAGUGGGAGGCUGGUGGAGACUUAAUAAGGUUAUUGAACCAUCACUUCAACUAGUGUGUAGCAGGGCACAAGAAGUUGUUCCUGUGGUGCCUACACCAAUUGAAGUAGAACCUUAUGAUAAUGAUCAUGAAACUUCGGAUCGAGUCACUACCAAACCUCGUAGGUCGACAAUGAUGCGUACUACAGAGUGGUACGGUAAUCCUGUCUUGGAGGUCAUGUUGCUAGACAACAAUGAACCUACGAGCCAUGGAGAAGUGAUGGUGGGCCCGGAUUCCGACAAAUGGCUCGAGGCCAUAAAAUCCGAGAGAGGAUCCAUGUAUGAAAACAAAGUGUAGACUUUGGAAGAACUACUCAAUGGUCGUAAGGCUGUUGAGUACAGAUGGAUUCUAAAAGGAAUACGGACAAUGAUGGUAAGUGUAACCAUUAAGAAAGCUCGACUUGUCGCUAAGAUAUUUUCUGACAAGUUCAAGGAGUUGACUACGAUGAGACUUUCUCACUCGUAGCGAUGCUAAGAGUCUGUUGGAAUUAUGUUAGCAGUUACUGGAUUAUUUAUGAAAUCUUACAGAUAGGAUGUAAAAAAAACAUUGUUUCCUCGACAAUUUUCUUGAGGAAAGGUUGUAUGUGAUACAACCAGAAGGUUUUGUCAAUCCUGAAAGAUGCUAACAAGUAUGCAAAGCUCCAGCAAUCCUACUAAGGAUUGGAGUAAGCAUCUUGAAAUUGGAAUAUACACUUUGAUGAAGACGAUCAAAGAUUUUGGGUUUAUACAAAGUUUAUGAGAAACUUGUAUUUCCAAAGAAGUGAGUGGGAGCACUAUAGAAUUUCUGAUGAGUAUAUGUUGUUAACAUAUUGUUGAUCAGAAAUGCUGUAGAAUUUCUGGAAAGCAUAUAGGGUUGUUUGAAAGGUGUUUUUCAAUAAAAAACCUGGAUUAAGCUACUUGAACAUUGAGCAUCAAGAUCUAUAAGGAUAGAUCAAAAACGCUUAAUAGUACUUUCAAAUGAAUACAUACCGUGACAAGAUUUUGAAGGAGUUCAAAAAAGAUCGGCAAAGAAGGAGUUCUUGGCAGUGUCAUAAGGUGUGAGUAUUGAGUAAGACUCAAGACCUGACCACGGCAGAAGAGAGAGAAAGGACGAAGGCCGUCCCCUAUGCUUUAGACGUAGGCUCUACAGUAUGCUAUGUUGUGUACCACACCUGAAGUGUGCCUUGCCAUGAGUCAGUCAAGGGGUACAAGAGUGAUCCAGGAAUGGAUCACAGGACAACGUUCAAAGUUAUCCUUAGUAACUAGUGGACUAAGGAAUUUUCUCGAUUAUGGAGGUGGUAAAAGAGUUCGUCGUAAAGGGUUACACCGAUGCAAACUUUGACACUAAUCCGGAUUAUUCUGAGUAGUAAACCGGAUUCGUAUAGUAGAACAGUUAUUUGGAAUAGCUCCAAAUAGAACGUGGUAGAUGCAUCUAGGAGAUGACAUAGAUAUUUGCAAAGCACACACGGAUCUGAAAGGUUCAGAUCGUUGACUAAUAACCUCUCUCACAAGCGAGAUAUGAUCAAACCCCAUGGGCAUUGAUUCAUUACAAUCACAUAGUGAUGUGAACUAGAUUAUUGACUCUAGUGCAAGUGGGAGACUGUUGGAAAUAUGCCCUAGAGGCAAUAAUAAAAUGGUUAUUAUUAUAUUUCCUUGUUUAUGAUAAUUGUUUAUUAUCCAUGCUAGAAUUGUAUUGAUAGGAAACUCAGAUACAUGUGUGGAUACAUAGACAACACCAUGUCCCUAGUAAGCCUCUAGUUGACUAGCUCGUUGAUCAAUAGAUGGUUACGGUUUCCUGACCAUGGACAUUGGAUGUCGUUGAUAACGGGAUCACAUCAUUAGGAGAAUGAUGUGAUGGACAAGACCCAAUCCUAAGCCUAGAACAAGAUCAUGUAGUUUGUGUGCUAAAGCUAGCUUUUCUAAAUGUCAAGUAUAUUUUCCUUAGACCAUGAGAUUGUGCAACUCCCGGAUAUCGUAGGAAUGCUUUGGGUGUACCAAACGUCACAACGUAACUGGGUGGCUAUAAAGGUGCACUACGGGUAUCUCCGAAAGUGUCUGUUGGGUUGGCACGAAUCGAGACUAGGAUUUGUCACUCCGUGUGACGAAGAGGUAUCUCCGGGCCCACUCGGUAGGACAUCAUCAUAAUGUGCAUAAUGUGAUCAAGGAGUUGAUCGCGGGAUGAUGUGUCACGGAACGAGUAAAGAGACUUGCCGGUAACGAUAUUGAACAAGGUAUCGGGAUACCGACGAUCGAAUCUUGGGUAAGUAUCAUACCAGUAGACAAAGGGAAUUGUAUACGGGGUUGAUUGAAUCCUUGACAUCGUGGUUCAUCCGGUGAGAUCAUCGUGGAACAUGUGGGAGCCAACAUGGGUAUCCAGAUCGCGCUGUUGGUUAUUGGUCGGGGAGUUGUCUCGGUCAUGUCUGCAUGGUUCCCGAACCCGUAGGGUCUACACACUUAAGGUUCGAUGACGCUAGGGUUAUAGGGAAUAGAUAUAUGUGGUUACCGAAUGUUGUUCGGAGUCUCGGAUGAGAUCCUGGACGUCACGAGGAGUUCCGUAAUGGUCCGCAGGUAAAGAUUUAUAUAUAGGAAGUCCUGUUUUGGUCACCUGAAAAGUUUCGGGUGCUAUCGGUAACGUACCGGGACCACCGGGAGGGCCCCGGGCCACCGGCCCCAGAGGGCUGCGUGGGCCAAGUAUGGGAGCGGACCAGCCCUAGGUGGGCUGGUGCGCCCCCCACCAGGGCCCAAGGUGAAGAGAGAAGGGAAAAGGGGGAAACCCUAGGCUCAGAUGGGCCUAAGGCCCACCUAGUGGUGCGCCCCCCCUCUCUCCCCCUUGGCCGCCCCCUAGAUGGGAUCUAGGGCUGGCCGCCACCCCUAGGUGUGGAAACCUAGAUGGGGGCGCAGCCCCUCCCUUCCCCCUAUAUAUAGUGAGGGUUUGGGGCUGCCAUACACAUGAGAACGUCUCCCUCUUGGCGCAGCCCUACCCCUCUCCCUCCUCGUCUCUUGCGGUGCUUGGCGAAGCCCUGCUGGAGUGCCACGCUCCUCCACCACCACCACGCCGUCGUGCUGCUGCUGGACGGAGUCUUCCCCAACCUCUCCCUCUCCCCUUGCUGGAUCAAGGCACGGGAGACGUCAUCGGGCUGCACGUGUGUUGAACGCGGAGGCGCCAUUGUUCGGAGCUUAGAUCAGAAUCAACCGCGAUCUGAAUUGCUACGAGUAUGACUCCUUCAUCCCCGUUCUUUUAACGCUUCCGCUUAGCGAUCUACAAGGGUAUGUAGAUGCACUCCCCUUUCCCUCGUUGCUAGAUUACUCCAUAGAUUGAUCUUGGUGAUGCGUAGAAAAUUUUAAAUUUCUGCUACGAUUCCCAACACCAAGGACAUAAAAGGUAUACGAAGUUUCCUUGGUCAUGCCGGUUUUUAUAGGAGGUUCAUUAAGGACUUUUCUAAAAUCUCUAGGCCUUUGACUAACUUAUUGCAAAAAGAUAUUCCUUUUGUCUUUGAUGAUGAUUGUGUAGAAGCUUUUGAAACACUUAAGAAAGCUUUGAUCACUGCACCUAUUGUUUAGCCACCUGAUUGGAAUUUACCUUUUGAAAUUAUGUGCGAUGCUAGUGAUUAUGCUGUAGGUGCUGUUCUUGGGCAAAGAGUUGAUAAGAAAUUGAAUGUUAUCCAGUAUGCUAGUAAGACUCUUGAUACUGCCCAGAGAAAUUAUGCUACUACUGAAAAAGAGUUCUUAGCAGUUGUGUUUGCAUGUGAUAAGUUUAGACCUUAUAUUGUUGAUUCCAAAGUUACUAUUCACACUGAUCAUGCUGCUAUUAAAUAUCUUAUGGAAAAGAAAGAUGCUAAGCCUAGACUCAUUAGAUGGGUUCUCUUGCUCCAAGAAUUUGACUUGCAUAUUAUUGAUAGAAAAGGAGCUGAGAACCCCGUUGCAGAUAACUUGUCUAGGUUAGAGAAUGUUCUUGAUGACCCACUGCCUAUUAAUGAUAGCUUUGCUGAUGAACAAUUAGUGGUCAUUAAUGCUUCUCGCACUGCUCUUUGGUAUGCUGAUUAUGCUAAUUACAUUGUUGCUGAAUUUAUACCGCCUAGUUUCACAUACCAGCAAAAGAAAACGUUCUUUUAUGAUUUAAGACAUUACUUCUGGGAUGAUCCACAGCUUUAUAAAGAGGGAGUAGAUGGUGUUAUUAGAUGUUGUGUGCCUGAGCAUGAACAGGAACAUAUUCUACGUAAGUGUCACUCUGAAUCUUAUGGAGGACACCACGCUGAAGAUAGAACUGCACACAAGGUACUACAAUCUGGUUUUUAUUGGCCUACUCUUUUCAAAGAUGCUCAUAAGUUUGUCUUAUCCUGUGAUGAAUGUCAAAGAAUAGGUAACAUUAGUAGACGUCAAGAAAUGCCUAUGAAUUAUUCUCUUGUUAUUGAACCGUUUGAUUUUUGGGGCUUUGAUUAUAUGGGACCUUUUCCUGCCUCUAAUGGUUAUACACAUAUUUUAGUUGCUGUUGAUUACGUUACUAAGUGGGUAGAAGCUAUUCCAACUAGUAGUGCUAAUCAUAACACUUCUAUUAAAAUGCUUAAAGAAGUUAUUUUUCCGAGGUUUGGAGUCCCUAGAUAUCUUAUGACUGAUGGUGGUUCACAUUUUAUUCAUGGUGCUUUCCGUAAGAUGCUUGCUAAGUAUGAUGUCAAUCAUAGAAUAGCAUCUCCUUAUCAUCCGCAGUCUAGUGGUCAAGUAGAGUUGAGCAAUAGAGAGCUCAAAUUAAUUUUGCAAAAGACUGUGAAUAGAUCUAGAAAGAAUUGGUCCAAAAAACUUGAUGAUGCAUUAUGGGCCUAUAGAACUGCAUACAAAAAUCCUAUGGGUAUGUCUCCUUAUAAAAUGCUUUAUGGAAAAGCGUGUCAUUUACCUCUUGAACUUGAACAUAAAGCAUAUUGGGCUAUUAAAGAGCUUAAUUAUGACUUCAAACUUGUCGGUGAGAAGAGGUUAUUUGAUAUUGGCUCACUUGAUGAAUGGAGAACCCAAGCUUAUGAGAAUGCCAAGCUUUUCAAAGAAAAAGUCAAACGCUGGCAUGAUAAGAGGAUACAAAAGUGUGAGUUUAACGUAGGAGAUUAUGUGUUAUUAUUCAACUCUCGUUUAAGAUUUUUUGCAGGAAAACUUCUCUCAAAAUGGGAAGGUCCCUACGUUAUCGAGGAGGUCAAUCGUUCUGGUGCCAUAAAAAUCAACAAUUUCGAAGGCACAAAUCCGAGGGUGGUAAACGGUCAAAGAAUUAAACACUAUAUUUCAGGUAAUCCUAUCAAUGUUGAAACUAAUAUUGUUGAAACCGUAACCCUUGAGGAAUACAUAAGGGACACUUUCCAGAACGUUCCAGACUGCGAAAAGGCAUAGGUAUGUGGUACGGUAAGUAAACCGACUCCAAAACAACUCCAAUGGCAAUCUUUAUCAGUUUUGGAAUAUUUAAGAAUUUUAGGAAGAAAGAAGUAGUCUGAAAGGGACACGAGGCUCACACGAGACUGGAGGCCCCCCCCUGUAGGGCGCCCCCCUAUCUCGUGGACACCUCAUGUGCCUCCUGGACUCCAUUUUCUUGCACUUUACGUAUUUUGGUCGGUAAAAAAUUCAUUACAUAUACUCCUGAAGGUUUUGACCACUGUAUCACGCAAAUAUCCUUUGCUUUCUUUUCGAGCUGUUUCUGUUUCAGAUUUAGAGCACCAUGACUUCACCCUCCUCCAACAAUGAAGACAAGGAUGCUUGGCUUUUGAAGAUAGAGCUAAAAAGAGAAGAACCAGAAGAGAUCAACAAGGAUGAUGGGAUCAAGAAAGCCAUGGAGGUUCAAGUUCCGACGGUGAAAGAAGAAGAUAUACCUCAACCUUUACCUAACCUCUUUACUCCAACAGAGAUUGAAGCUUUCAAGAUGAUUGAGUUAGCUCGCAUACAGAACAAGUAUCUCACAUAGGAUAAUAUUCUGUUGAAGGAUCAUAUUGCUGGGCUUAAGGGCAUUAUCCGCAAGUUGGAGGAACUUUUACGCUCAAUGUGUGAUUAUCCACCGUCAUCAUCACCACCUCCAUCACCUCCGAGGACAUAAUCACAUGGGUAUGGGCACUCCCCUUGGCAACUGCUGUCAGGACCCCGACUCAAUGCCACAUCGAUCUAGCAUGUAACACCUCAUAUCACUUUGCGGCCUCACGCACGGUAUCCCCACGGGUGUCGCCUUACCUUUGCCCGGGACUGUUUGCGCCUUUUGGCACACGUAUAUGACGGUGUCGCUAGCAUCCAUAUGAUAAGGAGCCCGGGCUGACAUGGCUAGUCGUAAACCCAAAGUGGCACUAACUUACAGGGACAGGCAUCCAUGACCCAGCAUCGAACGUGUCGGUCAUCAAUGAGUGAAUCCAGGCUGUAGCACUGGGCUAACAGGACUCCGGUGAACUGGGCUGUAGCGGGCUAGCAGGACUCCGGUAUUCAUCGCGUGACAUUUCCCCGAAGGGACAGACACAAGAUCGAAGAAGGACACAUGCCGGCCUGCCUAAGUGUUCCAGAGCAGUAGCAAGCUACCAGGGCUUAGUGGAAGCACUAGGAGACAUUUCCCGGUAAGAGAGGCUACUAAGAAUAAACAACUAGAUAGUCAGAUCCCACACAUAGCAAUACACAUUACACGUACGCAUAACAUGCAAGUAUGUGCUGUACAACAUGGCAUCACAGCAUAACUCAGCAAUCAUAUAGAUAAAGGCUCAGAAGAGCCAUCAUAGCAUUUAUUGCAAACAGGGGUCACAAAACCCAUCAUACAGAGCAUACAAGCAACAAGCGGAAGCGUUACAUGUCUGGGUACAGACAUCUACAAAUGAAAAAGGCUGAAGAGCCUGACUAUCUACAACAUCCGAUCAAGAUCGUAGCUGAGGUACAAGCUACUCGUCGAAGUCCAUGAGAACACUAGUAAGACCGAAGUCUCCGCUGCAAAAACAUAAAUGAAGCAACAUGAGUACAAAGGUACUCAGCAAGACUUACAUCAGAUCCUAGCAUACAUGCAUUUGUAUCAAGAGGGUACUGUGGGGUUUAGUUGCAGCAAGCCAGCUUUGACUCUGUGGCUAUCCUGUUCUACGACUACCAGAAACUCUUGAGGUGAGACAACGUACACGAGUCCACUAAUCACCACACAAUACACUACUAUGGAUUCAUCCCCGUCUCCCUACGAGAAGGCCAUCCAUAGCACUCACACUUGUCUCGAGCAUUUUAGAGUAUCCACUUCAAGUUGUCUAUGUACCAUGUAAGCAUCCAAGAAGUCCAUAACCGCGGACUCGGCUAUUCGAAUAGAUCAUGUUAACCCUGCAGGGGUGUACUUCUUCACACACGAUCUCGCCACUUACCGCCAUGUACACGUCAUGUAUCUCGGCAACCUUCAAGCGGAAGCCUGGCGAGGGUGUCGGCCACGACCUGACUAACCACACAAGACUCUAGUCCAGGUUUAUCGCCUAUUCGGGUUCCGCCCGCAAGGAGAUCCGGCCGGGGUGUCGCUUACGGCCCCAAACGAUGUGAGCAGGGUUCCCGAGCCCACCAACCGGGUGCCACUCGGUACACCGGGCCACGUGUGCCUAGUCUGUCCCAAGCCCACCCUGCCGGGUGCCACUUGGUAGAAAAAUAGCACUACCUACAAACACCAGAAACUAGUUGCGACUCCUGGACAGAGAUCAAGUUGGCUAAUAAGUCGAGAGGGGCACUUAAGCAUUCCAAUGUGUGGUAGUAUCGAGUCAUUGGACAACAUACAUAGAACUCAGUGCUUAAGGACGGUUCCAGUGAGACAACCCACCAUGUACUCCUACAUGGCCUCUCACCGCUACCUUUACCAAAUCGUGUUCACACACACUUCACUCUCAGCAUCAGAACAUAUCGUAACACUCCAAUUCAUUCCCAAUGAACCAGACCUGACACAACUCUAAGCAAUAGCAGGCAUAACAUGGUAGGAACACAACAAUGGCUUCAAUCAACUCCUACACAUGCUAGUGGGUUUCAACUAUUUACUGUGGCAAUGACAGGUCAUGCAGAGGAAUGGGUUCAACUACCGCAGCACAAAGUAGCAGAUGAACCGUUGUUGUCCUAAUGCAAUAACUGAGAGCAGGAGCGAGAGAGUAGGGUCUUAUCGAAAUGAACAAGGGGGUUUGCUUGCCUGGUAAAUCAACAGAGGAGGCACUGCUUCAUAGAUAGGCACUCUGGAACAGACUCCGGAGCAGGACUUAUCGAGAAGGAACAGUGUCGGCAAUCAAACACAAUCAUAUGCAACAAUAUGAUGCAUGAACAUGGCAUGUAGAUGUGAUGCUGUUUGAGCUAAUGCAACUAGUAAUCAUUUGGUUUGAAGUCCAUUUGAACCAAAGGUUCAAAUGCAUCUCCAAAUUAAGCUCCUAUAUAUGCCAUAAUGUGUUUUCUCAUAUUCAGCAUGUAUAAGUUGGUUUGUCAUGCAUGAAACUAGUACAGAUGGAAAGAUUGCAUUUUUCUGAUAAUUUUUCAUAUAUAAAUUAUUUUAAUCUGAGCUACGGUUGAAUUGAUACAAAUUUUUGAAGUUUAAAACAAUUUCUGGAAUUUCCUGAAUUAUUUUAAUUCCAGAAAAUAUAUAUUGCGUCAGCAUUGAGUAAGCAUGAUGUCAGCAGGUCAACUGCGGCUGGCUAGGGUCAAACCUGACGUGUGGGGUCCACACAUUAGUGUCAGGGGGUUAAACAGGGUUAGUUUAAUCCUAAUUAAAAAGGUUAGUGGCGCUGGGGCCCACUGUCAGUGUCAGGGUUAAUUAACAGAGGUUGGUUAAAUUUAAACUAAUCCUAAACUCGAAUUAGCAGGGACGGGCCCCACUUGUCAUUGAGCCAGGGGAGGUCAAACCCCCUGGUCAACCGGGGCUAAUACGCCGGCGUUUAGCCGCCGGCGGCAGCAAACGCGGCGGAGGGCGCGGGAUUUCCACUCCGGCGCCCAAUCGAGCAGCGGAAGGCACGCGCGGGAAGCUGGGGCUCGCGCGCACCCACUGGUGCCCUCCGUUUCACCGGAGAUGGCCUAGAUCGACGGCGGCGACCACUUGGGCGGCGGCCGGAGUUCGGGCGCGAGCGGGAUCGGGCUGCGGGGCACGGGGAGGCCACCUGAGGGGCUCGGCGGCACCCUCAUGGCAUUGGGAGCGCGAUGGGAUGCUCGGUUUGGGCGGAGGCGGGCCGAGAUGGCGAUGGUGACAUGGACGGCGGCGAGAGGCUUCGGCCGUGGUGGGGAACGGCGCUACGGCGCGGAAACGAGGGGGAGAAGAGAGGGGAACGGUGGCGGAGCUCACCGCGGAUCCAACGGCGUCGUCGGCGAGCUCGGGGAAGGCUUGGGGCAGCCGGAGGGACGACGGCGAUCUCGUCGGCCGGAGCUUGAAGAUGACGGCGAUUGCGAUGAAGCGGAGCUCGCCCGGGUUGCUUGCUCGGUGAGGAGGGAGAGUGGGUCACGGCGGAGCUGGGAGGCGUGUCGGGGAGGUGCGGCAGUGGCCGAGGCCACGGUGGCUAUGGACGGCGGCGACGGUGAUUCUCGGGUAAGAGAGAGAGAGAAGGGAAAAAGCACGGGAGAGAGGGGGGUGAGGCCAGGGGAUCGGGGCAGCACCGAGAAGAAGCAACGCGGCGUCGCGCUGGCAGGGCAGGCAGGCAGGCGAGCUGGUGGCGUGGCGCGGUGGCGCGCGCACGCGCCGGGCACGCUCCCCUCCCUCUGUCGAGGACGAAGACGACAGAGGAGGAGGCGGGCUGGGCCGCCUGCUAGCUGGGCCGGCCUGCUGCGGCUGGGCUGCACAGGGGGGAGCCCCAGGUAAGCUUCUCCUCUUUAUUUCUGUUUUCUAUUUUUUUCUGACAUUUGUUUUGAUUUAAUAAAAUACUAAAUCAAUUUAUUACCUUAUGCCAAUUUUUGCAGGAGCUAGCUAUAAUAUUCCAGAGCUCCUGUAUAAAUGGCAUAAUUUUUGGACCAUAUUAAUAUAUAUAACUAAUAUAUUUCCAAUGCAAAUAUUUAUCGAAUUAAUCCAAAUGGCCAAAAUAAAUAUCCAUGAGCUCCUAAAAAUAUUGUUUUGAUUUUUAUCUCUGUCCAAUAUUUUCGGAGAGCAACAUGAGCAUUUUCUUGGACCCUUUUGGAGAAAUUUUUAUUAGGGUCAUUUUCAAAAAUGAUUCUGAGGGUUCCACCAAUCCUCAUUUCAAAUUUAAAUGAAAUUUAAAUAUGAUGCACAAAUGGCUAGCUAGUCUAAGUCAUACCAGACUAGGGAUGUGACAACUCGCCCCCACUUGAAAGAAUCUCGUCUCGAGAUUCAGGGGUCGACGGAAAGAAAGUGGGGUACUCCAGUCGAAGACGAUCUUCUCGCUCCCAAGUAGCUUCUCUCUCGGAAUGAUGAGACCACUGAACUUUGAGAAACUUGAUGUUCUGACGUCGAGUGACACGCUCUGCUUGAUCAAGAAUGCGAACCGGGUACUCUCGGUAUGUGAGGUUAUCUUGGAGAUCAAGCGUUUCGUGGUCCACUCCGCGGAUGGGAUCCGAGAAGCAACGCCUGAGUUGAGAGACGUGGAAGACAUCAUGAACUCGAGAAAGAUGUGGGGGUAGUUCCAACUGGUAGGCAACCUCUCCUCGUUUAGCGAGAAUGCGAAAAGGACCAAUGUAACGAGGAGCCAACUUGCCCUUGAUACCGAAACGAUGGGUACCCUUCAUGGGAGUAACCCGAAGGUAAGCUUUUUCGCCAACUUCAUAAGUCAUAUCCUUAUGAUGACGAUCAUACUGACUCUUUUGACGAGACUGGGCUGUUUUCAAAUUCUCACGAAUGAUGCGAACUUGCUCUUCUGCCUCCUGGAUCAUGUCCGGUCCAAAGAAUUGUCUUUCACCGGUUUCUGACCAGUUCAAAGGUGUUCGACAUCUUCGUCCAUAAAGAACCUCAAAAGGAGCUUUCUUGAGGCUGGAUUGGUAGCUAUUGUUAUAGGCAAACUCAGCAAAAGGAAGACAUUUCUCCCAAUCCAUACCGAAUGAGAUAACGCAAGCUCUGAGCAUGUCUUCGAGAAUUUGAUUGACCCGUUCCACCUGACCACUCGACUGAGGGUGGAAAGCGGUACUGAAGGAAAGAUGGGUUCCCAUGGCAGUUUGGAAACUCUCCCAGAAAUGAGAAGUGAAAAGACUGCCACGGUCUGAAUUGAUCUCUAGUGGAACACCAUGAAGUGACACAAUUCGAGAAAUGUAUAAGUCAGCAAGCUGACUAGCAGUGAUACUCUCUCGAACAGGAAGGAAGUGAGCCACUUUGGAAAGACGAUCAACGACUACGAAGAUAGCGUUAUUCCCUUUCUUGGUCCUGGGAAAGCCGGUGAUGAAGUCCAUACCAACUUUAUCCCAUUUCCACUCAAGAAUAGCUAAAGGCUGAAGGGUGCCAGCAGGUCUUUGAUGCUCUGCCUUAACGCGACGACAAAUGUCACAUUUAGCAAUGAACUCAGCGAUUUCUCUCUUCAUCCUAGUCCACCAGAACCUCUGGCGUAGGUCCUGAUACAUCUUAGUACUACCGGGAUGAAUCGUGAGAGGAGAUUCAUGCGCCUCCUUAAGAAUCAACUGCCGAAGAUGUUGCUUCUUGGGAACCACCAAGCGAUUCUCAAAGAAAACAACACCACGAUCAUCCAUAGAGAAACAUCCACCAACUCCCUUCUUAAUGUUUCUCUUAAUGCGGAUAACCCCCCUAUCAAACUUCUGGUCAGAGAUGAUCUGAUCCUCAAGGGUAGGUUUCGCCACCAAGGUAGAAAGGAAUCCGCGAGGAGCAAUGUGAAGGUUAAGCUUAUAGAAUUCCUCAUGGAGGAGGGGUUGACCUUGCUGCAACAUGAGAUUGUUGCAAUAGGAUUUACGGCUUAGAGCAUCAGCCAUGACAUUGGCUUUGCCUGGGGUGUAGGUAAUCCCUAGAUCAUAAUCUGUGAUUAACUCCAACCAACGUCUUUGCCUAAGGUUCAGAUCCGGUUGGGUGAAGAUAUACUUGAGACUCUGGUGAUCGGUGUAGAUCUCGCAACGUUUACCAAGAAGGUAAUGUCGCCAGGUCUUGAGUGCAUAGACUACGGCUGCAAGCUCUAGAUCAUGUGUAGGAUAAUUCUCCUCAUGUGGAUGCAACUGUCGAGAUGCAUAGGCAAUCACAUGACGAUCCUGCAUAAGAAUGCAACCUAGUCCCUGUCGUGAGGCGUCGCAGUAGAUAAUAAAGUCUUUAGUGAAAUCCGGUGGCACAAGUAUGGGAGCAGAAGUCAGGCGUCUUUUCAGUUCCUGAAAACUGUACUCACACUGUGGGGACCACUCGAACUUUUUAUCUUUCUUGAGAAGUUCCGUGAGGGGUUUGGCUACUUUGGAGAAAUUUUCUACGAAGCGGCGACAAUAGCUGGCUAGACCAAGGAAACUCCUAACUUGUUUAACGGUUUCAGGUGGAGUCCAAUCGAGAACAGCCUGAACUCUCUCGGGAUUGAUAGCAAUGCCCUUACCAGAGAUUACAUGGCCUAAGUAGGUCACUUCUGGCAACCAAAAUUCACACUUGGAGAACUUGGCAUAAAGGCGGUGCUCUCUGAGUUUUUCUAACACAAGUCUAAGAUGUUCGGCAUGCUCUUCCUCGUUCUUCGAGUAAAUAAGAAUAUCAUCGAGGUAAACCACGACGAACUUAUCUAAGUACUCCAUGAAAAUCGAGUUCAUCAAGCGGGAGAAUGUGGCUGGGGCGUUGGUUAGGCCAAAGGACAUGACGGUGUACUCGUACUGGCCAUAACGAGUGACAAAAGCUGUCUUGGGAACGUCCCCGUUUCUGAUUUUGAUUUGGUGGUAUCCUAACCUUAAAUCCAUCUUGGAGAAGACUGAGGAUCCAGCGAGCUGAUCAUACAUGUCGUUGAUCCUGGGGAGCGGAUACUUGUUCUUUAUCGUGACCAAAUUAACGGUACGAUAAUCUACGACCAUCCGGUCCGUACCGUCUUUCUUCUUAACAAAGAGAACGGGGCAAGCCCAAGGAGAAGAACUAGGACGGAUGAACCCUUUUUGCAAGGACUCAUCAAGUUGUUUCUUAAGCUCGGCUAGUUCUAAGGGUGCCAUCUUGUAAGGUCUCCGGGAGAUUGGAGCUGUUCCUGGGAUAAGAUCUAUGACGAACUCUACAUCUCUGUCAGGUGGAACACCUGGCAGUUCCUCUGGAAAGACAUCCGGAAAGUCACGGACUACCGGGAUAUCUUCAAGGUCUGGAAGAGGGCUGGCAUUAAGAGAAUAGAGCUGACGCUUUGCAACUCUAGUGGAGACGGUGACUAUCUUGCCAGAUGGGUGUGUAAGCUGAACAAAUCUUGUGUAACAAUCAAUCUUGGCAUGAUGAGCUGUCAUCCAGUCCAUACCCAAGAUGAUGUUAAUAUCUGAGGACUUGAGGGCUACAAGUGAUGCAAGGAAUACAAGUCUAUCAACAAGGAUUUCAUUACCAUGGCUGAUUCUGGUGGUUUGCCAUCUAGACCCUGGGGUUUGGAUUUCAAGCGGAGUUGGCAUAUCACAAAAUGACAUGUCCUGCAAACGAGCAUAGCCUUCAGAAAUGAAGGAGUGAGAUGCCCCAGUAUCGAAUAGAACUGAUGCUGGGUGACAAUUGACAAGGAGUGUACCAAGAACGACAUCUGGAUCAUCAUGAGCGUAUUUAGCUGAGACGUGAUGCACACGUCCACAUUCAGUGGGAACUGACUUGACACUGAUCAUCUUGCGCGAUGGCUUAAUACAGCCAACAGUCUUCUCGGGCUGGGGUGGAGCAUAACUAGUCUGAGAGAAAUCACGUGCAUAGUGUCCUGGCUUCCCGCAUGUGAAGCAAGUCCCUGAGGUUGGACGUGGACCCGCACUGACAAGCGGUCUACCAGUAGGCCUGCGUGGAAAAUAUGACUGAGCUAGGGAAGACACCACAUGGAAUGGCCUCGGUGUAUAUCCGGAAGGAAGAGCGGAGUUUGGAACCCAAAUCCGGCACUUCUGGGAACUAGAGCCAGAGGAAGAUCCCAAAUCACGGGUGUGCUUACGAGACUCCUCGUAAGUGAGCUGAGCUGUCUCUGCAUUAAUGGCCUUGUUCACAAGGGCUUGGAAUGUAUCGCAAUGAUGCAGGUGGAGAUCAUGACGCAACUUGGGGUUGAGACCCUUCCGGAACCUAGCCUGCUUCUUAGCGUCCGUGGACACUUCUUCUGUGGCAUAGCGGGCGAGGUUCUCAAACUCUCAGCUGUAAGCAUCAACAACCAUCUUAUUCUGGGUGAAACUACAGAACUCUUCUCUCUUGCGAUCAAUGAGGGCCUGGGGAAUGUGAUGCUCGCGAAAAGCCUCAGUGAAAUCUCUCCAGGUAGGAAUCUGGCCAGCUGGAAGCAUAGCCUCAUAGUUCUGCCACCAAAGACUAGCAGGACCUUCCAGGUGGUAUGUGGCAUAGGUGACCUUGUCAUCUUCAGCUACGCUCGCGGAACGCAGCUUAUGAGUGAUGCUACGGAGCCAGUCAUCUGCAUCGAGUGGCUCGAUGGAAUGAUGAAAGGUAGGUGGGUGCAAGCGAAUGAAAUCAUGAAUGGUCGCAGACUUACUGGACUGAUGUGCGGUGUUCUCCUCGAUACGUGCCAACAAACGGUUAGACUCCCGCUUGUUCCUCUCCAUCUCUAACAUGAACUCUGUCAACGAAGGCGGGUCGGAAGGAUCCUCAUUCCUACCAUCUCCAUGGUUCUGGCUACGAACAAUAGAACUAGAUGACAUCCUGUGAAACGAAACCAAGGACGGAAUCAGCAUCAAUCUAUAGGCUAUAGAAUGUAGGAUAAGGAAAUUAGUAUCUCUCGAACUCCUAGGGAAAUUCUGGCAGCAUAACGGCAGUAAAAUGCUCAGAAUGAGACAUCCUACUAGAAUGGGGUAAUAACAUACUCAUCAGCAUUACUCAAGGUUCUGAGAUCAUACUAAACAGACUACACCGGAAAUACUCGAAAACUAGGGUAUGACUCUGAUCAACCAAUCCUAAGGGACUACGGAGUAGUAACACGUGAUCCUGAUAGAUGGAAGAGAAGCCUAGUUCCUUAAUCCCGUCGGAAAGAUAGGACGACUCAGAUCAGAAGGUCAUGAGGUAUAAGGAGUAAAAAGAGCAUUAUGUUCCAACCCACAAUCAAUUCCCUUACAUAACUAAAGAUUUUCUAGACUCAACUUCGACCGGUUUGGCUUGGUAAUCCUACAGGCAGUCAGGCUCUGAUACCAGCGCUGUCAGGACCCCGACUCAAUGCCACAUCGAUCUAGCAUGUAACACCUCAUAUCACUUUGCGGCCUCACGCACGAUAUCCCCACGGGUGUCGCCUUACCUUUGCCCGGGACCGUUUGCGCCUUUCGGCACACGUAUAUGACGGUGUCGCUAGCAUCCAUAUGAUAAGGAGCCCGGGCUGACAUGGCUAGUCGUAAACCCAAAGUGGCACUAACUUACAGGGACAGGCAUCCAUGACCCAGCAUCGAACGUGUCGGUCAUCAACGAGUGAAUCCAGGCUGUAGCACUGGGCUAACAGGACUCCGGUGAACCGGGCUGUAGCGGGCUAGCAGGACUCCGGUAUUCAUCGCGUGACAUUUCCCCGAAGGGACAGACACAGGAUCGAAGAAGGACACAUGCCGGCCUGCCUAAGUGUUCCGGAGCAGUAGCAAGCUACCAGGGCUCAGUGGAAGCACUAGGAGACAUUUCCCGGUAAGAGAGGCUACUAAGAAUAAACAACUAGAUAGUCAGAUCCCACACAUAGCAAUACACAUUACACGUACGCAUAACAUGCAAGUAUGUGCUGUACAACAUGGCAUCACAGCAUAACUCAGCAAUCAUAUAGAUAAAGGCUCAGAAGAGCCAUCAUAGCAUUUAUUGCAAACAGGGGUCACAAAACCCAUCAUACAGAGCAUACAAGCAACAAGCGGAAGCGUUACAUGUCUGGGUACAGACAUCUACAAAUGAAAAAGGCUGAAGAGCCUGACUAUCUACAACAUCCGAUCAAGAUCGUAGCUGAGAUACAAGCUACUCGUCGAAGUCCGUGAGAACACUAGUAAGACCGAAGUCUCCGCUGCAAAAACAUAAAUGAAGCAACAUGAGUACAAAGGUACUCAGCAAGACUUACAUCAGAUCCUAGCAUACAUGCAUUUGUAUCAAGAGGGUACUGUGGGGUUUAGUUGCAGCAAGCCAGCUUUGACUCUGUGGCUAUCCUGUUCUACGACUACCAGAAACUCUUGAGGUGAGACAACGUACACGAGUCCACUAAUCACCACACAAUACACUACUAUGGAUUCAUCCCCGUCUCCCUACGAGAAGGCCAUCCAUAGCACUCACACUUGUCUCGAGCAUUUUAGAGUAUCCACUUCAAGUUGUCUAUGUACCAUGUAAGCAUCCAAGAAGUCCAUAACCGCGGACUCGGCUAUUCGAAUAGAUCAUGUUAACCCUGCAGGGGUGUACUUCUUCACACACGCUCUCGCCACUUACCGCCAUGUACACGUCAUGUAUCUCGGCAACCUUCAAGCGGAAGCCUGGCGAGGGUGUCGGCCACGACCUGACUAACCACACAAGACUCUAGUCCAGGUUUAUCGCCUAUUCGGGUUCCACCCGCAAGGAGAUCCGGCCGGGGUGUCGCUUACGGCCCCAAACGAUGUGAGCAGGGUUCCCGAGCCCACCAACCGGGUGCCACUCGGUACACCGGGCCACGUGUGCCUAGUCUGUCCCAAGCCCACCCUGCCGGGUGCCACUUGGUAGAAAAAUAGCACUACCUACAAACACCAGAAACUAGUUGCGACUCCUGGACAGAGAUCAAGUUGGCUAAUAAGUCGAGAGGGGCACUUAAGCAUUCCAAUGUGUGGUAGUAUCGAGUCAUUGGACAACAUACAUAGAACUCAGUGCUUAAGGACGGUUCCAGUGAGACAACCCACCAUGUACUCCUACAUGGCCUCUCACCGCUACCUUUACCAAAUCGUGUUCACACACACUUCACUCUCAGGAUCAGAACAUAUCGUAACACUCCAAUUCAUUCCCAAUGAACCAGACCUGACACAACUCUAAGCAAUAGCAGGCAUAGCAUGGUAGGAACACAACAAUGGCUUCAAUCAACUCCUACACAUGCUAGUGGUUUUCAACUAUUUACUGUGGCAAUGACAGGUCAUGCAGAGGAAUGGGUUCAACUACCGCAGCACAAAGUAGCAGAUGAACCGUUGUUGUCCUAAUGCAAUAACUGAGAGCAGGAGCGAGAGAGUAGGGUCUUAUCGAAAUGAACAAGGGGGUUUGCUUGCCUGGUAAAUCAAUAGAGGAGGCACUGCUUCAUAGAUAGGCACUCUGGAACAGACUCCGGAGCAGGACCUAUCGAGAAGGAACAGUGUCGGCAAUCAAACACAAUCAUAUGCAACAAUAUGAUGCAUGAACAUGGCAUGUAGAUGUGAUGCUGUUUGAGCUAAUGCAACUAGUAAUCAUUUGGUUUGAAGUCCAUUUGAACGAAAGGUUCAAAUGCAUCUCCAAAUUAAGCUCCUAUAUAUGCCAUAAUGUGUUUUCUCAUAUUCAGCAUGUAUAAGUUGGUUUGUCAUGCAUGAAACUAGUACAGAUGGAAAGAUUGCAUUUUUCUGAUAAUUUCUCAUAUAUAAAUUAUUUUAAUCUGAGCUACGGUUGAAUUGAUAUGAAUUUUUGAAGUUUAAAACAAUUUCUGGAAUUUCCUGAAUUAUUUUAAUUCCAGAAAAUAUAUAUUGCGUCAGCAUUGAGUAAGCAUGACGUCAGCAGGUCAACUGCGGCUGGCUAGGGUCAAACCUGACGUGUGGGGUCCACACGUCAGUGUCAGGGGGUUAAACAGGGUUAGUUUAAUCCUAAUUAAAAAGGUUAGUGGCGCUGGGGCCCACUGUCAGUGUCAGGGUUAAUUAACAGAGGUUGAUUAAAUUUAAACUAAUCCUAAACUCGAAUUAGCAGGGAUGGGCCCCACUUGUCAUUGAGCCAGGGGAGGUCAAACCCCCUGGUCAACCGGGGCUAAUACGCCGGUGUUUAGCCGCCGGCGGCAGCAAACGCGGCGGAGGGCGCGGGAUUUCCACUCCGGCGCCCAAUCGAGCAGCGGAAGGCACGCACGGGAAGCUGGGGCUCGCGCGCACCCACUGGUGCCCUCCGUUUCACCGGAGAUGGCCUAGAUCGACGGCGGCGAACACUUGGGCGGCGGCCGGAGUUCGGGCGCGAGCGGGAUCGGGCUGCGGGGCACGGGGAGGCCACCUGAGGGGCUCGGCGGCACCCUCGUGGCACUGGGAGCGCGAUGGGAUGCUCGGUUUGGGCGGAGGCGGGCCGAGACGGCGACGGCGACAUGGACGGCGGCGAGAGGCUUCAGCCGUGGUGGGGAACGGCGCUACGGCGCGGAAACGAGGGGGAGAAGAGAGGGGAACGGUGGCGGAGCUCACCGCGGAUCCAACGGCGUCGUCGGCGAGCUCGGGGAAGGCUUGGGGCAGCCGGAGCGAUGACGGCGAUCUCGUCGGCCGGAGCUUGAAGACGACGGCGAUUGCGAUGAAGCGGAGCUUGCCCGGGUUGCUUGCUCGGUGAGGAGGGAGAGGGGGUCGCGGCGGAGCUGGGAGGCGUGUCGGGGAGGUGCGGCAGUGGCCGAGGCCACGGUGGCUAUGGACGGCGGCGACGGUGAUUCUCGGGUGAGAGAGAGAAGGGAAAAAGCACGGGAGAGAGGGGGGUGAGGCCAGGGGAUCGGGGCGGCACCGAGAAGAAGCAACGCGGCGUCGCGCUGGCAGGGCAGGCAGGCAGGCGAGCUGGUGGCGUGGCGCGGUGGCGCUCUCGCCGGGCACACUCCCCUCCCUCUGUCGAGGACGAAGACGACAGAGGAGGAGGCGGGCUGGGCCGCCUGCUAGCUGGGCCGGCCUGCUGCGGCUGGGCUGCACAGGGGGGAGCCCCAGGUAAGCUUCUCCUCUUUAUUUCUGUUUUCUAUUUUUUUCUGACAUUUGUUUUGAUUUAAUAAAAUACUAAAUCAAUUUAUUACCUUAUGCCAAUUUUUGCAGGAGCUAGCUAUAAUAUUCCAGAGCUCCUGUAUAAAUGGCAUAAUUUUUGGACCAUAUUAAUAUAUAUAACUAAUAUAUUUCCAAUGCAAAUAUUUAUCGAAUUAAUCCAAAUGGCCAAAAUAAAUAUCCAUGAGCUCCUAAAAAUAUUGUUUUGAUUUUUAUCUCUGUCCAAUAUUUUCAGAGAGCAACAUGAGCAUUUUCUUGGACCCUUUUGGAGAAAUCUUUAUUAGGGUCAUUUUCAAAAAUGAUUCUGAGGGUUCCACCAAUCCUCAUUUCAAAUUUAAAUGAAAUUUAAAUAUGAUGCACAAAUGGCUAGCUAGUCUAAGUCAUACCAGACUAGGGAUGUGACAACUGCCAAGCUUGGGGGAGGUGCCCCGGUAUCGUAUCACCAUCACACUCCUAUGUUUACCGCUUUAUUUAGUUCGAUCCUUUUAGUAGUAUCUUGAUCUAGUAGUUUUGAUAUCAAGUAGUUUGAGUUUUGCCUUGUGAUCUCUUUAUGUAUUUGAGUCCGUGACCUAUCUACAAUAAAGAUUAGUGUUGAGUCAAGGGCUUUGCUAUGUGCUAUGAUCUUGAGAAAGUAUAAAGAAUAAAAGAGUUCAUAUUGAUCUUACGGAUAGUGAUAACUUCACACAUAGAAAGUAUGAGGCAUUAAAAUUGUUGAGAGUUGAUGAACGUAGCCUUGGUCAUCGUUGCAAUUAAUAGGAAGUGAUAAGGAAAGAGGGGUUCACAUAUAGAUAUAUUAUCUUGGACAUCAUUUAUGAUUGUGAAGCACCCAUUAAGUAUGACAUGCUAAAAGAGUUGACGUUGGACAAGGAAGACAACAUAAUGGUUUAUGUUUUCCGACAUCUCAGUUAAAGUAUAUUUUCAUUGACCUUCCAAACAUGUUGAGCUUGCCUUUCCCCCUCAUGCUAGCCAAAUUCCUUGCACCAAGUAGAAAUACUACUUGUGCUUCCAAAUAUCCUUAAACCCAGUUUUGCCAUGAGAGUCCACCAUACCUACCUAUGGAUUGAGUAAGAUCCUUCAAGUAAGUUGUCAUCGGUGCAAGCAAUAAAAAUUGCUCUCUAAAUAUGUAUGACUUAUUAGUGCAGAGAAAAUAAGCUUUGUACGAACUUGUUGUGGAAGUAAUAAAAGCGACGGACUGCAUAAUAAAGGUCCACAUACAAGGGGUAAUAUAAAGUGACGUUCUUUUGCAUUAAGGUUUUAUGCAUCAACCCUAAACGCGCAUGACAACCUCUGCUUCCCUCUGCAAAGGGCCUAUCUUUUACUUUAUGUUUUUACUUUAUGCUUGAGUCAAGGUGAUCCUCAUAUUUCACUUUUCAUUUUAUCCUUUGGCAAGCUCCUCGUGUUUGAAAGAUCAUGAUAUAAAUAUCCAAUUGGAUGUAAGUUAGCAUCGGCUAUUAUUGUUGACAUCACCUAAAGGUGAAUACGUAGGGAGGUAACACAAGAAGCCUCUAUCUUUCUCAAUGUCCGGCUGAAACUCUAUAACCACAAGUACUGCAUGAGUGUUAGCAAUUGUAGGAGACUACGAGAUAGUUGAGUAUGUGAGCUUGUUGAAAAGCUCUAUUAUUGACUCUUUCUGAUGUUACGAUAAAUUCCAAUUGCUUCAAUGACUGAGAUUAUAGUUUUUUAGUUCCCAAUGAAGUUUUUGAACCAUACUUGACAUUGUGAAUUGCUUGUUACUUGAGCAUAGGAAAUCAUAUGACAAAAUCUAUAUAUGUUGCUGUUAUUAGAAUGAUCAUGAUGCCCUCAUGUCCGUAUUUUAUUUUUAUCAACACCUCUAUGUCUAAACAUGUGGACAUAUUUUUCGAUUUCGGCUUCCGCUUGAGGACAAGCGAGGUCUAGGCUUGGGGGAGUUGAUAUGUCCAUUUUGCAUCAUGCUUUUAUUUUAAUAUUUAUUGCAUUAUGGGCUGUUAUUACACAUUAUAUCUCAAUACUUAUGGCUAUUCUCUCUUAUUUUACAAGGUUUACCAUGAAGAGGGGGAAUGCCGGCAGGUGGAAUUCUGGCUGGAAAAGGAGCAAACGUUGGAAACCUAUUUUGCGCAACUCCAAAAGUCCUGAAACUCCAUGAAACAACUUUUUGGAAUUAAUAAGAAUUUCUAAGCGAAAGAAAUAGGCCAGGGGCCCACACCCCGUCCAGGAGACAGGGGCGCCCCCCCUAUAGGGCGCGCCCCCUAUCUCCCUGGCCCCCUGGUGGGCCUCCGGUGUCCAUCUUCUGCUAUAUCAUCACUUUUACCUUAAAAAAAUCGUGAGAAAGCUUACGGGACGAAACUCCGCCGCCACGAGGCGGAACCUUGGCGGAAUCAAUCUAGGGCUCAGGCGGAGCUGUUCUGCCGGGGACACUUCCCUCCGGGAGGGGGAAAUCAUCACCAACGUCAUCACCAACGAUCCUCUCAUCGGGAGGGGGUCAAUCUCCAUCAACAUCUUCACCAGCACCAUCUCCUCUCAAAACCCUAGUUCAUCUCUUGUAUCCAAUCUUGUAUCAAAACCACAAAUUGGUACCUGUGGGUUGCUAGUAGUGUUGAUUACUCCUUGAGGUUGAUGCUAAUUGGUUUACUUGGUGGAAGAUCAUAUGUUCAGAUCUUUUAUGCAUAUUAUUACUCCUCUAAUUAUGAACAUGAAUAUGCUUUGUGAGUAGUUAUGUUUGUUCCCGAGGACAUGGGUGAAGUCUUGCUACUAGUAGUCAUGUGAAUUUGGUAUUCGUUCGAUAUUUUGAUGAGAUGUAUGUUGUCUUUUCCUCUAGUGGUGUUAUGUUAACGUCAACUACAUGACACUUCAACAUUAUUUGGGCCUAGAGGAAGGCAUAGGGAAGUAAUAAGUAGAUGAUGGGUUGCUAGAGUAACAGAAGCUUAAACCCUAGUUUAUGUGUUGCUUCAUUAGGGACUGAUAUGGAUCCAUAUGUUUAAUGUUGUGGUUAGGUUUACCUUAAUAUAUCUUUUGUAGUUGCGGAUGCUUGCAAUAGGGGUUAAUCAUAAGUGGGAUGCUUGUCCAAGUUAGGGCAGUACCCAAGUACCGGUCCACCCACAUAUCAAAUUAUCAAAGUACCAAACGCGAAUCAUAUGAGCGUGAUGAAAACUAGCUUGACGAUAAUUCCCAAUGUGUCCUCGGGAGCUCCUUUAUUAUUAUUAGAAAUUGUCCAGGCUUAUACUUUGCUACAUAAAGGAUUGGGCCACAUUGCUGCACUUUAUUUACUUUAUUUACUUGUUGCUCGUUACUACUUAUCUUAUCACAAAACUAUCUAUCACCUACAAUUUCAGUGCUUGCAGGGAAAACCUUACUGAAAACCGCUUAUCAUUUCCUUCUGCUCCUCAUUGGGUUCGACACUCUUACUUAUCGCAAGGACUAUGCUAGAUCCCUACACUUGUGGGUCAUCACCCAGUAGCUACUUCGGGCUCGUGAAGCGGCUGGUCAGUGCCUGCCCUCGACUUGAUGCCAUUAAGUGGUCGGUCUGCAUCGAAGGCGCGCGAAUGGCCUUCGCCCGAGUCAAGAUGCAUUGGAUGAAGAUGGACGUCGUGAAGCUUGUGACCGAGGGACUGCCCACGGGCAAGGAGCACCGCACGCCCGAGCUGUAUUUUGACAAUGUCUUGGAGGGAUCCCGCAUUCUGGCGGAGCAAUGUGCUAAGGAUAUUAUAUUUCCAUGAAUACAUUCAUGUUAUCCUGUCCUAUACUAUGAACCAGAACUGUUAUGUAAUAUAAUGUCUGUUAUUUAAAAUUUUACCUCCUGUCCAGCCGUUUUGUUAAAUCUGAGAGUUGGCCAGUCGUCAGCUUCAGCCCCCACGUAGCUAGUACGGUGGUGUUCGGGAUGAAUUUAAACACUCUUUAUCCCAAAGUUUUGGUCCUUAAAGGAGGUGUUUAGCACAACGAACCAGGCAAUCGGACUAUGUGGCUUUAUCACCCUCACUUAGCCAUAGGAGUUUGACAAUAACAAUUUAGGUGCAGCCCCUAGUGUUUGUAAGUCCGAACUUGGGGUGUUGUAAACACCUAAUUGGAUAAAAACCGAUUCAUCGCAUAAUGCGGAAAAAAUCGCAAAAGAUUUGUAACCUCUCGAACAGCUGACGGGCUCACGCCGCAUCAUGAUAGUCAGUUUUCGGCUUUCUCUACUAAGGUGCUCAUCCGGAUAAACCAUGACAUAAUCGCAGUAGUUCUCCCUUUACUACCCUAGCCGAUAUAGCGGAAUGUAAGGUAGUAAGCACUGGAGCCGGGCAACCCAACUAUUGACCAAAGACAUGAUUCGGAGCUGAUGCAUAUAAUGUUAAAGUUUGGGGUGCCGAAAUAUACUGUAAAAAAGUGUUCGGACUUUGUUACCGUAUUAUGGGGCGUAAUGAAGCCCCUGGCAAAUUAAGACGUACUAGAGUGUACGGGUGCAAUUGAUAAGAAUAUCAAGAAAAAGAAAAAUGAAGUGAUAGGCUAAUGCUGCAGAAAUUGGGCCGCAAACUAUUUUCCAUUGUAGUUUGAUUAAUACGUCAAAGCGUAUUUGUACAAUUAGUGCGAUAGGAAGCAUGGCUAUUUAACAUGCCACGGCCAAGGGAGAGCUGCGUGCGGGUUUUUAAAACAGGCGUAAUGAUCGUUUAAAGAGACCACUUGGGAAUGCCCUUAUACGUCAAUGCUUCUUGCCGUCUUGGUGUAUCCGUCCUUUGAUAGGCCCGACAAUCAGGCCACCAGGAAAGGCCUGGAAAAAAGAAACCUGAAAAAAAAAGUGAAAGUAUGCAGGUCCAGAGGAGGUUGAGCCGUAUUAUGGACCACGAUCUAGCCGUGCCUCCAUCUAUGCCCAUGGUAUUUUGAGUGCGAAGUUAUGUAGGCACGGUACGAAUGCCACCGUUUGGUCGGGACUAGGACAGAGGACGAAUUGCUAGUCAAGCUCUUGAUGAGAUGGACUGUCCUACUGCAGAGUAGUUCAUACUCGUUUGACAGUGUCUAGGAGCUUGGCCGCCGAAUUAAGGUUCUGCCUGAAAAGGUCGCUCUGUGCUUCUGCUGUGAGGGCAGCGGUGUGCUCCUCGGUAAGGAGGGAGCGUUCCAUGUUUCCAUUGUCUGUUAUGACACCGCGUGGUCCGGGCAUCUUGAGCUUGAGAUAAGCGUAGUGUGGCACCGCAUUGAAUCGAGCGAAUGUGGUUUGUCUGAGCAGUGUGUGAUAGCCACUGCGGAAGGGGACCAUAUCAAAGAUCAACUCUUCGCUUUGGAAGUUGUCCGGGGAUCCAAAGACCACCUCUAGUGUGAUUGAGCCCGUAUAGCGGGCCUCCACACCUGGUAUGACACCUUUAAAGGUGGUUUUUCUGGCCUUGAUCCUUGAUGGAUCAAUACCCAUUUUGCGCACUGUAUAUCCUGAUAGAGCAGGUUCAGGCUGUUGCCACCGUCCAUGAGGACUCGCGUAAGAUGGAAUCCAUUAAUGAUUGGGUCGAGGACUAGUGCGGCAGAACCGCCAUGACUGAUACUGGUCGGAUGGUCCCUGCGAUCAAAGGUGAUCGGACAGGACGACCAUGGGUUGAACUUUGGGGCGAUUGGUACCAUCGCGUAGACGUCCCUAAGCGCGCGCUUGCACUCCCUCUUGGGGAUAUGGGUGGCGUAUAUCAUGUUCACCAUUUUAACUUGGGGGAAACUUCUUCUGUCCCCCUGUGUUCGGUGGCCGGGGCUCCUCAUCAUCAUCCUUGCUUUGUGACCCCUUCUCCUCGUUCUCGGCAUUUAACUUGCCGGCCUGUUUAAAAACCAAAUAUCUCUGUUGGUAUGAUUGGCUGGUUUAUCAGGAGUGACGUGGAUUUGACAUGGACGAUCGAGUAUGCGGUCCAAGCUGGAUGAGCCCGGAUUGUUUCUUUUAUAUGGCUUAUUCCGCUGACCGGACUUAGAGCCACUGAAUCCGGCGUUGACCGUCGUGUCCUCAGUGUUGUCACUGUUUGCUUCGACGCUUGUGUCUGUUGCGUUGGGGCUUGCCGUUGCUAUUUCUGGCUUCAGAAGUGCCAGGUUCGCUUGUAUUGUUAUUGCUACAGGCUAGGCAGCUAUCUUCUCCCGCGCAGAAGUGGGUCAUAAGCGUCGUGAGGGCUACCAUGGACUUCGGCUUUUCUUGGCCGAGGUGUCGGGCGAGCCAUUCAUCACGGAUGCUAUGUUUAAAGGCCGCUAGGGGUUCGCCAUUCAUCCAGAUGAACUCCAUCACGGAUGUUUUAGUUAAGAACCUAGUCCAGAAUUUCCUAGCUGACUCUCCGGGCUGUUGAACUAUGUGACUUAAGUCGUCGGCAUCCGGAGGUCAGACAUAUGUGCCAAUUGAGUUUCCGGGCAAACUUUUUCACCAGUGCCGAGCAGGUCCCUUGAGUUUUAGCGGGAGGUAUUUGAUGGCGUGAAGAUCAUCACCGCGGGCCAUAUGAAUAUGGAGGAGAAAAUCCUCAAUCCAUACCGCGGGGACUAUUGUCCCAUCAUAUGAUUUGAUGUUCACGGAUUUAAACCCUUCCGGUAAUUCAUGCUCCAUUACUUCAGGCCAAGUCACGACGUAGCUCGGAUGGAGUUCAUCUGGGGUUUUCAGCCCGGGCAUGGUUAUGUUUGUCACGUCUGGCCGGAUGGCCAUCGUCGCGCAUCGGGGCAUGCCCCCGCGAUCCGUAGAUCGAUCUGGUCUGACGUGCUCUAUUUUCCAAGUCAUGGCGCAGGUCAUAUGUGUAUCCCCGAGCUGUUGUGUCUCUGUUUUUACGGCGAGGUAGUGCGGGCUGGUAUUCGGCUCGAGUUGCCGCUUUGUCUCGGCCACGUGGUGGUCGGUCAGCCGCAUCAUGCGCUGGUAGGACGGGAUCCAGCGCCUCCUCAUCGAAUUGGGGUAACAUUUUGCGCUUCGGGUAACUUUUGGUUGGGCGCUCGAGGCCGUAUUCUUCGGCUGCUAGGACAUUAGUCCAUCUAUCAUUGAGCAGAUCUUGAUCAUCUUGAAGCUACUGCUGCUUCUUUUUAGGCUCGUUGCAGUGGCUAUUAGCCGGCGCUUAAAGCGCUCCUGAUCGACGGGCUCCUCAGGCACGAUAAGGCUUCGUCGUCGAGGCUUGCCUCGUCCUCGGAGAGUGGAAGAUAAUUACUGUCCUCCUAGUCUUUGUUAACAGCCUGUUCAUUGGGGCUUACUCACCCAUCCUCCCGUUCAUCCUGUUUGGAAUUUGACUCAACGAGGUCUUCGUUGUCUUCGGCAUCGUUCGGAGUAUUAUUUUCUCCUGUGCCGGUAUUGCUGUUUUUUCCAUGGCGUGAUUUAGAACGGCGCCACUGAUGUUGGCGCUUUGUCUGUAUCUUAGGAGGCUUAUCCUCGACUGGAUCCUUCUCAUUGUCAUUGUUGUUCUCUUUGGGUGUAUCCACCAUGUAUACGUCGUACGAGGAGGUGGUUGUCCAGCACCCUAUAAGCGGUGGUUUUUGUGCCUGCUCCUCUCCGGCAUCGUCGUCCAUACCGCCGAUGUCUUUGGAGACGUAAUUGAGCAUGUCGGUUAAGUCUUUGACAGUGGCUAUGAAGUGGGUGGUGGGUGGGAAGUGGAAUUCUCCGUCAUCAGCUUCCAAUUCAAGACGGAUAUAGAUCGGCUGAGAGCCCCCUGACAAGGAGAGGGCUUUUAAUGAGUUUAGCACAUCGCCUAAAGGUGAGUGCUGGAAGAUGUCCGCGGAACUGAAUUCAACGAUCAGCGCCUGAUCAAUGGGCGCGGAUGCACACGGUUUGGAACCUAUGGUCGGAGAUGAAUCCGAGGUUCCGGUGACAUAGGCCUCGCUCGAGGUUGGAUCUGUGUACGGCUCUAACGCCGCUGAGUCUGCGGCUUCCGUGGCGAGGUUGAGCCUUCCGUCCUCGGUCGGCGCAGUCUGCUCUGGGUCUAGGUCCAGAACAGUUAUAGGUGCUAUCUCCUGGGCACGGUCCGAUGAUAGAUUUAGGUCAUGUCCAUCGUGGUGGCAGGGAGUGGCUGUCAUGGGCUCGAAUCUGUCGAAGAUCAAGUCUCUGCGGAUAUCGGCAACGUAGGUCAACCUUCCAAACCUGACCUGAUGGCUAGGGGCAUAGCUGUCGAACUGCUCUAGAGGGCCAAACGAGUUGGCCCGUAGUGCGAAGCCGCCGAAUACGAAGAUCUGUCCGGGGAGGAAAACCUCCCCCUGGACUGCAUUCUUGUAGAUGAUUGAUGGAGCAAUCAAACCUUUUGGUGAUGAUGCAGCGGAACUAUCAAUGAAAGCACCAAUUUCAAUGUCAAAACCGGCGGAUCUCGGGUAGGGGGUCCUGAGCUGUGCGUCUAAGGUUGAUGGUAACAGGAGGCGGGGGACAUGAUGUUUACCCAGGUUCGGGCCCUCUCUAUGGAGGUAAUACCCUACUUCCUGCUUGAUUGAUCUUGACGAAUAUGAGUAUUACAAGAGUUGAUCUACCACGACAUCGUAAUGGCUAAAAACCCUAUAAGUCUAGCCUGUAUGAUUAUGAUUUCCUAUUCGGACUAAACCCUCCGGUUUAUAUAGAUACCGGAGGGGACUAGGGUUGUACAAAGUUGGUUAUAGAGAAAGGAAUCUUCAUAUCCGAACGCCAAGCCUGCCUUCCACGCCAAGGAGACACUACUAGGGAAAAGCCUAUACACAGAACUUUAGCAGUAGCGAGGGUCAAAAAAGCACGCUGGUGCUAAGUAGCAGUAGCGCGCCUGAGAAAACCGUGCUGCAGAUAUAGUUCUAGCAGUAGCGCGUCUUGCUCUAAACACGUUACUACUAAAAUUCCCACGGCUUAGCCGAUAGGUUACACAUAGUAGUAGCGACCUAUAAUGAACCGCGCUACCGCUACUCUAUUUGUAGCAGCGCGUUUUAAUCUAAAGUCGCUACUGCUAAAGAAUAUAAAAUUAAAUGGAAAGAAAAUAGAAAGGUAACUGAAAAUGAAAGAAAUAGAAUAAGGUGAAAGGAAAAAAAUAAAAUGUGAAGAAAACUAAAUGAAAAAGGAGAAAAAAGAGAAAGGAGUAGCAGUAGCGUGUAUCCCAGAAUGCACUGUAGCUAACGUAGCAGCAAUGCUCUUCCUGGAACGCGCUACUGCUACUUCUGACUUAACCACGGGGUUCGUCCUUCCCCAUGGCCACUUCUCCCAAAUCCAACUCUCCACUCUCGCCACCGCCGUCGCCCGUUGGCCGCCGCGCGCUCUCCGCACACCCUCUAUGCCGCCCCGACCCCAGAUUCAACACCGCCCCCGCCCCCGACCUCAAUGCCGCCCCGGACGCCGCCCCCGACCCCGACCUCGACGCCGCCAUCCGCCGCGCGCCUGAGCCCUGACCCUGACCUCGACGCUGUCGUGCCCCUCCCUCGUCGCAGGCACCCGUGGUGAGCACGCCUGCUCCUCCCUCUCCCCUACCUCUGCAUAGGGUUUCUUUAUAUUCUAGUUGCAUCAAAUUAGUUAGGGUUCAUGUAAGAGUGGAAACAAAUCGGAUGCGGAUGCGGCUCAAAUGAGUUAGGGUUCAUGUAAGGGUGGAAACGAAUCAAAUUUCUAAGAUGAAUCAUAAAACGAGUAAAAUUUGACCACUUAUUUCACUUUAUAGUUGGACAAUUGGAAUAUCCGCUACCACUUUCCACCCCUAUAGGUUCAUCAAAUUAGAUGGGAAUUAGGGCAGUAGUUCCUAGGUACUAAUUAGUUACUAAGAACUAGGUACUAAUUAGUUAGUAAGAACUAGGUACUAAUUAGGUACUAGAAUAUUUUUAUUUAUAGUAAGUUUAUUUUUAGUAAGAACUAGUUGAAUUAAUAGAACUGGUUAGUAAGAACUUGUUGCCAUUUUUUAGUUAAAGCAAUUUUUCCCACCUCGAUGUGGACGAUGCCUAUCCCACAUCCUCGUCGUCGAGUCGGUGGAGGACGACACCCGCUUGACCAGAUGGGCCAUGUCCGGGACUGGGCUCCGCCGGGGUGGUACUGGGAGGCGCUACCUACCCGGGGGCGCAGGUUGGUGAGGAGCCAGCCUGUCAUUGACCCGAACCUUCUUUGGUGGCGGUCGCGUGGGCCAGUGACGGUCCAGAGGCUCGACGACUCCGCGGAGGUGGUGCGUCACCGUGUCAGUGAGGAGGACGCGCACGUCCGUCGCUACUUGUUUGCAUUGGAGCACAGGUUCUCCAUUACCUGGCAGGUUCUCCAGGGAUCUCACUUGAGCUAUGAUCCCGUGAUGAUUCCUUCUCUGUGGGUGUCCACCGCUCGCGCUGAUACCCGUUGUGUGCUAGGGUUUUAGUUGUAUUAGUGAUGUUAUAUGUAUGACACUAUUCGUGAUGUAUUAGUGAUAAUAUUCGACGAUGUACGGACGCAUGAGAUGAUUUACUUUUGCUUAUUGAAUGCAUGCUGAUUCGAGUCCUAUAAGAUAUUUUGAAAUGUAUAUCUUGUGUUGCUCAAUAUCUAAGUGGCCGGUCAUGUUUGCAGGUUACACCUCCGAGUGGCCUAUGUUUUGCCGUAGUGUUGAUUCAUUUCCGUUCCGGCAAAUUUCAGGCACUCGAUAUGUCCUAUUUUAGCAAAGGUUAUGCCGGAUUUUUCCAUGAAUUUUGGCAUGACUUGUGCCAGAAUAUGUAGGAAAUAUCGAGUGCCCCGGAUUUGUGUGUUGAGUAUCCUGGUAGUUGUCUUUGAUAGAUUUUCAAUUAAUGUAUUAACUAUGAACAUAGGAAAUGACUGACGAUGAAAAGGAUUUCGGUAUUUGCAAAUACUGCGAAGACGAGCGCAGCCUGUGCGACAGAAUCUUCCUAGAUGAUGAUAGGUGCUUCAGCAUCAGGCUGGACGAGAACUUCGAAGUGGAUACAGUAAGUCACAAUGACAAGUCUUUUUCGUUAUUAAGCAUGACAUUUGCUUCAUUUGCUUCAACUUAUAAUUUAAGCAUGACAUUAAGGAUGACAAGUCUUUUGUUUUACUAUUCUACUAGCGUAUCCCCUGCCAUGCAAGAGUUUUUGUAUUGGAUAAGAUAGGUUUCAGUCGUACUAUGGAGGAAAAGAAAUUUCACUUGAAGACCGAGCAUGGUUAUAUUUUCAACGUAAAAUUAUACAAUUCAGACGACUACACAUAUUUUGGAUGCAAAACAUGGCGAGCACUAUGCAAGACUUAUGCAUUUGAGCCUGAUAUGGUUAUCACCUUUGAUAUUCGUCCGGAAGAUGAUAUUAAAGGUAAUACCGACAUCUGGGUCGAUGUGCAGACGCCUCCAGUUAUACCAUUAUGUAAGUUUCUCAACCAUAUUUAUGUCUUUGAUAUUGUUUAUUCAAAAAUAGUUCACAACUAAUUUGUAUUGUCAGCUUAUUUCGGUGCAAGCAAACAUGUCCAGCGCUUGAUAGACAGGACCGUAUACUGUACCGGGGCUGAACUCAACUAUGAGGAGCUCAGUCAUUAUGUUUUAUGGCUUGUGGAUCUUGAUACUGUCAAGACAAAUUUUCUUCCUGCAUUUAGAAAUGUUAGUACUGAAAACAUGCGACCAAUAGUGUUCGUAAUGAACUACGGUCACAUCUAUUUAGGAAGGAUGGUAAGAUUUUUACUAUUUGUCAUCAGUGCAUCUUUUCCAUACAUUAUUUAUGAAGCUAAACUUCAUUGCUAAGUAUGUUACCGUACGAUGUUCUUCAACAGGGACUCCCAAUGAAUGUUGUGCCUUAUGGCAUCGAGACUAAAGGUACCAUGAGUAUUAUUAGCUUACGGCCAAGAUAUCCUACAGAUUACUCUAGUGCAUUCAAGAUUAGCGAUGGAUGCUUAAUAGUGCAAGACUGGACCAAAUAUGUGAUGGGGGAGCACAGACAAGUACUAGGGGGCAAAGCACAAGCGCAACCCACGAUUAGGAGACAGGUUCAUCUGCAUGCUCCAACUUGAUCAAGGAGGAGAGCUACACAUGUUUUAUGUUAUUUUACCUGAGAGAGAGCAGCAGGAGUGAUUAGCUAGCUAGAAAUGAGUUUGAAGAUGAUGAUGUGCUACACUAUUAAUAUGAUGAUAAAAUAGCUUGUGUUGGUGGUAAUGACUAUGUAAUGACUAUGAUGAUUAUUAUUAGCUAGUGUUAGUGGUGAUUAAAUAAAUACUAUUGGUGGUAAUGACUAUGAUGAUGAUUAAAUAGCUUGUGCUGGCGGAUUAGAUUCAAGUGGAGGCAACAUGUGGUGCACAUCGAAAGUACUACUAGUCCAAACUAGAUCAAGUUUGGAUUAGUAGUAUACUUUUGACAUGCACCACCUAUUGCCUCCACUUGAACCUAAUCCACCUUCAUUUGACACACUGUUAUGGACAUAAUGAUGUAAACCUCAUAACUGGUAUUGUACCAAUAUUUAUACGAUGGCACAUAAAUACACUAAAAAUAAAAAAAUAAAAAAGAAUACUAGUAGCGAUGGAGAGAACACGCUCCCAAUAGUUACAUUAGCAGUAGCGUGGGAUUGAAUAAACGCUGCAGCUAUUUGUCCUAGCAGUAGCGCGUGCGGGCACGUGUUACUGCUAAGCAAUAGCUGUAGCGCCUUAUUAGUAGUACGCCUACCCGCGCUACUAGUGAGCACAAAACCAGCGAUACUGCUAUGGUUUUCCCUAGUAGUGAGAGUCCCAUCCGGACAAGGGAAGAAGUCUUCUGUCUUGUAUCUCCACAACCCAUCAGUCUGGCCCACGUUACAUAGUCCGACCGUCCGAGGACCCCUUAAUCCAGGAAUCCCUCAAGGUCCACAAAUCAUAGUGAAUGAGCUCAAAUGGCGCAUAAGUGCGGCUAGUAGAGGGGGAGAAAGGUAGUCUAGGUUGGUGCCCUAAUUGGCAAGCAUUACAAGGGCCAUUGUAUGGCUUAUUACAUGGAAAGGGAAAAGCACUAGUAAUGGAGCACUACAAGAAAUAUGUCAACUUGCGACCAUCACUAUUGGUCACUGAAAGGUCAUUGUUUUUCAUUUGUGACCUUUUUCGACCAAAAUCAGAUGGUCAAAACAUGAUGGUCAUAAACUGAAAUUAACGACCUUCUCUGUGAGAAGGUUGUACACGUUUACGACCAAAACAAAAGGUCGUUGAACCCAUGACCUUUCGUUUUGGUCACUAGCUGUCUGCCAAGGCCAUGUCGGAUCCAAUGUGGCAAGCUGACGUGGAAAAUUUGUGACCAAAUGAAAAGGUCGUUGACAAGAAUCAGCCCGGUCUGAUUCAACGCUUUACAUGGGCCAGGCCCAACAAUUCAGCCUUUAUAUAUAUAUUUUUCUGUCAAUUUUUGAUCGGCUUCAUGGGCCAGGCCCAAAAAUCUGGCCUUUUUAUAUUCACAAUUCACCCUUUUUUAUAUUCUGGGUCGUGGCCUUUUAAUAGUCAAUUUCUUAUUAUUUUCACCCUUCUCUAACGAGCUUUUUCUGUUAAAUAAACAGCUCCAAACCAACUUAGUUUGGGCCAUGGCCUAUUCAGGCCCAGUACUAUUUUCUGCCAUAUUCAACCCAUAUGUAGUAGCAUGUUCACAAUUUUCAUAAUCUUCAUGUCAUUUAAAGAAGCAUAUACAUAGGGAAUACAACAUUUAAUUACAUAGGAAUACGUCAUCUACACAAUUUGCCUUAACUUACUACUACAUAACAUUGUUCAACUUGUAUUAGCACAUCUGGUACUGUCCUAAUGGUAAGAACCAAGUAGUACAAACUUCAUUGCUCCCUCUGAUGUGCUCAAGAUGCGACAACUUGCCUUCCUACAAAAACAUAACAUAACAUUAAUAGAUCAAUCAAGGAGGAAAGGGAAAAAAACAGGCUCAAAUCAUCACGCACACAAAUAACAACGUAAUACAUUAAUGUAUUGUAAUAAAAAUAUAUGUAUAAUCAGGGCAAUUUCCAGCCAACAUGCGUACAUGAAUCACAAUAGAACUAGCAAAAGCGGAUUAAUUAUCAGCAACAUGUGUGCCAUGUACAAAACUGAAGAAGAUUUUUACCAAAAUAGAAGGAAGGACUUGAGCUACCAUGUGAUGUGCAUGCAUUUGGUACAAGGAAAGCUCUGCUGCUGAUUCCACGCUCUUCCCCAGUUAUUGGGUAUGAAAGAGUUGUGAAGGCUGCUGCUUCUAAGGUCCAGUAGGCAAAUUCAAUAAAAGGGUGGUGGGUUAUCACCAACAAUGUCCUUGUUUAAGUUAUUUGAUGUUCAUAUUAACCUAUCAGUCUGUUGUUAGCCUUAUCCACACAGAUUAUACGCAGCUGAGUGAGAAAUCAGAUUAUGUGGACACACCAUAUAUAACCUGACAAGAGCAGAUGCUACCUCUCAGACUGGUUUUUCAUUCCAUUUGAUAUUGCUGAUUUUUUAUAGCUUUCUCAGAGUAGUAUAACUUUUCAUUCAGUGGCCCUAAAUAAAAAUCUUGCGAUAAAAAUAGAAAUAUAUUGUGAUGGUAUAAGUUGGUUGUGCUGCCAUCAUGGAGUGUAAAUAAGAACAUGGCACAUAGUUGAAAACAGCCAGCAGAGACCUGAACCAGUCAGGAAUUCAUGGCAGCAGGCAAGCAAAUCAAUUUGGCAAAUAGUGCAAUGCCAAGUGAAUUUAGUCAAGCAUGUAAGUGAGUUCAGAGCAGUAGCACUAGGGACUAGGGAUUGACAUCAAUGAAUUGCUGCUGCCCCAUGGUUGGGUAUGAAAGUGAAUUUAGAGCAACAGAAAAAUUAGGGAACGUGAGAGAGGUAGAGGGAGGCUCAACAAUGAAUUGCUGCUGCCCCAUGGUUGGGUAUGUAAUUGUCGACGCUCCUCCUUGUGGAUGCCGAGGUCGGAGACGCCGGAUCCAUGUGGGCAUCCAUCUCCCAUCCGCAUGAGCUGAAGCAAACCAUAGCAGGUAGUCCACUAGAACCUUCUUCCUCUUUGGUCGCACGAGCGGCGUCUAGAGAUACGCCAUGGCCGGAGGCUGACUUCUAAAAUGAAAAAGAGCACAAUGAGAUGUUAGCUGGGCCAUGAUGAUAUAGUAGUAACAGGGAAGCAUACCAGGGAUAAACUGUACACAGGAAAGGCAAUAAAUAACAAAAGCAGCAGUAACAUAUUCUCAUGACAACCAGGACAUUACCAUCCAAAUUCCAUUUUACCAUGUACUGUAUAGUUUAAAAGUGAAGCAUAUCAAGAAGAAAUUGUACACCGGCAAGGCUGAAAAGAAGAACAGAACAUUAGCAUUGUCAUGGCCCCCAAAGACAAAUAUUGACCAAGGGGUGUAUCACUAAGACUCGUCCAUCCCAAUUCCAUUCUAAAUUUUUGAUUGUCAAAUAAUGGCAAGAAAUUAUGCGAAAAUGGUGCAGCAACAUGGAUGAGCAUAUCCUAUUACACUAACAGAUGCUAUUACGGACAACGCAAUGCAUCUGCUAGUGAAAUGUGUCAAAUUUGAACCACGGCUGCCUUAUAGUUUGCUCUUUAUUUUUUCCAAAAAUCAUUUAUAGUUACAUAAGUAUCUAUUUAAUCAGAAAUACAUGGGUUGGUGGCGAUACAUCGAGGUUUGGACAGUGGCCGAGGGCCCCAACUCCGGAGCGCGUAAACUGGCAUGCCCGCCGCAUGGUCACUGCAUGACCGCGGUGUUUCCAUAUGUUCUGGGCGGCCUAGGCAUGUCUAGUGGGUUCGACACUCCCCAGGUAGGUUCUAGAAAGUAAAUUACAACAUAAGGUUCUCACAAGAAGACCGAACUAUGCUCAAACAUGAAUUAGCAGCCAAGUGUUUGAUUAGCGGUACGGGAAAUGCACAUGGCUAAUGGGCGUGAGUUUUGGCUGAGGAUGAUCGGUUACUAAGAAGACUGUCUUCACAAACUUUCAUCUCAAGAGGAGGAGUCUAGGUGGUACUUGCUUUACAAAGUACCACACUGGAUAUAAAUACGAAUAUUGAAGCUGGGCUCAAAAUAAUGAAUGGGAUUGAGCUGAAAUUUGGUGGAGGAUGGUUAUUUGGGCAUAGGAAAGCACUGUAGAAAAUGGAUACCAUUUGGACAUGCCAAAGUGUUACUUCCUUCACAAUGCUCUUCUCUCGACAGAAACUUCGGGAAAUUAGUGAGAGAAAUUGGCUAACUGAAAUGAGCUCAAAUUUGGUGUAGGUAAGUUGCAUAGGCAUAUAGAAUAUGUGGCAAAAAUUCAACUCAUUAGGAUAUGCAUAGCUAGUACUUCUUUCACAAAGGUUCUAGGUGGACAAAAACUUUGGAAAUUUGCCGAGGAAGAUUUACUGGGCAAAUGGAGCUGAAUUUUGUCAUGAGGCAAUGAUUUGGAUAGGAAAGAGUGCCCAAAAUUUUUGAGGGCAACUAAGAAUAUAUAAAUAACACUUCCUUCACAAUGCUCUUCUCUGGACAGAAACUUCAGAAAAUUAAUGAGAGAAAUUGGCUAAAUGAACUGAGCUCAAAUUUGGUGUAGGUAAGUUAUAUAGGCAUAUAGAAUAUGUGGCAAAAAUUCAACUCAUUAGGAUAUGCACAGCUAGUACUUCUUUCACAAAGGUUCUAGGUGGACAAAAACUUUGGAAAUUUGCCGAGGAAGAUUUACUGGGCAAAUGGAGCUGAAUUUUGUCAUGAGGCAAUGACUUGGAUAGGAAAUAGUGCCCAAAACUUUUGAGGGCAAUCAAGAAUAUAUAAAUAGCACUUCCUUCACAAAGUGUUGUUUUGAACAUAAUAGGAAAAUGAAUAUUGUUGAAUUAUUUUUGAACUAGGCAAGGAAGGUUUUUACAUAUUUGAUGAAGAUAUGACCCAAAGAAUUUAUGAGAUUUUUUUUGUGAAUUUUGGGAAUGACAGAAAUAUAGGUUGCUUCACAACCUAGGGUAAAAAUUAACACAUGGAACAUGACACAUAGGCAAAACUGAUGAGGUGGCGCCUAGUCAUAGCAACCCACCAUAAUUUACAAGGUUAUGACCAUCUAUAUUGGUCGUGAUCAGCUAGAAAUAAGGCAGCGGACCAGUGCUAUCUGCUUUAUGACCAUUUUGUGUAAGGAAAUUAUGACCUUUCUGACCAAAAUGGUCGUUAUAGUUCAGGGUUUGGAGCCUCCCGAACACCUUUUGACCAAUUGGUCUUAAAUGGUCAUAGAUUUAUGACCAAUUCUUCCAGGGUCACUGACAGAAGGUCACAAGUUGACAUAUUUUUUGUAGUGGAGCUGAAAGACUGAUUGCUUAGAUGGCCGAGGCGAUGGUGCCACACAUCACCGUCGGAGGUGGUAGCGGAGAGGGCAGUGCACCGUGUCGUGUUAUUGCCAAAGAACGGGUAGAGGUUGCCGGAGCUAGCGGAGAUCAGGAUUACCCUCCAUGUGCGAAGAUCCUUCACAAGAAAACCAAAUGGGUAAAAUUCGACAGAACAUAAAUUAUCUUUAGUAAAUUGGCGGACAGAGAUGAGGCUAGUGGUGACGGAGGGGGAGAAAAGAAUGUUGUGUAGUUGGAAAUUAUGGGGACGGAGAGAGGUGGAGCCGGUGGCAUGGAUGGGAAGGUGAUCGCCAUUGCCUACUACAAUGCUAGAGAAUUUACGUUGUAAAGAAGAAUUCGAAUGGUUGAGAUUACCAUGGUUGCUGGUCACGCGGUUGGAGGCGCCACUGUCGAGGUACCACUCGUUGGAGGAAGUGGUGUUGUUGAAGCCCUGGUUGUUGUAGGCGGCGUGAAGAAGAGCCAUGUGAUCCCAUGAUGGUUGUUGGUACAGAGAGGGCGGGGCGUACGGCGAGUAUUGCAUCGGGUACGCCUGAGCAUGAGAUCCCGGACGGGGACCGAGGACUCCGGCGGUGUCCGAAGGCACCCAGCCAGGGCGCGGUGGAGGGAUGGCCAUCCCGUACGGUGCGAAGAACCACAUGUACGGGUUGUACGGCACGGAGGAGGAUCCACCACGUCCUUGUUGUCCGCCACGUCCACGACCACGGCCACGGCCGCGCCCGCGUCCACGGUCACCGCCGCAAUCACCACUGUCGCCGCGCGUGUUGAAGUCGCGCCCAGGGGCACGAUCGUUGCCGCGAUCCUGAGGACGAUCCGCCCGAUCGCCCGUGCGGGUAGUGGAGCUCCCGCCGCUGCUGGAUCCGGAGGUGCCGGAGGGGCCACCUAGCCCAUGGACGGCGAGGACCGUGGCCGGGGCCUCAGCGGUGCGCUGAGCGAGGUUUUCCUCGGUGAGCUUCAGGCGCGAGAACACGGUCUCGAAUGGGGGCAAGGGGACCGUGUCCCCCAGCACGACCCAGUUGGUGUCAAGACGGCCGUCGAUGCCGCGGAGGAACUGCGUGUGAGAUCCACCUCGGAGACCGCAUGGUCGUUGUCGGCGAGACCCGCGGUGAGUAGCUUCAUGCGGCGCGCGUACUCGUCAACAGAGAGAUCGCCCUGUUUGAGAUUGCGGUACUGACGAUUGAGCAUCAUAUACCAAGCCGCACGAUUGGCGAGGAAGUAAUCCCGGAUUCGAGUCCAGAGAUUGAAAGUGGUGGUGGCGCCGAUCACGUGGUCAACGAUCUGAUCUGUGAGGGUGGCAUACAUGGCGAGGGCGACAUGGGUGUCGAGCUCAAGGUACUGGCUGUCGGUGUUGGGUGGAGGAGGGUGCUCGAUCAGGUACUGGACGCCGUAAUGAAUCAGGACCAUGAGGAAGAAGGAUUUCCACUUGUGGUAAGUGUGCUCGGCUGGGUUGAGAAGGAACUUGAUGUGGUUGAUGAUGUCGACGUUGAUAAUAGGAUGUUUGGCCAGAGGGUCGGUGGUGGUUGCGGCGGCAUAGUGGGGGAGAAAAGGGUGGCGAACUAGGAAGAAGCGGGAGCAGUAGCGCUAGGGUUGGCCGGCAAGGUACCGAAGACAAACGGGGGAGAGGUGCCUGCACCAGAGGUGACCGAGGAUGGAGCCAUAGAAGAGAAGGAGGGCGUCGAGGUGGCAGAGAGAGUCGCCGCGGAGGAGGAAGAUGAGCGCUGCUCCGACAUGGCGGCGGCCUGGAGACUACUGAUGCCAAGUUGGAGAAUAAACUUGCUCUCUUGUUGAAUGAAUCACACAUACAUCAAUGUUACAUAUAGACACCCCAUAGAGUGGGCAUGCAGGCCCGGGGAAGUUGGUUCAGAUCCUACAAUCUAGGAGGCGACGUGCACGCUACAUACAAUGUACAGAUACAUGUUAACAUUUUCUUCCUAUUGAUACAUCAAGGAAAAUGUCUGUAAUGAAUAUUUUAUAUAUCUACAUCCAAGAGAGCAAGAGAUCCUAAUCCUAAUGUUAUAUCGUACGCCCUUAUCGAUGUACAUGAGUGAGACCGAGGACCAAAUAUGGCAGCUGAAUGUGCGGAGACAAGAUAAAUGCGCACAGACUCGCCCUUUUGAGCCUCUAGUUUGACACCGUUGUCUUUUGUCACUGCAUGGAAACUUGACACCAGUUGUAUACCCAUGAAAUUUACAAAAAACCGUGAUUUGAUGCAUAAAAUUCGUUGUUGAUUUUCUGGCACAAAAUCGCCGGAUCCAAAAGCGUGUGAUGCAUUUGAAUAGAAGUUUCAUGAAACAGCCAUUGCCUAAAGUUAGUGUCUGCUUAACUUUCGGGGGAUAGAUAGGGGCAGUAGUAGUUCGUAGUACACAUAUAGGCGUCAUACCACAGUACUAGAUCAUGUUGACACGCGUUGUCGCACCCAUUCAUUUUUGUAAUGAAUUAAUUAAAAUAUCCAUAAAUACAUGAAGUUACCAAACACAAAUGUUGAAUUUGCAUAACUUGAUUAAUACAUUUGGGUUUGUGGUUGUAGUGUGGAAGCGAAGAUUGGGCGCACAUUGCCAUGCAGGACCAUCCAUUUUGAUGAACGGAUGUUAGACGUAUAUGAGAAAUGUGGAUGAAUUAAAUUCCUUUGAAAUUCCAACAUUCAUUCAUGGUAUGAGAUUGAAAAGAAUAAACACACAUAUAAUCCUAAUAAAAGAUGAUCUGAUACUUGAAUUCUUGCCAGAGCAUUGCGCUAGUAAAUAAAGCUUCAAAAAAUGUGAGGAAGAUGAUAUGAAGCCUUCCUCGGCAACCACAUUAUUGAAAAAAAAAAGCACAGGAAAACAUAAAAAAAUCUGAAGGAUUACCUUGAUAUUUCUAAGUGACAGGGUGCAUUUUUCCUUCAGCCGUUAUUUCUUCAGAUUUUCUAAAGAAAUAUCCUUUCUUUAAUUAGGAGCCAUCUUUAGCACAAGAGUGACCUGGCUGGUUCUUGUUUCUGAAGUCCUAACAAAAACAAUGGACAGUUGAAGUGGAGUUUUCAACUUUGGUUUGGUACACGUAUGAUGUACUCAGAAAAUGUUCAGUUAAUCUUCUACAUUGUUAGGCUUCAAACUGAAUGCUGGAUUAUUCAUGAGGAACAUUAGGCAAUCGUUCAGUUAGCAUGCAUAAGAUACCUGAACAGGGAGGUACAUCACGAUGAGCAGGGCAGGAACUGCAGCGUGCAGUUAUGCUGUUUGGUGUUCAUUAAGGAUUCAGAGGCGAGACUGAGGAGAGACGGAGGAUGGCAGUGGAUUGAUGACGCCACCGGCGAGCUCCGAGACAAAGCACAACCAUAGAGAAGCAGUUGGUGCCGUUCUCACCCUUCCAUUCCCGCACUCCUGCUUGCACCUUGCAUCCCCGACACCAAGCGAUCGAUUCGGCCAUUCGGGGCAACAUCCUCUUUGGGGAUAUCUUUACCUUGGCGACAUCAGGCACCAUCGGCUGUCUCCAUUCGGCUUCGCGGGGCCAAUCAACAUGAGCCCCGAUGGCUGUCGUACCACCGUUGCAGUUGGUAGAGGGGGCGUCGGACUGUCGCUCGGUGGGGUCGUCGAUGAGCUCCUCACGCAGGAGCCCCCUCCGUCAGCUCGCGAAGCCAUCAUGAGCAAUCGACAUCACCUCUCGUCGGCUCCGCGAGCAACGCCAUACGCCGCUGCUGUCGAGCAAUUUGCGCCCGCCGCCGCAAAGGAAUCCGAUUUGCACUUUUUCUUAGGGCGAGAAUGCGCUUUGCUGCCGGUGGGAGCUGAGCGGGGCAGAUAAUGUUACCAGCCCAACAUAAGCCCAGUUAAUCACAACUCUACUACCAUCGCAAAAAAAAAACCACAACUCUACUAAAUCAACCUCCGGAGCAGCGGCCCAAGAGACGAUUGGCUGCAGGAUGAGAAGAUGCGAGGCAAAAUCUAUACCGCUCGUUAAAGGAUCCAAUGGAUGGNNNNNNNNNNNNNNNNNNNNNNNNNNNNNNNNNNNNNNNNNNNNNNNNNNNNNNNNNNNNNNNNNNNNNNNNNNNNNNNNNNNNNNNNNNNNNNNNNNNNNNNNNNNNNNNNNNNNNNNNNNNNNNNNNNNNNNNNNNNNNNNNNNNNNNNNNNNNNNNNNNNNNNNNNNNNNNNNNNNNNNNNNNNNNNNNNNNNNNNNNNNNNNNNNNNNNNNNNNNNNNNNNNNNNNNNNNNNNNNNNNNNNNNNNNNNNNNNNNNNNNNNNNNNNNNNNNNNNNNNNNNNNNNNNNNNNNNNNNNNNNNNNNNNNNNNNNNNNNNNNNNNNNNNNNNNNNNNNNNNNNNNNNNNNNNNNNNNNNNNNNNNNNNNNNNNNNNNNNNNNNNNNNNNNNNNNNNNNNNNNNNNNNNNNNNNNNNNNNNNNNNNNNNNNNNNNNNNNNNNNNNNNNNNNNNNNNNNNNNNNNNNNNNNNNNNNNNNNNNNNNNNNNNNNNNNNNNNNNNNNNNNNNNNNNNNNNNNNNNNNNNNNNNNNNNNNNNNNNNNNNNNNNNNNNNNNNNNNNNNNNNNACCAACCCAACAUAAGCCCAGUUAACAACAACUCUACUACCAUCGCAAAAAAAAAAACCACAACUCUACUAAAUCAACCUCCGGAGUAGCGGCCCAAGAGACGAUGGGCUGCAGGAUGAGGAGAUGCGGGGCAAAAUCUGUACCGCUCGUUAAAGGAUCCAAUGGAUGGCGAACAAAAUCACUGUGGUGGCUCGGUGGUCGCUCUGUUAUACUGUUUCUCAAUUCAGACGUGUUCCCCGAGCCGAUAUGGAUGGAAUCCAAGGUCGUUUUCACUUUCUGCAAAUGAUCGAUCUAUGCUACCUUUUGAAGCUUACGCGGGUUCUCAAAAAUGACACAAGGAAAACAUAAAAAAGAAAAUCAAACUUUGGAUGGAUUCCUGAGUCAUCCUGACUAGACUGAACAAUCGUACUGAUAGACAGAUACGAUGCGAUUAUGAUCGGUUUUUCUUCCUGGUUGCCACAACAGUCUGAAUCGAGCAGAGAUAUUUUUGUUUCCGAAUUGAUCAGAGAUAAACUCAGUAUAGUGCAAGAUACUCCCUCUGUUCGGAAUUACUUGUCUCGGAAAUGGAUGUAUCUAGAACUAAAAUACGUUUAGAUACACCUAUUUCUACGACAAGUAAUUCCGAACGGAAGGAGUACAAUCCUGAGCGUCGAGCCGAGGAAGAUGGGAUCCUAUGAAUGAACUGAGUUCAUGCAAGGGAGGAAUAGCCGUAGGGUUCAAGUUACAGGUACCAAGAGAUGCCUCUUCCACGCUACACGGCUUGUGUCUUCUUUUCUUUUGUCAGAACUCACUCUUCUAUCUAUCUAGCCAGUCCCAGUGCUGGGCUGAGCCCCUUUUCAUCUGCUUUCAGGUAUACGCUUCUCUUCUUCUCUGUCUCCUCUUCUAUUCACGCUAGUAGAAAAAACCCUAUUCGUUCCGGUUCGUGAGAGUCAUUUGUCCCGGUUCACGAACUGGGACUAAAGGGUCGUCACUAAAGCCCUGUCCUUUUAGUCCCGAUUCGCCCAGGAACCGGGACAGAUGGGGCUCCAUGUGGCUGCUGCCGUUUGCCCAGGCAGGGGGGCCUUUUGUCCCAGUUGGUGCCACCAACCGGGACCAAAAGGCUUCCACGUGUCAGCAUUUCAGGGGCUGUUUUUUUUUUUCUGAGGGUGGGGGGUGUAGGCUUAAUUUAGGGGUUUCAUAUAUCGUGUUAGCUAGCUAAUAGAGAGAAGUGUCCUCUUUUAUCUUCGUGCUUGGUCGACGCUACGUAUAGAAAGGACUCGACACGCUAGCUAGCUAGUAAGCAAAUGAAGGAAACUAUUAAGUACAGAAGAUCGUCAUGAACAUAUACAGAGAGAAGUGAUCGACCUCUCCUUCUCUCCGAGAGAUUGGUCGAACAACAAGUUUUCGUAUAUCUUACCGACGGUCCUGACUACAUAUAUAUAUAUAUAUAUAUAUAUAUAUAUAUAUAUAUAUAUAUAUAUAUAUAUAUAUACAAUGUGUAAGAUCUCUUACAAUACCCUAACAUAUGAACUCAACUUCCACAUGCAUGAUGGUAUUCUCCGGCUUUAUUGAUGACAUGGUCAAGAAAGAAUCCAGCCAAUUCCUCUUGAAUUGCUCGCAUGCGAUCUUGUGAUAGGAGUUCAUUCCGCAUCUCCCACAUCUAAUUUGAAUAAGGGGGUCAAUACAUAUAUAUGAAUGAAACUCAACAGAAAUGAUGGUAAUAAAAUAAACUUGUGAAUAUUUUUGCUUACGCACUUCAUAUUAUCUUUUAGAGUAGCCCCGCCUAUUCUUGGCCGUCGCGUUGUAGAUGAAUUCGCAGACGUAGUAUCCACAGUAAUUAUUCUCGGGUUCCUGCCACAAGCACUUUACGAGAAAUAGAGGUCAAUCAAACUGAUAAUGAAGCAUUAUAAAUGGCAUUGAUGAAAGUAGCUAGAAUCAACGGGAGAUGCGCGGAACUAGCUAGCUAGUAGUACUUACUUUCGGAAAUUUCCAUCACAGAUCCCGCGGUAGUCCCGAAACUUGUGUGAUGAAUACUUUCCAAGCCCUGUGAGACAAAGAAAACAAUUACUUGAUAUCAUGAAAUGAACAAAGUUACCGAUAUGGUGCGAUAAUGAUCGAUUUAACUUACUUCUCAAGCAUUUUAGACAUGUCCGCAUAUUCCUUACGAUCUUUUCGUCUUGAGUCUAAGACGCUUACUAGUCCCUCCUCAAGCUUAAUCUCUAGGAAAAUAUAGUGGAAACUGCGUACGCAUGCAUAUAACUCAUCAGUUACAUUAAUUACUAUAACCUCAAGUAAUAAUUAAGGGAAACCGAAUAUGCACAAGACAGUAACACUCACUUGAAGUUGUAAGGAAAGAGUAUUGUAUCUUUGUUUUGAUUUAUUACCAACGAUCGUAGCAGGUUUUGCUCGGUUUCUUCGACAUGAAAUUUAACCAUAAAUUAAUCUAUGAGAUUUGUGUUAAUGAACCCAAUAUCAUACAUUUCAGCUUUUCUACAUUCGACGAUCUUCAAUAAGCAUAAUAUAGUGAGGAUAAUUAUAUAUACAUGCAAUGAAAGAGCUGAGCUAUAUAUAGAGACUUAAUGACAGAAGUAAUACUUACAGACAUUAGCAAGUGACCAUUAAUUUAUCGAGGGCCUUUAGAUUGAAAAACUGGAAGAACUCCUAAAAUGGAACAGACAACUCCUCAAUUCCAACGAGGUCGUGUUGAUCCUCUUUAACUUUCAGCAUCAAAGUAUUGAUUUUAUUCCCAGCUGACUGCGCCUUUCUGCAGGUUUCCAUGUACCAAUCAUGGAAUCUUCGCAUCAUCGUUGUUAGAGUAGUUCCAUCUUUGAUGAAAGGCUUCCCGUACUUGUAUUUGAAUUCGUCCACCUCCAUUAUAUCAAAAUGUGCAUCAUCGUAAUCUCCAGGAUUGGUACCGGGCAAGACCCCCGGAUGAUUAGCGACGAUAUCGCUAGACACCUUGAGCGGGGGGCACGAUUGGUUCGCUUGUUCGCCGAGCUGGGGAAUUUUUUUCUCAGUUCUUUGUUCUUGUAACCUUUUGUUACUUCAAGUACUUCCCGAUCGAUUCGCUUCCUUAUAUGUCUUUUCAGUAAUGCACUCAUAGUUGAUUCGCUUCCUUCCGCCAUAGGCAUGGAGUCUUCAAAGCAGAACCCAGCCGAGUCUCCCCUUCACCGAUAGGGUGGUCAAGCACGAGCUCCUCAAAUCCCUUUGUUGUUUCUUCCACCGUCACCCUAGCAUAUCCUUCUGGAAUUGGACGGCAGUGCAAAGUUGCGCCGGGUUCAGGAGGUCGAACAGAGCUGACAGCCGCCUUGACUUUGUACUUCCGCCAUUGCGUCAUAAGGUGGCAAUGUUGAGACUCCGUGAUAGCAUCCACGGGGUAGCUAGCAGGAGCCGUGAAGACAGGCUCCAGCUGAAGCUGCUUGGUGGAAGCCACGCUGCUUCUCCGCUGAGAUGGCGGGGUAGCUUCGGGGGUAGCUUCGGCAGGUCUCUUGCUUCGAACUACAUCUCGUUCCUCUAGCUUCUGUACCCUUGCGUGCAGCUCCUGCAGUUCGCUCUGCUCCACCUUCCUCCUCCUCUCUUGGCAUUUGUAACCGCCUGCAUUCGGAAACCCAGCCUUCCAUGAAACGGAGCCUGGCGUGCCUCGUGUCCGUCCAGGGUGCUCAGGAUUCCCGAGGGCAAUUGUGAGCUCGUCCUUCUCUCUAUCUGGAAUGAACGUACCUUCCCGUGUUGCGUUAAUAUAGUGUUGAAGCUUCGUGAGGGGUAUUCACAGUUGCUCCCUCGUCCAAACGCACUUCCCUGUUACAAGGUCCAUGGUUCCGCCAACCCCGAAAAACCAAGCCCGGCAACGGUCUGGCCAGUUCAUUGUCUCUGGUUUGACCCCUUUAUCAAGCAGGUCUUUCUCAGCCUUGGCCCACAACGGUCGGGCUUUGAGGUAGCCACCUGACCCCGUGCGAUGGUGAUGCUCCUUCUUUGCAGCAUUUAUCUUGUUUAUCACUGACAUCUUCUUACUCCUCUCUAAUGUCUUGUUGGCCACAAAUGCAUCCCAUUGAUUUCUGAGUUUCUUGUACCGGCCAAUGAAUUCUGGUGUCUUUUCUUUGUCGACAAACUUUGCUUUCAGGUCAUUCUUCCACUUCUUGAAUAGAUCUGCCAUCUUCUUGAGAGCAAAGGACUUGAUCAAUGGCUCUAUAAUUGGAUUCUCCAGAUCCUCCUCUUCCGGUAGGAUGAAAUUUACCUUCAGCGCUUUCCAAAGAUCAGCUUUCUGUCUAUCUUCGACAAAAGAAACUUGAAGCUCUUCAUCCUUAGGCUGAUUCCAUAGCUCUAUGCUGAUCGGGAUCAUGUCCCUAACAAGAACCCCACACUGAGCAGUAAAUGCCUCCUUGGUCCGGAGGGUUCAAUCGGUUGGCCAUCGCGCGCGAUUGCUGUGAUCGUGAACCUUUCAUCUGAUCGCAACUUUUUUCUUCGGGCCUCGUCUCUUUACCGAAGUUGUGCUCGAUCUGGAAGGCUAGAAAUAAGAAGAAAGACGAGAGUUAAUAUGUGUAGAUACCAAAACAAUGAAUGCAUCAAUUAGCUAUAGUAAGCACAGGCUUAAUUAAUAUACAUACCUGGCCGGACUCUGUUCGGUCACAGGAGCCGUCAUCAAGGCCUCCUUCUUGCACCAGCAUUCGGUCACCGGUCAAGGUCUCCUCCAUUGUUCGAGGACCGUAGCCUGCUUCUUCACCCUCUCCUUCCAUACCAUCGGUUUCGUUGAGAUAUGACAUGACAUCAGCUCCGGCUGCGAUUAUGUCCCCCAACACCCGUUCUGCUUCCUCGUCUCGGUCGUGCUCCAUAGUUUCUACAAAUAUUACAACAUGGCAAUUAUUAUACAAACAUGACAGAUGGAUAUAUUAGUGGCAAACGUAGACCUAGUUAUAGCUAUUCACAACAAGGAAUUAUAUUAAUUAACGGCCUCGAUGCUUCUCUAGGGUUUGGGGUGGCCUCGGCAACGCUUAAAGGGUUCGUGGUGGCCUCGAUGACAACGCUCUUUUCACUUGGUAAAGGAGGGGGUAUAUUGACAACGACGACAUACAUACAUGGAAAAAAAUGUUAUCGGGGAGGGGUAUAUCGACCCCCACCCCCUCAUGUUGAAGUUAUCAGGGAGGGGGUAUAUCGACCCCCCCCCUCAUGUUGAAUUCCCGAGAGAGUUAGGAACUGGAGGGGGACUCCUCCUCCCUCAUGUCUUAGGAGUUUUUACUCCCUCUCUCCCAUGAAGCAUUCAUCAAACAAUCUUAAUACUAGUUUCAACAAAAAACUAACAGAAAAAAUUGACCAAGUUUUCAUAUAUCAUCAUCAUCAUCUACUACAAAGAAAAUGACAUAUUCUUUGCAUAUUCGACACUAAUAUCACCAAAAAAAUUCUAUGAAGUUAACAUUAAAAAUUCUAAAUUUUGCAUAUUCCUAGAACCCUCGAACCCUCGACCCUCGAACCCUCGACCCUCGAACCCUCGACCAUACUGAUGAAGCUAUGUACCUAGGGUAGGGUCAUGGACCUGUCCAAACUACCCUACCCAAGGACAUCUCUAGAAUAAACCACCUGCCAAUCGACUCAGAAGUGUUUCACUCGACGGACUCGAAGACACUCGACCAUGAAGCCAACCACUCGACGGCCAGAAGAUCUAAAGUCACUCUGCAUGCAAACGGUCGGUCAUUGAGUAGCUUUUAUGGUCAUAGCACUUUAUUUAUGGCGUUAUCAGUAACGCCCGAUCUUAAUGUACCUUAAACCCUACAUAACUAAGGGCUGGAGGGGUCUGGCGAACUCUGUAUAAGCCACCCCCCUCCUCAGUGUAAAGGGUUCGCACCCCGGUAACUCAUACACACAUAAUCCAGUCGACCGCCUCCGGGCUCCGAGACGUAGGGCUGUUACUUCCUCCGAGAAGGGCCUAAACUCGUAAAUCUCUUGUGUAUACAACUACUCCAUAGCUAGGUUCUUGCCUCUCCAUUCCUAUCCCCCUACACUACUGUCAGACUUAGAACCACGACAGUUGGCACCCACCGUGGGGCAGGUGUCUUAGCGACUUAUUGGAGAAGUUGCGAUUUUGCCGAUCUCCUUCAUCAUGGUUUCAGGCGUAGCUCUGGUUGAGGGCCGCGUGAUCCGUCUCGGCACGCUCAUGAUCAUCGCCGAUGACUCCGCUUGGCUUCGGGAGGCUCCGCUCGACAUCGACGCGCUCCCUAUCCGUGGGGCGACGCACUUUCGCGCGUGCAUCCGCGGCGUCCUCCUGCGGCAACCGUCGACCCAGUAUCGGUCGGCUCCUGUGUCGUCCUCCCUCCAUGUUUCCCGCCGGCGGAAGCACUCCGGUCGGUCGAGGCUUCAGCGGUGGGUGAGGCACGCGGUGGCUCGCCAGUCGGCCACCCCCCAAGUCGCGGCGAUCGAGCCCGACGAAUCUCUCUACAGCCUGUUCGACCUGUUGACUGGCUCCGCAGAGACUGCAUCCGAGUGCGACAGCAGUGAUCUAGCGGUGAAGGUUCUGAUGGUCGAUGGACCAUGCAGUCCUCCCGGUUUUCUCCGCACCGACGGAGGCGACGGCGGAGGCGAUCCGUUGCAUCCCCAUGAAGAGUAUCUCCCCGAGCCCCUCACUUCGCUGCAGAGGGAAGAACUUCGCCGCCGGAACAUGGAUGCACUACACACUCCUAUCGUUGGAGAAACCCCCGAGGCUCGUGCCUUAGAGGACGCGCGCUUGGUCAACUUGGCUGAGCGCACUCGACUGGAGAACCUUCAGCGAGCAGUCAACGAGCGUGUGUGGCAACGGGUUCCAGAAUCCAGUCGACGUCAACUCUUUCCACCGCCGACUCGGGUAUAUCAAACUCCGAUUCAGAAUUUAGCAGCUGCAGCCAGUAUAGCAGAGUCGAUUCAGCCUUCCAAGUCAGAGGCUGGCAGAGGUUUGUUACAGAUCAGAGCAUUACUCCGGGCAGCAGGAGAUCAAAACUUAGCUGUAUCGCAGUCGCGAAUAGGAUUCACAGCAAAUAUGUCGCUGUAAAUACAGUCCAAUUGGCCCAUAGCCCAAGAUCGCCCCUGAGGCGUGAGGAACAUGGAGACCGGUGUGAUCAGUACAAGAACCGUGAGCAGUAUGAUCACCGAUUCGAUCGUGAUGAUCGACAUCGAGUGCCCACCCCUCCCCCAAGGGGUGGAUCGUACGCGCCUCGACAGCAGGAUGAUAGACGCCAUCACAGUGUUGGGUGAACGAUUCCAGUCGACCCCAGGGAACCAGGCUUUGAUGCGAGAUCCAUUAUCGUUCAAGGUUUGGUCGACAGGAACAGAGCCCACCGAGAAGUUCAUGACAGAGAUGUACCCACCAGCAGCAGAGUACACGUCUCAGGACCAGAGUGUUUCAGCAGAGCCAUCAGGGCCGCGGUGAUUCCUCCCAACUUCAGGUUGGCGACUGGAGUCAGUAAGUUCACUGGUGAGUCCAAACCUGAUACUUGGCUUGAAGACUACCGAGUGGCUGUUCAGAUUGGUGGCGGCAAUGAUGAAGUGGCCAUGAAACACCUGCCUCUUAUGUUGGAGGGCUCGGCCAGAGCAUGGUUGAAUCAGUUAGCACCCAGCAGCAUUUACACUUGGGAAGAUCUUGCCCGAGUGUUUGUUAGAACAUUUGAAGGAACUUGCAAGCGACCAGCGGGGUUGACAGAGCUGCAAUCUUGUGUGCAGAAGUCAAAUGAAACUUUGAGGGAUUACAUCCAGAGAUGGAUCACGUUGCAUCACACGGUAGAUAAUGUAUCUGAUCACCAGGCAGUCUGUGCCUUCAAGGAAGGCAUUAAGUACAGAGAGCUAAACCUGAAAUUCAGUCAGUUAGCACCCAGCAGCAUUUACACUUGGGAAGAUCUUGCCCGAGUGUUUGUCAAAACAUUUGAAGGAACUUGCAAGUGACCAACAGGGUUGACAGAGCUGCAAUCUUGUGUGCAGAAGUCGAAUCAAACUUUGAGGGAUUACAUAUAGAGAUGGAUCACGUUGCAUCACACGGUAGAGAAUGUAUUUGAUCACCAGGCAGUCUGUGCCUUCAAGGAAGGCAUUAAGUACAGAGAGCUAAACCUGAAAUUCGGUCGAACCAGAGACAUGUCUCUGAGUCGAAUGAUGGAUAUUUCCACCAAGUAUGCCAAUGGUGAAGAAGAGGAUCGGCUCCGGAGUGGCGAACACAAGGCAGUCGCCCACGAAACCGGAGGAGGGAACUCCAGUCGGAAGCAGAAGCGGAAAGCCGAACCCGCUGCUCCUGGAGAAGCCUUGGCCGUGACUCAAGGAAAGUUUAAAGGGAAGCCCAAAGGGUCUUGGAACCCUAAGAAGGUGAAGGACAAGGAAGGGAAUGACGUGAUGGAUUUGCCGUGCCACAUCCACACGAAGAAAGAUGAGGAGGGUAAAUUCAUUUACCCGAAGCAUACCACUCGACAGUGUCGGCUCUUGAUCCAGCAAUUCCAGGGGAAACAACCCAAAGAUAAGGAAAAGGAGUCGGACAAAGUUGAGGACAAAGAAGAUAGUGAUGAUGGAUAUCCCUAGGUCAAUUCCACCCUGAUGAUUUUUGCUGAUGUUGAAAGCAAAAGUCGAUUGAAAGUUAUCAACCGAGAAGUGAAUAUGGUUGCUCCGGUGACACCCAGUUAUCUGAAAUGGUCUCAGACUGCCAUCACAUUCGACCAGUCCGAUCAUCCGACACACAUAGCCACCCCUGGGAGGCAAGCUUUGGUGUUCGACCCGGUCGUUGAAGGCACUCGACUGACUAAAGUUUUGACGGAUGGUGGCAGUGGCCUAAAUAUACUAUAUGCAGAGACGUUGAAAGGGAUGGGCACUCCGAUGUCCAGACUCAGUACCAGCAACAUGAGUUUUCAUGGAGUCAUUCCUGGAAAAAAAGGCUGAGUCACUCGGGCCAAAUUGCUCUUGAUGUGGUUUUCGGUGAUUCCAAGAAUUACCGCAAAGAAAAGUUGACGUUUGAAGUUGUGGAUUUCCAGAGUGCUUAUCACGCUAUUUUGGGCAGGCCAGCUUAUGCACGUUUCAUGGCUCGACCAUGUUAUGUGUACCUCAAAUUGAAGAUGCCUGGUCCCAAAGGUGUGAUCACUAUUACUGGCAAUCGGAAGAAGGCCGAAGAGUGCUUUCAGAAAGGCUCAGAGAUCGCCGAUGCUCAGAUGGCAGUGGUAGAGCUGCAGGAAUACCAGAAAACUGUAGACCCGAGUGAUUUUUUGCGAGCCAAGAAGCCCGCUACGGAAUCAGCAUUUCAGUCGUCCGGUGAGAUAAAAUCGAUUCACAUUCACCCGACCGACCCCAGCGCUGCUCCGACUCAUAUCUCUACAACACUCGACUCCAAAUAGGAAGAAGCGCUCAUCCAGUUCCUCCGUGAGAACUGGGACAUCUUCACAUGGAAGCCUUCUGACAUGCCGGGUGUUCCCAGGGGGCUGGCUGAGCAUCGUCUACGAGUCGACUCAAAAGUGAAACCUGUCAAAGAACACCUUCGACGGUCCGCCGUCCAGAAAAUAAAGGCCAUUGGCGAGGAGGUGGCUCGGCUCUUAGCAGCGGAGUUUAUCCGAGAGAUUUACCACUCCGAGUGGCUCGCCAAUGUUGUCAUGGUCCCCAAGAAGGACAAGUCGCUUCACAUGUGCAUUGACUUCAAACAUAUCAAUCGGGCCUGCCCGAAAGAUCAUUUUCCUCUCCCCCGCAUCGACCAAAUAGUCGACUCGACUGCGGAAUGUGAGCGCCUGUCUUUUUUAGACACCUAUUUUGGUUACCAUCAGAUCCGUCUGUAUGGACCCGACGAGAUCAAAAUAGCUUUCAUCACUCCAUUCGUGUGCUUCUGUUAUGUCACCAUGCCAUUCGGCCUCAAGAAUGCCAGAGCCACGUUCAUGAGGAUGAUUCAGAAGUGUUUGCUCACUCAAAUCAGUCGGAAUGUGGAAGCAUACAUGAAUGAUAUUGUGGUCAAGUGACGGAAAGGUUCUGACCUACUGACUGACCUUGCUGAGACAUUUACCAACCUCAGGAGGUAUUAUAUCAAGCUUAAUCCAUCAAAGUGCACAUUCAGAGUUCCUGGCGGAAAGUUACUCGGUUUUCUCGUUUUCGAACGAGGAAUCGACGCCAAUCUAGAAAAAGUUGGUACUAUACUCCGAAUGAAACGUCCUGUGCGUGUGCACGAUGUCCAGAAGCUUACUAGUUGCUUGGCCGCUUUAAGUCGAUUCAUCUCUUGUCUCGGUGAAAAGGCAUUGCCUCUUUACCAACUGAUGAAGAAGUCAGACAAGUUCGAGUGGACUCCUGAAGCUGGUGCAGCGUUUGCAGAUCUAAAAGCCCUGCUCUCCACCCAGCCGGUGCUUGCUGCCCCAAUCAGCAAAGAGCCUUUGCUGCUUUACAUUGCAGCCACGAGACAAGUCGUCAGUACAAUACUUACGAUCGAGCGGGAAGAAGGAAAAGCCUUUAAAGUUCAGCGCCCAGUAUAUUAUGUUUCUGAAGUUUUGACCCCAUCAAAGCAAUCAUACCCUCAUUAUCAGAAGCUUGUAUAUGGGAUUUAUAUGACCACGAAGAAGGUUGCUCAUUACUUCUCUGACCAUUCCAUUACAGUCGUCAGCGACGCUCCAUUGUCAGAGAUUCUGCACAACAGAGAUGCAACUGGUCGAGUGGCAAAAUGGGCGAUUGAACUCCUUCCCCUAGAUAUCAAGUUUGAGGCAAAGAAAGCCAUCAAAUCCCAAGCAAUAGCAGAUUUCAUCGCCGAGUGGACUGAACAGCAACUGCCGACUCAAGUUCACUCGGAGCAUUGGACCAUGUUCUUUGAUGGUUCUAAGAUGCUGAAUGGUUCCGGUGCUGGGGUAGUGUUGGUUUCCCCUCGAGGAGAUAAACUCAUAUAUGUGCUCUAGAUUCACUUUGAUUCAUCCAAUAACGAAGCACAAUACGAAGCACUUCUGUAUGGGUUGCGUAUGGCCAUUUCACUCGGCGUCCGUCGCCUCAUGGUCUAUGGCGACUCAGAUUUGGUCGUUAAUCAAGUGAUGAAGGAGUGGGACGUCAGAAGUCCGGCCAUGACUGGUUAUUGCAAUGCAGUGAGAAAGCUGGAAAAGAAAUUCGAGGGGUUAGAGCUUCAUCAUAUACCCCGACUGAAAAAUCAAGCGGCUGAUGAUUUGGCAAAAAUAGGUUCCAAGAGAGAAGCCGUUCCCAGUAAUGUGUUUUUGGAACACAUCCACAGACCAUCAGUUCAAGAGGAUCCUUUCAUCGAAGAAGCCCCACAGCCAAAAAGUGCCACGGAUCCGACUGAAGUUGAAGUUCCAGCUGUGGUCGACCUGAUCAUGGAAGUUUUGGUCAUCACUCCCGACUGGACAGAGCCGUACAUCACAUAUAUCCUAAGGAAAGAGCUCCCAGAGAAUGAAGAAGAGGCUCGACAGAUCGUCCGUCUUUCCAAGGCCUUCACUGUGAUAAAGGGACAGUUGUAUAGGGAAAGCGAGACUGGAGUCGGUCAGAAAUGUAUAACACCAGAAGAAGGUAAGAUAAUCCUUGAAGAUAUCCACUCGGGGACCUAUGGUCAUCAUGCGUCCUCUCGGACCAUUGUGGCUAAAGCAUACUGAGCAGGGUUUUUCUGGCCAAGAGCAAAUGAAAUGGCGAAGGAGAUAGUCGACAAGUGUGAAGGAUGUCAAUUCUAUUCCAAUAUGUCACACAAACCCGCCUAAGCCUUGAAGACCAUUCCACUCGUCUGGCCUUUCGCUGUUUGGGGAUUAGAUAUGGUUGGACCACUGAGAACUGGCAGGAGCGGCUUCACCAAUGUACUGGUGGCAGUCGACAAGUUCACUAAGUGGAUUGAAGCUAAGCCUAUCAAGAAUCUUGAUGCCUGCACUGCUAUCAGCUUCAUCAGAGCGUUGAUAUUCAGAUAUGGAGUUCCGCACAGCAUCAUCACUGAUAAUGGGUCAAACUUCGAUUCCAACAAAUUCAGAGCCUUUUGCGCUUCCCAAGGCACGCGGGUCGACUAUGCUUCCGUCGCUCACCCCCAGUCGAAUGGACAAGCAGAAAGAGCAAACGGCCUAAUUCUCAAAGGACUGAAACCCCGGUUGAUGCGUGAUCUCAAGCACGCAGCGGGCGCGUGGGUCGACGAACUUCCUUCAGUUCUUUGGGGAUUGAGGACCACUCCUAAUUGGUCAACUGGGCGAACUCCAUUCUUUCUGGUCUAUGGAGCUGAAGCAGUUCUGCCGAGUGACCUGCUUCACAAUGCACCCCGAGUCGAGCUCUACUCUGAAGAUGAAGCAGAACAAGCCCAGCAGGGCACAGUCGACCUUCUAGAAGAAGAAAGAGAGAUGGCCAUGAUCCAAACGACUAUCUAUCAGCAGGACUUGCGUCAAUUCCAUGCCAGAAACGUGAAGAGUUGAGCCUUCCAAGAAGGAGACUUGGUGCUCCGAGUGGAUCAACAGAAACCACACAAGCUCGCUCCUACUUGGGAAGGCCCCUUCAUCGUCACCAAAGUUCUCCAUAAUGGAGCGUACCGUCUUUACAAUGUCGAUCGCCAGAUUGAUGAGCCGCGAGCUUGGAAUGCGGAGCUGCUCUGCCCCUUUUAUACUUAAGUACUCACUCGGAUGAGAUGUAAUAAAAAGUACCUCUAUAGUUUGUUUACCAAAGACAAGAGUAUUAUAAUUUUCCCAGUGAUUGUUGUUGCUUUUGUUUACAUGAGAAAUCCCCCAGUGGGUGGCUUAGCUGCGAAUCCGUUUCACCUAAGUUUGUAAAAAAAUUUCCUACCGAGUGACGAGCAAGCCUCUCACUCGGGGGCUUAGCUGCAGUCCAGUACUCGCCUAAGUAUUUGAAAAUCCUACCGAGUGGAGAGCAAACCUCCCACUCGGGGGCUUAGCUGCAGUCCAGUACUCGCCUAAGUAUUUGAAAAUACUACCAAGUGGAGAGCAACCCUCCCACUCGGAGGCUUAGCUGCAGUCCAGUACUCGCCUAAGUAUUUGAAAAUCCUACCAAGUGGAGAGCAACCCUCCCACUCGGAGGCUUAGCUGCAGUCCAGUACUCGCCCAAGUAUUUGAAAAUCCUACCGAGUGNNNNNNNNNNNNNNNNNNNNNNNNNNNNNNNNNNNNNNNNNNNNNNNNNNNNNNNNNNNNNNNNNNNNNNNNNNNNNNNNNNNNNNNNNNNNNNNNNNNNNNNNNNNNNNNNNNNNNNNNNNNNNNNNNNNNNNNNNNNNNNNNNNNNNNNNNNNNNNNNNNNNNNNNNNNNNNNNNNNNNNNNNNNNNNNNNNNNNNNNNNNNNNNNNNNNNNNNNNNNNNNNNNNNNNNNNNNNNNNUACUCAUCUAAGUUUGAAAAAAUCCUACCGAGUGGAGAGCAACCCUCCCACUUGGGGGCUUAGCUGCAGUCCAAUACUCGCCUAAGUAUUAGAAAAUCCUACCGAGUGGAGAGCAACCCUCCCACUCGGAGGCUUACUUGCAGUCCAGUACUCGCCUAAGUAUUUGAAAAUCCUACCGAGUGGAGAGCAACCCUCCCACUCGGGGGCUUAGCUGUAGUCCAAUACUCGCCUAAGUAUUAGAAAAUCCUACCGAGUGGAGAGCAACCCUCCCACUCGGAGGCUUAGCUGUAGACCAGUACUCGCCUAAGUAUUCGAAAAUCCUACCGAGUGGAGAGCAACCCUCCCACUCGGGGGCUUAGCUGCAGUCCAGUACUCGCCUAAGUAUGAAAUCCAUUCCGAUCCGCAAGGACGACGAGGUGCAGGUCGACUGCUACCUUCUCCUUCGGAGCUACGCCACAAAUACAACAUGCGCUCUGCAAGGACGACGAGGUGCAGGUCGACUGCUACCUUCUCCUUCGGAGCUACGCCACAAAUACAACGUGCGCUCUGCAAGGACGACGAGGUGCAGGUCGACUGCUGCCUUCUCCUUCGGAGCUACGCCACAAAUACAACGUGCGCUCUGCAAGGACGACGAGGUGCAGGUCGACUGCUGCCUUCUCCUUCGGAGCUACGCCACAAAUACAAUGUGCGCUCCAUCCUGAUCCGCAAGGAUGCAGGUCGACUACAAUCUGUGCUCCAUCCCUACCUGCAAGAGCGAUGAGGUGUAGGUUGACUGGAUUUUCCACCUCAGAGUUGUGUCUCAAGCACUAAAGUAUAUUCCGAGUGAAGAACAAAGUUCGCUCGAAGGCAAAUGCGAGCAUAUUCAACGAUAAGACAAGUUGAGAUAACAUCCUACGGAUUCAGAAGUGCUCAGGCGUCAAGCCUAUACAAGUUUAUCAAUUACAAAACCACUCGGCAUUCCGAGGCAAAUUUAAGGCGAAGCAUAGAAGUUUUUUACUCCUCAGGUAGAGGACUAGAGGGCGCGAAAAACUGGUCCAAGUCAAUUCCGUCAGCAAUGCGAGUGGCAGCAGCAAUGAAGGUCUCCAUGAAAGAUUGGAAGUCGUGCUUCUUGGUAUUGGCAACUUUGAUGGACGCCAGCUUUUCCUCUCGCGCAUCCUUGCAGUGAACACGGACCAGGGACAGAGCAACGUCAGCGCCGCACCUGGCAGAAGACUUCUUCCAUUCUUGCACUCGACCUAGAACUUCAUUCAGUCGAGUCAUUAGAGACUCGAGGUCAUUUUGAAGCAUUGCUCCUAGCCAGAGUGUCGUGUCGAUUCGCGACGCCGCAACCUUCAGUCUAGCAAGGUAGUCAACCACGCCAACAACACGAGACUCCAGUCGGAGCACGUUCAGAGCAGCUUCAUCCUUCACAAGAGAGUUAAUGGGGUCCAAGCUUGUCUCCACUCGAUUGGUCUCCUCCUCGAAGUUUUGGCAGAAUUCUGUAAACACAAUUCAAAGAUAAACCAGCAGCUCUACGGUGAGUAGAUGAUAACAAGUCAGUCGGGUAGGAGAGAUUACCCUCAAGCAUGAUGAAUAACUUCUUGGCGAGCCCUCCCAGAUAAGCCUCCAGAUCGUUCCUCUUCCCCACCAGUUCACUAGCCUUGUCAUUCAGAGCUAUCUUAUCAUUCUUCAGAUGGCUGACCUCCUUGUUAGCCGCAUCGAGAGCAGCUUUCAGAUUGGCGUUCUCCUCUUCAAGUUUACAGACUGAAGCCAGUUUUUCUUCCGCAAGCUUCGUUUUUUCCAAAGCCGCCUUCUGCGACUCGGAAAGGUCAUGGUCCUUCUUCUUCAGAGCCUCCUUCAUUUUAUCUGUAAAAUGACAAUGGGAUCAGAAUCAAGAAUGGGCAGAAAGUUAAAGACAGUUGUCAAGUCCUCACCAACCAUACCUUUUGCUUCAUCUUUUGCCUUCUGAAAGUUCUCCUGAACAAGCUUCAAGUCAAGGUCGAGUUGGAUAUGUUUGUUUUCCAAUUCAGUAUAGCAAGCCACAAGCUCGCAAGAUUUCUGCGAAGGGUCAGUCGACAGACAUCAAAGAUAGGUUGCUUCCGAGUGACUAAGAGAAAAAUCAUAACAUUUCUAAGACUACAGCCGAAUCAAAAUAUUCAACAGUAGUCUCAGGGACUACACCCAGUGGGUACACUCAGCGUGCCCCCACUGGUUCUACCGACUUGGUCCGAUCAGUCGGCCGAAAGAGACAGAGAGGUUAUGAUCCUAAAAUUAUAGCACUAUAGCUAACUGGCAGUAGUCAGCCAUGGUCUCAUCAUGAUCUACUAAAAAAACACAGGUUCUUCAGACCUUAGUCGACUGCUAGCAGUCGACCAUGGUCUCAGGGACUACACCCAGUGGGUGCACUCAGCGUGCCCCCACUGGUUCCAAGAUUCCAUUCGACAUGGUCCGACCAGAUCGAGUGAAGAAGUUAGAGUGAAGAAAUUCAAAAUACAAAGAUUACGGUCGACUGCCAGCAGUCCACCAUACUCUCGGGGAAUAUACCCAGUGGGUGCACUCGGCGUGCCCCCACCAAUCCAAAAAUUCAAUCGACACACCCAGUGGGUGUACAGAUACAAAGAUCUUCGGAAAGAAAGUCUUGAGAUAGCAUAUCCUAACAGAACAAGUGGUGACCAACUAACCUAGACGUUGCUCCGAAGGGCUGAGCUAGCAUCAUAGGCCGCUUGGCUGGCUUCCCGGAUUGCCUUCACCUGCUCCAUCAUGAUCCCCACCUGGCGUAUAGCCUCCUUAGCAGCACCCGCUUGGUCCUCUGGGACGUGGUGUGUGGCGAAAAGGGAGGGCGGGUCAGCAGUCGAUGACGAAGGCCGAGCACUCGUCAGUGGCACAGCGAAGGACACGGAAUUCCGAGAGAUAUUGCCACCCUCUUGAACCGAUGUCUCAGGCACUGAUGCAAUCUGAGUAGUCUUGCCAGCCGGCGCCUUUCUAUUCCUCCUCGGCCUCAGUGGCGCCUCAUCGUCAUCAUCAGGGAGAUCAAUGACAUGAGGAGGAGCUACAGGAAAAACCCAAAGUUAAAAACGAAAGUCCAAUCGACCAAAAGUGAAACUACAGAAAUCGUACCAAGGUUGGAGGUGACAGCGUCUUCCAUUUCCUGGUCUUCGUUCCUGGCGGAGGUCUCGGAGGUAGCAGCACUACAGAUUUCAGAAACCAGUCGGUUAGUCAAUGAGUCGACCAAGAGUCUGUCCAUGCUAAACGAGGAAACACAAGUUCUGUUGUUACCCGAAAAUGGUGGGAAUGGUCAUUCUCAUCUUGGGCAAGGCCUUCAGCGGCUUUGAUGACGCCGCUCGCGGAUGCUUCGGUGCUUUUUCAGUCGGCGCCGGAGAAGCCGUCCGAGGGUGUUUUGACGACUGCCCAACAGGCGCAGCCGCUUUGCCACGCUCGCUCACAGGGUCAUGGGUAAGCUUGGAUCGCCUUUCCGUGCGAGAAGGAUCGACUUCCUCCUCCUCCUCUUCACUGGAGCCGUCAUCAUCCUCUUCCCCCUCACCAUCAGAUUGCCACUCCUCCUCACUUUCACCUUCGCUCGCCUCUCCCUCCUCAACCUGUUCUUGCGUCCCGUUGGGCAUCGAGUACAUCUCAGUAGUGGUCUAGAAGACAACAAACAAGACAAAAGUCAGUUGACUAAUUUUAAGCACACGGAAUGAAGAAAACAAGGUCACAGUCAGAGAUGCAGAAUCGGACCUUGUCUACUUCGUAUGAUUGGUCGAGUGGAGGAAUCCUCCUGGCUCCUCGGGGUUGUCUUUGUUCCCUGUGAUACUCGACAACCACCCCUCCAACGUAGUCUCUUCGACCUCCUCCGGGUGAAUCCGAGUGGUGUCAUCGAGACCCGACUACAUCCACAUCGGAUGGUCACGAGCUUGGAGCGGUUGGAUACGUCUCCUGAGGAAGACCUCUAACAAGUCCAUACCAGUCACCCCGUCACGGACAAGCUGAACCACUCGACCAACCAACACUUUGACUUGUGCCUUCUCUUCCGGUGUCACUUUCAGAGAAGAAGGUUUUUCUGCUCGGUUCAGGGGGAAAGGGGGAAGACCCGUCGCCUGUCCUGGAAUCGGCUGGUCUUUGCAGUAGAACCAGGUCAACUGCCACCCGCGGACUGAGUCAGGAAGAGUCAUAGCUGGAAAACAACUUUUUCUUCUCAUCUGGAUUCCAAGACCCCCGCACAUCUGAAUCACUUGUGUCCUAUCGUCACUCGACUUGGCUUUCUUAAUCGACUGAGAACGACAAGUGAAAAUGUGCUUGAAAAGGCCCCAAUGAGGACGGCAACCCAAGAAAUUCUCGCACAAAGACAUGAAGGCAGCAAGGUACACGAUGGAAUUUGGAGUGAAGUGAUGGAGUUGCGCUCCGAAAAAGUUCAAGAAACUCCAGAAAAAAGGAUGAGGGGGCAGGGAGAAUCCGCGGUCGACAUGAGUGGCGAUAAGAACACACUCACCCUCGAGAGGCUGCGGCUCGAUCUCGUUCCCCAGGAGGCGCGCAAAUUCGUGAGGAAUGAAUCCCUCCUCGACCAGGUCAUCAAGGUCUUCCUGACGAAUCGCCGAGGGCAUCCAGUCGCCCUGGAUCCAGCCCCGCGGCAAGGCAGACCUCGAGGGAGAUCCGUCCCGACCGGACUUCUUCGCCUUUGCCUGCGCCGUCGCCUUCUUCGCGCGCUCCAGGGCCGCCAGCUUCUCCUUCACCAUUGCCGCACACGAAGCCCGAACAGACCAACGGCACCGGGACGACAGCAGAGGUGGCAGAGGAAUUCGAGAAGAAAGGGGAAAAGUGAAGGCGCACUGUUCAAAGGCCCUGGGCCAGCGGCUUAUAUGGAGUUGCUUCCGAGUGACUGACCUGUAGGCCCAGAUGAUCCUGUCAAAUCCCGCAAUAGUCGCGCGUGUGAUACGUGGCGAAAAGGUGGCGCGGAGAUCGAGGCGUCUCCGCCCUAUCCCGUCCGAUUACUGCAGCCUCCUCCGCCCCACGCACUUCCCAAAAUUCAAAUCCCGCAAAAUCCGCUAGCAGCAGAACAACUUGUCAGAUGGAGGAUCUCCUCCACACCGUCACUCGAAGCUUUUCAAGUAAAGAAAUUCACUCGACUGAAACCAAGAAUGGAUCAAGGCGACCGAAAAAGAAUUUGGUGUCGUUAUUUAGGUUCAUGGAUUCAGAACAAGACAUACUCAUAUCAUGAAAAAUGGGUCGGAAGAGUUCUCAACUCCUUCCCCACUCAAACCUCGAUCCAUUCGGGGGCUAAUGAUGAAGCUAUGUACCUAGGGUAGGGUCAUGGACCUGUCCAAACUACCCUCCCCAAGGACAUCUCUAGAAUGAACCACCUGUCAAUCGACUCAGAAGUGUUUCACUCGAUGAACUCGAAGACACUCGACCAUGAAGCCAACCACUCGACGGCCAGAAGAUCUAAAGUCACUCUGAAUGCAAAUGGUCGGUCAUUGAGUAGCUUUUAUGGUCAGCAUAGCACUUUAUUUGUGGCGUUAUCAGUAACGCCCGAUCUUAAUGUACCUUAAACCCUACAUAACUGAGGGCCGGAGGGGUCUGGCGAACUCUAUAUAAGCCAUCCCCCUCCUCAGUGUAAAGGGUUCGCACCCCAGUAACUCAUACACACAUAAUCUAGUCGACCGCCUCCGGGCUCCGAGACGUAGGGCUGUUACUUCCUCCGAGAAGGGCCUAAACUCGUAAAUCUCUUGUGUAUACAACUACUCCAUAGCUAGGAUCUUGCCUCUCCAUUCCUACCCCCCUACACUAUCGCCAGACUUAGAACCACGACACAUAGAACCCUCGAACCCUCGACUCCUCGAACCCACGAACCCUCGACCCCUCGAACUCUCGAACCCUCGACGACCCUCGAACCCUCGACCCCUUCCCCCGUCCUCAUGUCGAAGUUAUCAGGGAGGGGGUAUAUCGACCCCCCCCCCCACCCUCAUGUCGAAGUUAUCGGGGAGGUGGUAUAUCGACAACGACAUACCCUAUAAAAAUAAGAAGAGGAAGAAGAAGGGAAAAAAGAGGAGAAGACGAAAGGAAUAGAGAGAGGAGAAGAUCGAAGAAAAAAAGAAGAAGAAAAGAGGAGAAGAAGAAAGGAAUAGAAGAGAAGAAGAAGGGAAUAGAAGAGAAGAAAAAAAAUAUAAUUCUUCUUCUCUUCUAUUCCUUUCUUCUUCUCCUCUUUUUUUUCUUUUUUUCUCUUCUUAUUUAUUUCUCCUCUUCUUCUCCUUUCUUCCUCUCCUUCCUCUUCUUAUUUUCCUUUUUUCCUCUUCUUCUUUUUCUUCUAAAUAUGAAUUGACAAAAAAAAUACAUAUAUAUGACAAAAAAAUACAUAUACAUAUACACACAUACACACAUUUAUACACAUACACACAUACAUACACAUAUACAUAUAAAUUGACAAAAACAAUACAUAUAUAUAUAUAUAUGACAAAAAAUUAAAAAGAUUGCAGGGCAGGGGCGGCGGCGCAGGCAAGGGGUAACGUUGCAGCGGCCGUGCGGCGGCAGCGUAGGGCAGGGGGCGCGGCGGCGACGGCGGCCAGUACAGGGAGGAGGAGGAGGGGAUCAGGGUAGUGCUCAUAGCGGGCUCGGACGUGGCGACGGCGACGAGAAGGCAGGGCCGGCGACGGCGACGAGGAGGCAGGGCUGACGACGAGGAGCAGGGCGUCGGCGUCGGGGCGCGACGACGGCGACGAGGAGGCAGGGCCGGCGACGAGGAGUAGGGCUUCGGCGUCAGGGCGCAGGGCGACGAUGAUGAGGUGCAGGCGGCGACAGCGACAGUGACCGCGAGGCGGCGACGGCGAGCACGGGCAGCCUGGUGGCGUCGAUGAGCUCGGCGUCCUCGGGGGGCAAAUGCGCGAUGAAACUGAAACUGAACCAGUGCCCCCCUUUAGUCCCGGUUAGUGCCACCAACCGGGACCAAAGGCCUCUUUUCAGCAGCCCAAAGGGCGGGAAGCAGAGGGCUUUGGUCCUGGUUGGUGGCACCAAACGAGACUAAAGGGGGGGGGGCAUUGGUACCAGUUCGUAGCACGAACCGGGACAAAUGCACCCCUUUAGUCCUGGUUGGUGCCACCAACCGGGACCAAUGGGUCUUGCACAACGGUGUGGUGGUGGGACUUUAGUCCCACCUCGCUAGCUGCGAGAGAGUUGCACCUGUUUAUAAGGUGCGAUGCGCCAACCCUCUCGAGCUCCUCUCUAAAGCGAGCUUUCGGGCCAAAUCUGUCUCUAUGUGCCUGUGGGCUUACCGGGCCUACUGCGGGCCUGAAUCCUGGCCCAUUGUUGGGUUUCUAGUCGUAUUCAGGCCGUGGUGGCCCUUUAGGUGACACUUUUUUUUUAUUUUUUUUGUUUUAUUUUUUGCUUUGUUUAUUUUAUUUUAUUUCUACUUACAGCAAAAUACUUACUAGUUUUUCAGUGAUUCUUUUUGCUUUUAGGUAAUAAAAAUUAUAUACUUUCUGUUAGUGUCAUUUGUUUGCUAAUUUGAAUAGUUUAAAUUUGAAUUUUUGGAAAUUUGUGUGAAUCACUAGUUUUUGANNNNNNNNNNNNNNNNNNNNNNNNNNNNNNNNNNNNNNNNNNNNNNNNNNNNNNNNNNNNNNNNNNNNNNNNNNNNNNNNNNNNNNNNNNNNNNNNNNNNNNNNNNNNNNNNNNNNNNNNNNNNNNNNNNNNNNNNNNNNNNNNNNNNNNNNNNNNNNNNNNNNNNNNNNNNNNNNNNNNNNNNNNNNNNNNNNNNNNNNNNNNNNNNNNNNNNNNNNNNNNNNNNNNNNNNNNNNNNNNNNNNNNNNNNNNNNNNNNNNNNNNNNNNNNNNNNNNNNNNNNNNNNNNNNNNNNNNNNNNNNNNNNNNNNNNNNNNCUUACUGUUGCUAUUUUUAUUUAUUUUAUUAUAGUUUAUUUAUUUUAGUUUAUUAAAGUUUAUUUUGUUUCUAAUUAUUUAUUAAAGUUUUUUGUUUCUACUUAUUUAUUUUAUUUUGUUUCUACUUAUUUAUUUUCUUUUCUUUUUUGCUUUUUUAUUUAUUUUAUGAAAAAUCUUUUUUGCUUUUAAUGUUUUACACACAAGAGCCCUCUCCCCUGGCUGGUUCAUUGGUCCCGGUUCGUAGCUUGACCCGGUCCCAAAGACCUCCCUUUGAUCCCGGCUUAGGCCACCAAGCGGGACCAAUGGUGGUGGGGCAGGAGCGAGGCCCAUUGGCCCCGGUUCGUGCCACCAACCGGGACCAAAGGGGCCAGACGAACCGGGACCAAUGGCCCCACGAGGCUCGGCAGGCCCCCUGGCCUCACGAACCGAGACCAAUGGGCCCAUGGAUCCCGGUUCUUGACCGAACUGGGACUAAUGGGCUAACCAGGCCCGAACGUAUGCCCUGUUUUCUACUAGUGUCACUUUCAGUGCCCGCGCCAGUGUAGCUAGCGGCGACACUGAUGUUAGGGGCGCGUCUCCUCCGAGACCUCCUAUUUGACGACCUACAUGCCGGAAAAUGAUGAAACGCACAGCCGCUCACGAUGUGAGCUCCCACCGCGUGUAUUCUGAGGUGGCCCAUGUGCGGGUUGGGCGCCAUUUUUCGUUUUUCUUCUUUUGUUUUCGUUUUUUGUUUUUGUUUUUUUUACUUUGAGAACUGUUCACAUAUCUCAAUUUUGAUUCAUUUCAGGAUUUCAAAAACUGUUCAUGAAUUUGAAAAUGUUCUGAAUUUCAAAAACAUAUGGUCUUUCAUAAUAUGUUCAUGAAUUGGAAAAGAAUGUUCGAGAUUUCAAAAAAAAUUCUUGAAUUUUAAAAAUUGUUCCGAAUUCAGAAAAUGUUCACGAACACAAAAAAUGUUUGCCAGUACAAAAAUUGUUCACAAAUCUAAAUAGAGUUUGUGAGUUUGAAAAAUGUUCGUGAUUCCAAAAAAUGUUCAUCAUUUUGAAAAAAAUAUAAUUUUAAAAAUGUUCACAAAUUUGGAAAAUGUUGGCAAAUUUGAAGAAUGUUCAUGAAUUCAAAAAAUGUUCUUGAUUUAGAAAAAUAUUCGUGAAUCCAAAAAAUAUUUUUGAAUUCAAAUAAAAUGUUUGCGAAACAUGUUUGUGAUUUAAAAAAAAGCGAAUAACUGUACUUGUAUUCUGAAUUGCUUCUGAUAGUUUUCAUAAAUUUUUGGCCCCACAAUUUGAUGCAAUUUUCUUAGCCUUAUGAAUUUAAUAGUAAUAAGUUUGAACUAUCCACUUCAUUGAUAGAUUGAUGCCAAAUGUUCUCGAGAAGCUGUUGAAAAUCUGGGUCAUCAAGCCAAUAGUUCUUAAAUAUGAAUAAGUUUGACUUGGGUAUAGAAAUGCCUACUUGUAUGAUACAUGGAGUGUGAUCAGAAAUGGUCUUGGCUAGGGAGAUAGCCAAAUUAUUGGGGUAUGAAAGGGUCCAAGCUUCUACGAAAAAAACCCCAUUCCAAACUCUAAAGAAGAGAAAUAUCUUGCAUCUUGCUCCAUGUAUAGUUUCUUCCUUUUAAAGGAAUCUCUACCAAAUCCAAGUGACUGAUGGCUUCACUAAAGAGCAUCAUAUCCUGUGUGUCCCACCGUCCCUUCUUUGUUCCUAUUUUCAGGAUAUCUAAUCCUCCCAAUAUGAUUCAGUUAUGAUCAUCUGGUAUUGUAAUGCUUUGAAACCAAUCAAUGAAUUUUUUCUUGCUGACAGUGGCUAUAAACAUUGGUUAAUAUCCAGGAAUCACCAUUGUGGACUGAAGUAAAUAAAAUAGACAGGGAAAAUUCUUGAAAUAUUUUCCCUUAUGAAUAUAUUAUCAUUCUAGACAGAGGGAAGAUAUUCAAACUUAUUAGCCUUCUAAGACAGAAGUUUUUUAGGUAUCUCUGAUCAAAGAAAUCUCUUUUUGUUUCUUGAAGAUAAAGGACAGCACAGCCUAUUUCCUCAUUCUUGUUAGAUAUUGCAGUCCGCUUUUUAUCAGAAUUAAUCCUUCUAAUAUUCGAAUUUAGGAUUUUCCAGUCCCUAUUCAUGACAAUAUCUAUAGUACACACAAUACGAUACCCAGGUUGCGUGGGCAACCCCUUGCCUUCUGUCAGAGAUCUGGCGGCUCCCAGUUCUGGCAAUCUGUCAUCUAGCUGCUCCCGGUUCUUCGUAUUGGGACAUCCAUUUCGGUUGGAUCUGGGUCUGCGACCCUGUUCUAGUUCGACCGUUGGGCUGGUGACACCCCCUUCGUCGCGCGCUUCCCCGAUCUCUUCUCCAUCGCCGUUGACCCUCAGGUCUCGGUUGAGAGGGCCCUUACUGACUUAGGGCGCCUCACCUUCCGUAGGCCAUUUGGGCCUGGGGACUCUGCCGCGUGGCAUGAGCUUCUCGACUGUGUCGUCCUUCACGAGCAUGUGGUUGACGCUGGUCCUGACCUGGUUCGGUGGCAUCUUGAGCCUUCGGGCCAAUUCUCCACCAAGUCCCUUUACCAGGCCAUUGCCCCCUCCUCCACUCCUCCUCCCCUUACGACGGUGUGGUCCAUCCGCCUGCCGCUGAAGAUUCGGAUCUUCAUGUGGCAAUGGAUUUCGCGGGCGGACCCUGUCUGGGGUGGAGGUCCGCAAGCGCAACGGCCCCGGAUCUGGCCUCUGCCCCCUCUGCGGUGUCCCCGAAGACUCGAAUCACCAUCUUCUUCUCUUGCGUGUCCGCUCAAUUUGUUUGGAGCUGCUUUAGAGAGGUGGUUGGUGGUAACUGGUGUCACACCAACUUCCCCGACCUAUUCGCCGAACUCCAGAACUCCCCCCUGCCUUCUCGCCACAUUAGGUGGCUUGAUAUUGGAGCCCUCGCUUGGACCCUCUGGACGAUCCGCAAUAAACUUGUGAUUCAACGCAUUCCUCUUCGACGGGCUACUGACGCUCUCUUCAAAUUGUCCGGUCUGGCGGCCGCUUAGCCGCCCCCAGGAUCGAGACGCCAUCUCUGCCUUCAUCGCCGACCUUCGCUCCAUGGUUGUCCGCUUGUCGCCGCCGCCAUCUCCGCCUCCGCCGGAGCCUGAUUAGAGGCCGGCCUUCUCCGGCCGCCGGCCUUUCCUUUUUUGUUUUUUUGGGCUUGUUGAGUUGUGCCCUCAGCAGAACCUUUUGUACCUCUUGUUGUGCGACUUGGUGUGUGUGUGUGUGUGUGUGUGUGUGUGUUUUGGGGACUAGUGCUUGUAUGUGUGCUCUGUGGCGGUUUGCUUUAUAUAUAAAGCGGGGCGAAAGCCUUUUUCGGUACGAUACCCAGGUAUAUCCUAGGCACUGCAACCAACAGCAAAAGUGGGCAACUGGCCAUAAUGUAACUCUGCCCUGACAUAACCCGCAGUACAUCCACGCAAUAACCUCUAAACAUAAUAUUGUCCUAUCUGCCAUUACACUUCAUCCACUUAAACAUAAGGUAAACAUAAGGUCUUAAGAGUAUUACAUCCAUGAUAACACAAAAGGCAGCUGAAACUAACUGGACUUGAACUUUAUUAUGAACUCCGAGCUCUUUCUUCACUAUAUUGUCAGGGCUCCACUCUUCCGGCCUUACCCGAAACUCCUUUUGCUACUUCUGUUUCUUGAAUCAUGUGGCCAGCUUUUCUUCAGAUGCACAUUUCCUGGCGAGAGAGUACAGUGAGAUAGAGAGAUGAUGCAAUGGAUUGCAGAC